UGAAGAUGAGGAGCGUGUCUGGAGAGUCAUUUUUAGGUGAGGUGUCAAAAAGAACAUCACCUGAGGAACGGCGCAUGAUAGUGAAAAGCCAAAAGGGGUGGUGUUGGGGAGAGUGACAAAAGGGGUGGUGUUGGGGAGAGUGACACUAAGGUCAGAAAUGGUGUUUGUUUGGAAGUAAUGAGUGUCUUCGGAUGAUGGAAGUGAGGUAGAAGAACGCUUUCCUAGGAGGGAGCUUCGGGGGGAUGAAUGUGUUUCACAGGGGAUAAAUUCUUGAGGAACUUCCCAUCUUUUAUGAUCUGCAUCCGUAAUUCUGACACUUAACGAUCUUUUGUCUCAAAGUUGCAGAAUCCAUCGGCAUGUAAAACAAGAAAAGGCUGAUCAGUUUGUUUAUAAACAACACUCUAAUCAAAUUUAAAAGAUGUUUUGACACAAAAAAGACGAGUCUGUCUGAGGAAGAUGGUGUGUAGGCAGCCUUACCCCUCCUACCUUGUGAAGGUAGAUUGGUCGUUCCCCAUCAGUAAAGCACAUCAAAAUCAAGUAUUGAAAAGUAAUGCUGUAGUAAAGAAGCCAAGAUAUUAAUAAAGGAGAAGAGAACAACAACAACAACAAAUAAUACAGUAACUAAAUCAAAGAAAAAGACAGGUAACAAAAUAAAAAAUAAGAUAGUAGGCAAGCAAUACUAACAAUACUGAUACGGGACACUCGACAACGCAAUCAUUACCUAGCAUUAAGGCUGAGAUUUUGAAUAUCAGGUCCAAAAACAGAUUAACUUUUGAUGAGCUGAAGAUGAGCAGUUAAUGUCCUUCCAGAUGAGUCAACACCUACUGAUCUAACAAUAUAGCCAUAUCCAGUUGGUUCAGAAUUUGUUGUAAGUGCUAUUAAAUGAACCAAUAAAGUGAAAUACAAGAGAAAAUUAGAUAGAACAAUAAUAGUACAAGAUUUUACAGAUUUAUCAAUACUGUGUAUGUUCAUUGUGAUGAGGAAAAUAUAAUACUAUCUAACUUUGUUGUAUGAUACUAUAUGGGAAAUGGAAGAUAUUGUAUUGUCCUUUAUUCAAUGGUCCAACACUCAACUGUAUGUGGUUGCUAAUGGAAGAUAUAUAGGCUGAGACAUAGACCUUUUGGGUAUACUUUCGUACUUAAUGGUGUUUGCUUUAUCAAUUGCUUAGCCUUUAAACAACUUUUUGGGGAUUAGAGCUAAUAGAAUUGGCACAGCUCUUCUUCAUUUAGCGCGCGACAUGUGGCCGGUGAGCUGUAAUUGGAUGCAGUGUUCUCCAGUCUCCACAUGGAAGGUUGGUUUUCAAAAUAUAGUGUUAGCAUUCUGUAUUAGUUGUAUUGUACUAGAAUAUCUUGGUUAAGAACUCAACUGAGAGAACAGUGCUAGAAUCAAUAGGUAUACUGUUUUUAGUAUCACCAUAAGUUGGUAUAUUCACAUACAUACCUUAGGUCCUGUGUUUGUCAAGAGUCUUUUUAGAUUAAUGGAGAUUCGUAUGCCAAAGUUAUAAAUAGAUGUACCAUAUAGAGAGAGCAUUUAGAUUAGAUAUUUGCAUGGAAAUGCAUGCUGAUUUAGGGUAUAUUGCAUGCAUCAACAGAAUCUUUCAAGACAGCUUAUUCUCCGUUUAAUUUGAUUACAUAAUCUUUGAAGGCAUAAUACAUAAACAAGUUCUUUAACUUGGCCUCAGAUCACAUCUAUGACCUCCAACUUUGGUUGUGCACAAGUAGGCACUUAAACUUGUAUAAAGUUGAACAAGUAGACACAUAUGUCAUAUGUGGCGUCCUACGAGGCCAAUUAUUGUCCUCCAUGGCAUCUUACGUGUAUUAAGCUACAUAUAACAUGUGUGUCUACUUGUUCAACUUUAUACAAGUUCAAGUGCCUACUUGUGGACAUCCAAAAUUGGAGAUCAUAGAUGUGCUUUGAUGUCAAGUUAAAGGGCAUGUUUAUGUAUCAUGCCAUCUUUUUAACUUGCAGUGAACUUUUAAAAGGAUAUGCAAGUAACAUGUUACUUAAAAUUAUGGUGACAUAUGUUCUUCAUAAGCUUUAUAGUCAAAUUUAUUUGACAUAGAUCUGUGUUUCUCCUAUAACGGUAUAGAAAUAUCAUGCUCCAUGGAUCUCAUUAUAACACCAUCAGAUAACUGUAACUCCUGAGCAUAAAUCACAGUUAUGCGUAUUGGAAAUUGCAAUUGAUGUUAGGAAUGCAGAUGCACAGCUUUAUUAAGUUUGGAAAUUGCAAUUGGUGUUAGGAAUGCAGCCACAAUCAUCAUCAUUAGCAAAGUAGUGCUAACAAUUAUAUAAGCAACAUAUAUAAGCCACAUGUUGAAAACAUAAUGGAAGAUUAUACAAUUUGUGUUAGCCUAUUGACAUAAUAUGUUUUAAUAAUAACAAAUUAAUAAAGGAAAAAUGCAGAAUACACCGAAGAUGGAAUCAAGGCAAGAAGGAUCUUCACCGGAGCUGAACUUGGAUCCCCAACUACAAGGAAGUCGAAGCUGGAUUUGGAACAACAAUUAUGAGAAGAUCUCAUUAGAUCCCUAACUAUCGGAAAGUCAAUCCUACUAAAGACAAUCACAGGUCAAAAGUAGAUCUCACAAGGAACCAUGGAAGGAUAGAAGAUCACACCCUCUAUAUGGACAUAUUUGAUAUGAACAUGUAGCUGAGAGUCCAUUUUCAAGAAAGGAAGAUCAUAUCAUACGAAGGGACAUAUCUAAUAUGGAAGUACCAUAUAAUGUGAAUCCUCAAUCAAGGAAUCAAUUCAAAUCCUUGAUUGAGAAGAAAUUCCUUGGGUUUUUCUUUUAGAGCAAAGAAGUCAGAUCACAUGAAGGCUAUAAAUAAGAAGAUUAAAGAUCGAAGACCUGACGCAACUUCAUAGGAAAUUCUUAGUGUGUCUCAAUCGUCAAGUCUUCAUAAAGCUUUGUAAUUUUCAAGUUACACUAGUUCCAAAAAGAGAAAGAUCGAGUCAACGUAGUUAUACCAAUUGCGGCUGUGUCACAAGAUUUGAAUAACAAAAUAAGAUUCGAAAAUUGUUCGAACACUCUGUAACCUGUUUCUCUCAUUAAGAGCUCUAAAGAAUGUCCCUGUAACCUAAGGGGACUGGAGUAGACAUCACAUCGGUGAUUCAAACCAGGAUAAAUCUUUGUGUCUUUUACUUAUUUGCUUACUUACAUUUUCAACUCUAUUAUGUUUUGCAUAGUAUACUAACCUACACGUGGGCGACUAUCAAGGCUGAUCAGUCGACUCAAAAUUUUUUUUUAAUUCAUAACUCUCUUAACCCCCUCUUGAAUUUCAAUUUGAACUCAUUGUAAAUUAAAAAAGGUCUAUAAAUAUUCAGCAUUUUGGCCAAAAUGUGUUGUUAUAAAAAAUCCAGAUUUAUUAUUUGAUAAAGAUAUUAUUGAAUGAAAUUACAUUUAUGUUUUUUUGAUCGUCCUCAACUCAUUCUUCUAUAUAGUAGAAAAAUUUAGUCGCGAAUGAAAGCUGAGCUAAAUGCAGCAUUAUAAAAAAAAAUCAUGAGUGAAAAAUGCUUUUAGAAGAAAAUUACUUUUUUAGCUAUGAAAAGAUGCUUAUUCUACUUUCCUUAAAUACUUCUUCCAUUGACCAAACAUCUAAUUUUUUUAAAAAAUAAACACCAAACAUGAAAGGUGAUCUGAACAAUAUAAUUAUUAAAAAAAAAAUCAAAAUCAAAUUGACGAAUAAGCAAGUGAUUGAUUUUUUUUAAUUUUUAUUAGCAAAAAAAAGAUUAUCAUAUAAUAAAAUUUAAAUAACCAUUAACACAAUCUUAAUGAAGACUUAAAAUGUUGUCUAAUACCUAAACAACAAACUCACCAACCAAAUUGAAGAAAAGGAAGGAAAAUGGCAUCGCCUCUACUUACCAAACAGUUUAUCGGUGCUCCGAUUUCCAUCCAACUUCUCCUCUUCCAAUCUCCAAAUCCAUGGUCACCGAUUAGAGCACAACCGACUAGGUGAAUCUUUUUGCCCUCCAUCUGCUUGUUGAAAUGUCUGAAUGAACAACUUGAGGUGUAUCACUUCCUUUUCUUGCUUUUGUGUGAUUUAAGAAAUUGGGUUUUAUGCUUUAUUAUAAUUUUCUUGUUUUGAUAACUUGUGAUGUUCGAAUUAAUUUACGUAUAUCUUUUUUUUUUGUUUUUGUGUGAAUUAAGAAAUUAGGUUUUAUACUUUAUUGCAAUUUCUUGUUUUGAUAACUGUGGUGUCCAAGUUAGCUUGCAUGCCUCGAUUAAUUUCACCUCGCAUUAGCAACAGAUAGAUAUCAGGUAACUCUAAAGCUAAUUUCACUUGAUACUUGUCCACCUCUCACUAACAACAAAUAUCAAGUAGUUCUAUUCACUAACUUUGUUGCUUAAGGCUAUGACAUAUACAGUGAUAUGAUAUUUGUCGCUCCAGUGAAUUUAAUUAAGGUGCUCAAAAAUCGGAUAGAACUUUAGGGUUCUCAAAAAAUAAAAAUAAAAAAAGAUUAUCAUAUAAUAAAAUUUAGAUGACAAUUAAAAUAAGAGUCAUAAAGACUUAAAAGAUCUUUUGUCUAUAAGGAAAACAAAUAACUUAUCAACCAAAUUCAAGAAAAAGGUGUGAGAAAAGGAAAGAGAAUGGCAUCGUCUCUACUUAAUUAUAAUGUAAUCAUUUAAAGAAAGAAACGAAGUCUUUGAUUAUUUUUUUUUUGGGAGAGGGGUUGGGGUUGGGGUAAGGGAAUAUUAUACUCCCUCCAUUCCUAAAUACUUGUCAUUGUUACUAAAAAUAGACGAUACACAAUAUCUAUUAUUUUACAAAAUUAAGAUAUAAUUAGUUGUUUGUUUCUACAUUUGCCCUUGAUCAUAAAUGUAGAAAGAUAACAGUAUGGUGCAAAAGCGAGAAAUAUUAAAUUGAACGGAGUAAUAAAUAAGGGUAAUUUAGUCAAAUUAUCAGUCUAAUUAAUGUUUUUCUUAAGGGGCAUGUAAAAUAAAACAUGACAAGUAUUUCAGAACGGAGAACUGGAAGUUCAGGUAGCCAACCUAAUGAAUUACUAAGAUUUUCGAGUCUUGAAAGUUGAUGUUUGUUUCAUACUUUCUUUGUAUCCGUGAUCAUUCCACCAAGUAAGAAAUCACAUGUAAUUUAACACAUGUAAUUUUUUUGUAUGCGUAUGCGAAAUUGGUAAGGAUUAAUACUUCAUUUCUAUUGGGAUCUUUACACAAAAAGCCGAUUUAGUUUACUGUAUACAUUUCUAGUUGGCAUAUAUCAAUGACACAUUAUAAAUGAAUUCUACAUAUAGUAUGUAUCGGUUAAUUUAAGCAGUUGAGUAUUCGACUAUUGUGGUUAGUUCGUUACUUCUAUUUCUAUGGCCGGCGAUCAUAAAAACCCUAAUAAAGUUUGAUCUGGACUGAUCUAUAUGGGCUUUUUGUUGGGUUUUUCAUCACUCUAUUUUGUAAGCCCAACCUAUUGCUCAUGAUCCAACACAACAACAAUUCAUUUUAUGUAGUAUUCGCGAAUUCUAGAAAAAAACGCCACCUAAACAUUUUUAAAUUAUUAAAUGCCUAUAGAAACGAUAAUAACAACAAUUCAGUGUAAUUUCACAAGUGAAAUCUAAAAAGGGGAGAGGCGUAUCGGUCCUUAUUCUAUCUCUAUGGGGGUAGAGAGGUCAAUUCUGAUAGGGUCUCGACUCAUCGAAAUCAUUAUUCAAGACAGAACUAAAAACCAAGAGUAAAAAAUUUUUAAGCACAAUGAAUCCAUCUACUUUUCUAUCAUCUGGUAUGCGAAACUCAUUUAUCCAACUAUAUCAUACGUAUCGCAAAGUGGUGUAGGGUCUACUUAAAGUUUUUUUUAAAAAAAUACUCCAUAUCAAAAUUUCUCCAAUCCCCUUAUUCAAUCCUGAAGGAUCUAUUUGUCUAUCAAAAAAAUUUACACAUACACAUCAGAACAACAAAAGAUUCACGCCGCCUAAGGUUUAUUUAAGAGAAAACGGCCCCCUAUAAGAAAGUUCUUCAUUUCAAUAUUCGAAUCUGAAGAAUCUAUCGAUCUACUAACAAGAUUUUAUCACACAAACAUGAGAACAACAUUAAGAAAAUCAAGGGAGCAUACAAAUACUCCAUAUCCCCUUAAUCGAUCUUGCAGGAUAUCUAUCUGUCUACCAGAAAAAUUUCACACAUCACAUCAUAACAACAAAAGAUUCACGCCGCCUAGGGUUUAUUUAAGAGAAAACGGUUUCCCAUAAUAAAGUUCUUCAUUUCAGGAUUCGAACCUGAAAAAUCUAUCGAUCUACUAACAAGAUUUUAUCACACAAACAUAAGAACAAACAUUUACAAAAUCAAAGGAGUAUAGAAAUAAUACACAUAAAUAACCCAUCAAAAAGGGAAAACAAAUCAAGUGUACGUACAGAAAACAAGUCUAUAAUUUAUUUUAAAACAAUAAAGAUGAAUCAAUUAAUUUACUAAAGUUUACCUAUUAUUAGAAGAAUACUCAUACAAUUUUCCUGUACAUGAAUAAACAAUAGUAGCAACUUGAGCAUCACAUAAAAUGGCUAACUCAUUAGCUUUUUUCACUGAUCCUUGUCUACUUUUGGUGAAGGUAACAUCUCUAUAUUGUGAGUUCUCAAUUUUCUUCAUCUCAAUUUUUCUUCACACCAUUUUACCUUCCUUUUCAAUAUGUGAAAAAAAAUAAUAAGUCAUUUGUGAUGAGUUUAUGUGUUUAUAUAGAUAUGUUGAAUGAUUGAAGGAUGGAAAGAAAUUUUAGAAUUUAGGUAAGAAACUUAGGAAGUUACUCGCACACAGUGUUUAUGCCAGAUCGAAUUAUCUUAUCAUGGUUAAGUUCAGUGUGUCUUAGACUUUUCGAAUAUAGUUUAGGAUGUAAACUAUGACUUUUUCCUAUUUUUUAUAAACCAUGUCUAACCGACGUGCGCUAACACAAGACUUCUUAACUUAACAUGAUAAGAUAAUUCGAUCUGGCAUAAACACUGUGUGUGAGUAAGUUCCUAAAUUUCUUACCUAAAUUCUAAAAUUUCUUUCCAUCCUUCAAGCAUUCAACAUAUCUAUAUGAACACAUAAACUCAUCACAAAUGACUCAUUUUUUUUUUUUUUUCGCAUAUUGAAAAGGAAAGUAAAAUGGUGAGAAGAAAAAUUGAGAUGAAGAAAAUUGAGAACUCACAAUAUAGAGAUGUUACCUUCACCAAAAGGAGACAAGGAUUAGUGAAAAAAGCUAAUGAGUUAGCCAUUUUUUGUGAUGCUCAAGUUGCUACUAUUGUUUAUUCAUGUACAGGAAAAUUGUAUGAGUAUUCUUCUAAUAAUAGGUAAACUUUAAUAAAUUAAUUGAUUCAUCUUUGUUGUUUUAAAAUAAAUUAUAGACUUGUUUUUUGUAUGUGCACUUGAUUUGUUUUUCCUUUUUGAUUGGUUGUUUAUGUGUAUUUCUAUACUCCUUUGAUUUUGUAAAUGUUGUUCUCAUGUUUGUGUGAUAAAAUCUUGUUAGUAGAUCGAUAGAUUCUUCAGGUUCGAAUCCUGAAAUGAAGAACUUUCUUAUAGGGAGCCGUUUUCUCUUAAAUAAACCCUAGGCGGCAUGAAUCUUUUGUUGUUUUAAUGUGAUGUGUGAAAUUUUUCUUGUAGACAGAUAGAUCCUUCAAGACCUAAUAAGGGGAUAUGGAGUAUUUGUAUGCUCCUUUAAUUUUCUUAAUGUUGUUCUCAUGUUUGUGAGAUAAAAUCUUGUUAGUAGAUCAAUAGAUUCUUCAGAUUCAAAUAUUGAAAUGAAGAACUUUCUUAUAGGGAGCCUUUCUCUCUUAAAUAAACCCUAGGCGGCGUGAAUCUUUUUUUGUUAUGCUAUGUAUAUGUAAAGUUUUUUGGUGGACAGAUAAGAUCCAUCAGGAUCGAAUAAGGGGAUUGGAGAAAUUUUGAUAUGGAGUAUUUUUUUUAAAAGAAACUGUAAAUAGACCCUAUGCCGCUUUGCGAUACAUAUGAUAUAGUUGGACAAAUGAGUUUCGCAUACCAGAUGAUAGAAAAAAUAGAUGAAUUCAUUGUGCUUAAAAAUUUUUUACUCUUGAUUUUUAGAUCUAUCUCGAAUAACGUUUUUGAUGAAGCGAUAUCCUAUCAGCAUUAUUCUGACCUCUCCACCCCCAGAGAGGUAGGGUAAGCAUUGUGAAUAGUUAAUUAAUAUUUAUCUAAACUCUUUUGAGAUUGCUCAUAUUACAUGAAUGAAAUAAUACACGGCUCUCAAAAGGAGUACUCAUUCUUUUAAGUGUAAAUCCAACCAAAUAAUGUGUGUAUUCUAGUUACAACUGAUAAAAAAUUAAACUGGAAAUGUCAUGUAAGAUUUGACUAUCGUAGAAUAGAUAAUUCUCAAAAACAUUUUAUAUUUUUGUUCUCAUUUAAGUAAUGGGAGAUUUAUUUGAAGAAAAAAAUUUAUUUAAAAAUGUCAUUAUUAUUAUUAUUAUUUUGGUUUUCCACCGGGUGUUCGGUACCCGCAUUGGAGUCCUGACUAAUCUGAAUAGCGCAUUGCAGAGUCCAUUCUGGGGGUGGCGCUCCCAAAAGGAUUUUGUCCAUACCUAGGGCUCAAACCUGAGACCUCUAGUUAAGGGUGGAGUAGUCCUACCACAACCCAUGUUGGUUAAAAAAAUGUCCUUAUGGAUUUAACAAAAAUGCUAAGUUAUCAUUUCAAAAAAAUAAGAUUUAAUUAUUUUUCGUAAGAGAGUUAAGAUGGGACAGAACUUAAAGAUAAUUACCCCCUUAAUUAUUAUUUUUUUGUGUGAAAAAAAAAAAGAAAAUCUUAUGAAUCACCAACUAAACAAAUUACAAAACUCAUAGGGACACCACUAAUACUUCUAUGUCUAAUUAGUCGGGGACUAAUCAGAGCAUUCUACCUACCUACCUCUGUUCAGUAUUAUCUCAGUUGUACAACUUCUGUAAUGGUUCCUAUUCUUUACUGUUUUAUGCCCUAUACCCUGUAUUUACACUCUUCUUUAAUCUGGUCGCAUAUCAUAGCUGAUCGUUGGACUUUGUGAUUCCAUAGUGUCUUGUUCCUAGCACUCCAAAUAGCACAUAACAAAGUAGCGAAACACUAUGUGCAAAGCUUCUACGGAACCUUCACUUCAGUUUUCUAAACACUCUUCUCCAUACGUCAGGAUGAGAUGUUUCUAUUCCAUAUAUACCUAGUCACUGCAGUAAGUCAUUUAAGAACAUUCGUGACAAUUAGAUGUUUGAGGUCUUAUUCAGCAUCCACACAUACUAUGCAUAACACAUCAUGUCCAUAGUCCAUUUUCUGCAUUCUUUUCGGUGUGAGCAAUAUGUAAUGACCACUAAGCCUACAAAUAAAGCUAUGCUUGGGCACAUUUAGGCCGUUCCAUACCCAUCUCCCCUUAAACUAAUUAAUCUCAUCCAAAUAGCCAUGAAAUUGUAAUAAAAUUUGCUUACAUGCACCAAAAAUGUGCAGGAGAUCAGUCCAAAAAUCUAAAUAACCAAAAAAAUGCUUUAUUUUGUACUAAAUUUAACUACUUCAGCUAAAUGACAAAUUAAAAUAAAGUUUACACACAAAAUAACAUUCAAAACAAUGAUGAUUUAACUUCCGCAGUUCUAGUACAACAACUUUGAUGAUAAUUUAACUUUAGCAGUUAUGGAACAAUAACUUUGUAUCUUAGAUGCUUUUGUAAGUGUGCUCUUAAUGUGCUCCUAAGUUCAUAGAAUUCAUUGAACCUUACCCUCUAGAAAAUUAAUAAAACUUAGCUGUGAGUCCAACCACCACAGAGUGUGUUCUAUGACAGAACUUGAAUCCAAACUCUUGUCCACCUUCAGAAAGGAUACUUCCUCAGUUGACCGAUCUGCCUCAUAUUAGAUUGAACAAUAUAAAACAAAACGACAAAUAAUGAAUAUUUUUUAUUUGUGAAUUUUAAUCCAAUUUAAAAGUUAGCUGAAUUACCAAAUGCUAAAUCUUCAUCAUUAUAACACAUUACUGUUCACUCAUAUUUUCACCAAGAGCGACACUUUAUGAUUUCAUAGUUAUCUAUAAUUAAAGAACUGUGACUCUUCUUAAUACUAUUCUUUAAAAUUUACCACAUAUCUCUAUUGUAGUUAAAUGUCAUAUAAGCCAUGAUCACAAGAAUAUACAUGAAUUCUUGUUUAUGUAUAGUUUACUUGUUUGCUAGAAUGAAACAUGAAUUAAGUGAUAAUAACAUUCUGAAACCCAGAAAAUAUUGGAUGCUUAAAUCUAUAGGUGAAUAAAAAUAAAACGGAUUAGGUGCUACAUGCACUCCACUACAUAUAAGUUCUCUGACGGGCUCAUAAAUUUUAGCUAUUACACUGUUGAAAUAUCAAUUUAUAUUGUGGAUGUUCUUGAAAGCGUUCACUUAAUUUGCUCUUAAGAUUAACUUGCAGAAUCCAUUAUAACUUAAAGUAUACCAAAGUAAUGGACCUCAGUUGUGAGAUGUUUAUUGAUCUGUAUAACAGGAAUAAGAGGUUGAAACAGAAAGAUGAAAGAGAUUUAUGUUCAAUCUCCAACCAACUAACAAUCAUUUCUUUCCUAACAUGUCCUCUAAUCCAUAAGUUGCCUCACUUUCUCAACAUUUCCCCAUAUCCCAAGUACACCUUAAAUACUUAGCAACAAUAAAUAUGCAGCAGAGAAAGUAGCAAUGAUGGACGACUUGGUAUGCUGUUUUCCUAAUGCAUUGCCCCCUUUUGUUUCUCUUCUCUCUCACUUUCAUGGUUACUAAUUUGAUGGUUGACCUUUAUUUCUAUUUUUUCACAAAAUUAUAGUAUAUACUUUUUUUUGUUUAUUUAUUUUGACUGGUUUAAAAUAUUUUACAUCUUCUCUCCUUAAAAUUACGGAAAAAAUAAUAUUAGUUUUAUCACGUUAAGGUAUAAAUAACUUAAACGUAAAGUACAAUUAUGAUAACUUAUUUUACUUUUUAUGUAGUUUUUAAAUAUGUAAAAUAUUUUAAAAAAAGUUUAAAGAUUGUACUUUUGAAUGCGGGAUCCUCCAUUUUGUUGUUCAUGUUGAUGUAAAGUUAAACUAUGUCUAGCUUACUCAAAUCAAAUUCGGCCCGCUUAUAUCUGAUCUGACCUGCUUAGUUUUGAGGUCUUGUUGACGUUCUUAGUUAUUUUUUUUGAAUCCCUUUAAUAUAAAUCCUGGCUCCGCCACUAGUAGUUAAUCUCUUCAAUGUUGAGGUGGUUGCUGAAGUUUAUAUAGAUAGCAAUGAUGAGGAUAUUAUAAUGCAAUUAUCUUUCUCUGUUCGAAGGUACAUUAAUUGUCUGUUGUUUUACUUACAUAUUUUAUAGCAUACUGAUAUUGUUGUCUACCAAGUCACCAAGGGAGAAAGAUUUCACGAUAAUUUCGAAACUCUCUUUUUAAUGUUUUAAGUUAAUCGCUUCAAUUGUUGUUUUAUUAAUCUUUACGUAAACUCAUUACCUCAAUUCUUGGGCACAUUUAAAGUGUACAAUAUUCAUUUUCACAAACUUCAUAUUUUCAUUUUGUAGGAUUUCAGGGAUGAUAAUGACAUGAUCUCUCCUUCUCUUAAAGAGACCUUGGCAGGAAAAGUAGAUUCGAAUUUGGAUGCAUAUCAUAUGUAAAAGAAGUUGAUAAUGAUCUCAAUGUUCAACUCUCAAGUAACAAGGUCAUCAAAGUGGUUAAAAUAUGAGGAAAACGCAGAAAAUAUUUCCUCAAAUAUUAGCUUUUUCUAUUUAUUUCUAGGACGAUAAAUUCUUUAACAAUAUUUAGCAUCCAAAGUUGCUUGUUUCAUAUAGCGUCUACAACCAUUAGUGACUUCUUUUUGAUCUUAUGUGCAAAUUUGUGUUCAUAUUCAUUAAUCUCAGCUUUAAAAGGGUUAUGUGGUUGUGGAAAUCUUCUAUGACACUAGGGGUGGGCGUUCGAUCGGUUUGGUCUGAUUGUUUAAUAUCGGUUCUGUUUAUUGGUUUUCGGAUUGACAAAAAUGACAUCCGUAACCAAACCGAAAUAAAUUCGGUUUGGUUCAAUUUUUACAAAUGUGGUUCAGUUAUUUCGGAUUUUUAUUUCGGUUUGAAAUAUUAAAGUAGUUAGCCAUUUUUUUUCAUAACUGAGCAUUUAAAACUGAUGGAUUUUUUUAGAAAAAUUAUUUUUUUCAAACCUGUUUUUCAUUGCCAAAUAUAAAUAACUAUAAAUAACUCAACAUGGACGAAACGAAAUCAAAUAAUCAUAAGUUUAACAUAAUACAUAACGUCAUUAAUCAUUACAUAUAAUAUAACUUUGCACAAAUAAUCUACAAAACAACACAAAACUCAUAAAAAUAGUUCAUGAAACGACAUACUUUCUGCAUAAAUAGUCCAUAAAAUAGUCUAAAGUCGCCAAAAUAGUCCAUAAAAUAUUUGAGUCACUAAAACAAUCCAUAUAAUAUUAUAUAUAUAUAUAUAUUAUUUAUUUAUUUAUAAAAUUUUGAUUUUUCGGUUUAACCAUUUUUUUUUUUAAAUCACAAAUCGAAUCGAAAAAUCAAAAUUUUAAAAUUACAAAUCGAAUCCGAUUCGAAAAACUGAAAAACCAAAACCAAAAUUAAAUUUCGAUUUGAUUUUUCGAGUUUUUCGAUUUAAACCAAAAUAUGCCCACCCCUAUAUGACACCAUUCAUUAGAAAGUGAAAUCAUAAAAUAUAUUAUCCCCUAACUAGCUCACAAUCAUUGCAGUGACUUGGUGAGAAUGUGUAUAUAUAAAUUUUCCUCCUUAGGAGGAGUACUCUUAACAAAAAAGGUUUGUUGUUCCUUAAACAACUACAAGUGAAAAAUGCACUCCAAUUAUGAACUAUCACUUUUGAAUUGCAGAGUUGUGACGAUAUAUGGUAUUAUGUCUUUUUAAUCCAAUUUAUUAUCAGAAAAUAAGAAUUUUAAUACACCAUCAACAUAUUUUGCCAUCAAUACUUUUUCUUAAAAAUUCAUAUAGUUAAUGAUUUUUUAUAUCAUGUUUAUGUAAUUUAUUCUUUAUUUCUUUUAAAUACUGUGUGAGAAACUAAUUGAUGACAAUCUGAAGGUAAUAUUUGAAGAGGUAUCAAUUACAGUUCAUUAGAAUUUAUUACUUCUGUAUUUGUUAUGGUUUGUUAGGGAUGUCUGGCACAAAUAUAUUUUCAAUAUUUGAUUAUAAGGUACUAACAUAUAUUUAGAGUGAAUAGAGCAUGACUUCUAAAAAGAAUAUCUUUUCAUAUAUUUUGGUUACAGGUAAUUAGAACGUGAGUGAAAAAAAAAAAUUUAAUUUAAAGACUAAAGAAGUUCAUAGAUUAUAAAGAGUCUAAGUGGAUUUUUAGAUCAACUUAUAUCUUUUGUACUUAUUAUAUGGUUCUUUAUUUUUUUUUUUUAAUCUUUUUUGCUUAAAAAUAAGUGCUUAAAAGCACUUUUUUAAUUUACACAAAAACUUUAAAAGUACUUAUAAAUUAUUUUGUCUUAAAAACACUUAAAAUAAGCCAACUUAAAUCGACCCUAAAUUAUGAUAUGCAAUCCGCGCAUCGACCGGGUACUAUGCUAAUUUUAUCUUAAAGAAAAAGAUGUAACACCCCGCCCUCUCAGGCUAAAGUUUGAAUCGUCUUUUCUACACGUAUAGACCCGAACCCAAUGAUUCUUUGUUAAUAUAUGUGUGAUGAUCAAUCUUAUAGUGUUUGAAUGCCUUUGACUAUGAAUUGAGGUCACAAAAUCCCCUAACUCAAGGACGAGUUGAAAGCUUUCCUAUCGAUUGAGUUUUGCUGAGCGUCUAAAUUUGGGUCAACUUCUAUUGACCAUAACUUUUUGUAUAUAACGAAUUAGAGGGCCUAAUAUAUCAAAUGAAAGGUCUUUGAGUCCUCUUUCCAAUGCCACUAGUUUAUCCAUAAUCUGAUAUCGGGGUAAAAGGUUAUGCCCGUUUUCCAGAGAGGUGUCAUUCGAGGCCGAAUCGCGCAAAAAAGUAUGUUUUUAGCGGGGUAUUUUGGUAUUUUCCCUUCCCAGAAACCUCUCACAUGAAUUAAAUAACACCCUAAAAGUUAUUUACUCAAAUAUUAUCAGUUUUAUAACAUCAAGAUCCUCUUUUCACUCUAAAAAAUAAGAUCAAACUAGGGUUUCCUCCAAGAACAAGAAAUCAAGAAUCAAUCCUUAAGUUCAAGAUUUCAAGAAACAGAUCAAGAUUUGGGUUCCAUUUUUCAAAGCUUAUAAUCUAAGGUAUGUGGGACUUCACUAAACAUCAUGGACAUAAUUUUUCUAUUGUUUUUAUUACAUUAAAGAUCCCCAAUCAUAUUUAUAAAGAAAGGGUUUGAAAUUGUUUGAAAAGUAUAUGUCAUGAAGUUGUUUUGAAGAAAUUGUAUGUUGUCUUGAACCGGCUAUCGUGAAUUUUGAAUAUAACAAUGUAUUUAUGUUUUGGGGUGCAAUGAAAAUUUGAAUGAGAGCAUGAAUGAUCAAAAUCCCCUCUUUUAUCGUGAUAUUUUUGAUUUAUAUUGUUAUGGGUUGUUUAAAGGCAUGAACUUCCUAAACAAAAAACUAAUGGGUGAGUGCUUGUUUAAUGAUCAUGGAGUGGUACCUUUUAUGACAUGUUGGGAAUGUGUUUUCACAUGAUAAAUGCUUGUUGUGUUUAAUUAACAAUCUUUCUUGGAUUUUAAGUAAUUACUAUGAGGUGACUACCUAUUGAUUUUAUAAUUGGGAGGAGAAUAUUUUGAUAAAUAUUUAAAUGAAAAGUCUAUUGCAUAACUCUCUCUCUCAUCUGAUGUUUAAAAGUUAGGGUGGUCAUGAAUAUGAUAAUAAGUAAAAAGGGCCGUAGAUAUGAUGUGACAUGAUUUGAUUGACAUGCAAGUCAGGGUAUGACGUUACCCGAUGAUUCCAUGCCCUUAACAAGAUAGUGUUGAAUGUUUGAAAAGUAUGAAUGUGUUUUCAUUUAAGAACUAAAAGUUGGGCUUAAGAGAGCUAGUAGGUUACUCGAAGAAGGCGUUUGAGUGCAAGGGCUCAUCACCGAAAAUCGUAGUUGCCGAUACGGGACUUAUGAUAAAUGAUCCUACAUGAUAAGACAUUUUUAGGACAUCUCACAUGGGAGAAUUUCCUGCGGUGUUCUCACAGAGGGGGUAUCACCACUCCAAUCCUGAAGGCUACUUGGAUUGGAGGCUUGGCUGCUGAGUCAAGGGCGGGUUCCACAUGGCCUGUGGAUUUUCAGAUUUGUAGGGUGUACCAACUAGCUCAGAAGAAUAACAAAGGGUGAGUCAUGGUUUCAAAGAAGUGUUUUGGAGAUCACUAAAGUAUGCCCAUGUAUUUUUACUUACGUAUUAUGGUCAUUAUUUUUAUGAAAUACUCUUAUCUAUUUUGUAUUAAAAACGUGCUUUUUGAAUUGUUUCACAUACCAGUAUGUUUGUAUUGACCCCUUAUAUUUCAGGGUGAGGCUCAGUCCAGGGAUCCCGCCAAACCAUAGAAUCAUUAGACCAAGUGUGCAGUUGGUGAACCUUCUUUAUUUUGGAAGGCCUGCUGCUAGAGUAUUAUUUUGCAUUUUAGUUUUGGGUCCGACAGGGGGCCUUGUCCCAGUUAUAGACAAGUUAUUAUAUUCUGAUGUAUUAGAGAUUUCGCAGACUGAGAUGGAUAUUGUCUAUAUGUCUAUUGAUUUCAUUCUGUAUUAUAAAAUUGAACUCAGAGUAUGACCAUGAUUUCGUCUGUUUAUUUCUGCAUUCUCUUUAUUGCAUGUGAAUGGUGUUCGUGAUUGCCAGAUAAAAACGAGUCUCUCGGGCCUCCACAGUUCGAGAUGCCCGUCAUGGCCAGGGCAUCGGUUUGGGUCAUGAAAAACUUGGUAUCAGAUCAUAGUUCAUGGUCCUAGGGUGUCUGCGAAAUCGCGUCGGAUAGAGUCCUAUUUAUGGGAGUGUAUCACGUGUAAUACCCUGCAUUUUUGGACUAGUCUUUGAACCGUUGUUCCUACGUGUAUAAGCUCCAAUCCAAGUGAUUAUCAUGUGAAUACAAGUUUCAUGAUCAUUAUCCUAGUCUAUGAAGUGGUUUGGAGGUGAAAAAGGUUUAUAGCAAUGACUUAGAACAAAGUUGAGCUAAGAUCAUUUGAUUCAUCCAAAGUUGAUAUUCGAUUCUACAAGAGUCUACUUUAAACUUAUAUAACUUAUUAUAUAUAUGGAAUUUUUCAUCUCAAAAACCCACCAAAUUAUAGAUAAUUGAAUUAGCUUUUCAACGAUACCAAUUUCGCCAAAAUCCGAUACCUAAGCGAAAAGUUACAGCCAUUUUCGUGAGAGGUAGUAAGCCGAGGCGAUAAGCGAGGCGACGCCCUGCCUAUUCCGGCUAGUGUAAUUUCCUGCAGUCAAGAUCUACGUCUAAGAAGGGCAUUUUAGUCAUUUAACACCCUUAAAUAGCCCCAAUAACACGAGAUUCAGCCUCUAAUAACCAAAUUAUACCCUCAUUCUCUCAAAUUCUCUCAAGAACACACCUUAGGGUUUCAACUCAAAGUUCAAGAGAACUCAAGAUUUAACCGUCAAUUUUCGGAAUUGAUUCAAGAAUCGGAAUCCCCAAGCUAAGAGCAUCAAGAACAUCCAUUCAAAGGUACAAAUAGCAACCCAAAAGCAAGAGUUCAUUCAAGUUCCUAAUCCAAGGUAUGUAGGGUUUGAACAAGAACACCCUUUCAUUCUUGUGCCCAAAAGUUUUAGUUUUUCUUAAAGAAUUUUGUAUUUCCAAGAUGAAUUCAUAUUAUUUUUCUAUAUUUCAAGUUUGUGAGAUUAUGGAAUCGUUCAAGUCUUGAAUUGUAUUAUUAUCUUGUUUAAUUAUGAUCUAAAUUGAGAGUUCAUGAUAUAAAUUGCACAUUCCUAUAUUGAUAUCAUAUUUUCAAGAAUUUCCAAGAUUUGUUGUCAUGAAUUGAGCCUUAUUGUGAAAUUGUGAGUCUUCUUGGAAUUUGCAGCUCAAUCUUGACCUUGAGGACAAGGUCAAUUUGAUCGGAGGGGUAUUGUUAGAUCGUAAAAUGUGAAUUGGGAAAGUGUGAAUUUGGAAAGUAGCGUAGGAUUAUAUGUUAAGUGAUGAGAUGGAUCCUUCAUUAAAGUGAUGAACGACCAGAUGAUGGGUGAUAGCUAGAGCAGGUCCAAACGGUUAUAUCAACACAAGUGGAGUGGAGCCUAAACAGAUUUGGACUGGUAGUUAUUUUGUUGCUCUCUUUCUUUUUCCGUUUUCCUUCUUCCUCGACUAAUUCCUUCUCAUCAUUAAUACACUAUCACAGAUUACAAAGCUGGAAGCUUAUCAAUGGAGUUUGGUUCGCAGUAAUCUUGUAGUAGUGAAUACUAUUGUAACAAUUUUACUGAACUAUUAUCAAUAAAAUCCCAAUUCUGUUCGAUUGAAUCUUCGAUUUCUCUCUCGCGAUUCGAUUACGAUUUAAAGGACAUAACAAUCUACUUUUGUUUAUAGGUUCAUCCCUGAUGUGUCCUUACUGAGCAAGAGUUGUCAUGAAUCAUGUAAAUAAAAAUACUAAUGAAAUUGAAUAAAUAUAAGAUUAAAAGAAGUAACUUACUCAAUCCACCUGCCAAACAUCCAUACUAAUCUUGUUCUUGAAAUUUUUUGCACCAAAUUUAUACAUGAAGGAGAGGUAUCACAUAAAUUUAGCUUUAGAGUUACCUGAUAUCUAUCCGUUGCUAGUGGAAGGUGGACAGAUAUCACGCAAAAUUAAUUAAGGUGCACAUAAACUGACUCGGACACCAUGGUUCUCAAAACAAGAAAAUUGUAAUAAAGUUUAAAACCCAAUGUCUUAAUUCACACAAAAACAAGGAAAAAAAGUGAUAAACCUAAAGUUGUUCAUUCAGACAUUUCAACAAACAGGUGGAGGGCACAAAGUUUCACCUACUCGUUUAGGCUGUAAUUGGUGAGCUGGGAGUUUGAAGGUUAGAAGAGGAGAAGUUGGAUGGUAGCUGAACCGAUAUGAAUCUGGAAAACGGAGCCCCGAUAAACUAUUUGGUAAGUAGAGACGAUGCCAUUUUCUUUCCAUUUUCUUCAAUUUGGUCGGUGAAUUUGUGUUUUGGUAUUAGACAACAUCUUUCAAUUUUCACAAUAAUCUAUUAGACCAUUAUACUUAUAGUUGUCCGAGUUUGUAACAUAGACACUACUAGCUAUAGUUUAGUUAACAGUUCAAAAAUGAUUUUCUUAUAAUAUUCCUCGACCAAAUCACAUAAUAGUUGUCACCUUCCACCACCACCAAUAGAUAGUUGAGUAUGGAACCAUUGAAUGAAGGACCAUACAAUGUUUUCCAUUUCCCACAUAAUAUGAAAUUUAAAUCCGCAUUAAAAAACCACUAAACUUGAAAUUUUUGAAACACUAUAGUUGAAACUUCAAAAAUCAUUUUUUUAUAAUGCUGGCAUGUAGUUCAACUUUCAUGCAUCUCGACUAAAUUCACGAAAUACUUGCCACCUUCUCAGGGGCUGCUCAAGAAAAUCGGUGGCCUAAGGUGAAAGUCAAACGGAGGCCUUAAAAUUUUAAGAAAAAAAUAUUAUUUUUAAUAAACUCUAUUUUUAUAAUUAUAUAAUUUAUUUUUUUAACUAUUCCUUUUUAAGAAACAAUAAAUUAAUACAUUUAAUCUUUCAUGAGACAAAACACUCUAGAUAUAUGAACUUUUAAUAGUUCUUUCCUUUUAUCUAAAAUAACUUAAUUUUUCUAUUAAUAAUAGUUAUUUAUUUUUGUAAAAUAUUUAUAAUAUAUUAUCCUAAAAAAUGAGGCCUUUCAAAUUUGGGGGUCUAACGCCGCCGAAAAAUUUUACUAUGGGUCUCAUGCACCACCUCAUAUUUGCAUGAGGCCCCUAUUAUUUUGACACAUAAGCUUUGUGGACCCCACCACCUAAAAUAAUUUGCAUUUUUAUAUUCUUUUAUUUUCUAAGUUAUUUAAUUUUUUUUAUUUUUUGGAUAAAUCACUUUUUUUCUUUUCUUUUUCUUUUAUGGGGUUAACUUUUAUUUACUUUUUUUUUUCUUUCUUUGUCUGUUCUUCAUUUUUUUCUCGUGUUACUAUACUAAAUAAAUUGAUAUUUUUAUUAUUUUUCUUUGUUUUUAUUUCCUCCUAAUUUUUAUUUGUUGGUAUUUAUAAACAAAUUAAUUUUUUUCACUCGACUUUGGUGGUAAUUUAUAUAUUUUAAUUAUAUUCUCUUAAUUAUUUGUUAGUAUAAAGAAUUUUGGAUAUUGAAAAUUUAAAAUUAAAUUUCAUAAGUAAUAAAUUUAUCUUUCGUAAGUCUAUAUGAUAUUAUUUAUUAUGAUUUAAUAUUAUUAAAUUUAUCUCUAAUAUUUAGAAAUUAAGAAUCAUCACAUAUUUUAUACUAUUAAAGGUAUUUCUUGUGUAACAAAAUCUAAAGUUGAUAGGAUCAAAAAAUGGAGUGGAUCCUACGUAAAUCUAAAUAUUGAUUUUAAUUUUUUCAAUACUCUUUUCCUAAAAUUUUAGAGUUGCCUCAUCAUUAAAAUAGACAUAAAAAAUUAAAUUAAAAUAUCUUUUAGAGUUCGUUUGAAUAAAAUUAAAAUAUGAUCAAAUCAACAUUUAAUCCCUUAUUAACUUUUUUAGAUGUGUGGUAGAAUUAAAAAGUACUUAAGAAAUGUUAAAAUUUAAUUUUAAAAAAAAAAACAAAAAGUGAGACACCGGGUAUCCCCAAUUUUUUACUUUUUGAAUUAAAAUUCUCUUUAGUUUGACCUAGACAUUUACUUUCUUAUUCCUUAUAUUUUUCUCCAAUUUCAACAAUAUUCUAAAUUUGUAGCCCUUAAAUAUAUUAUUUUUCCCUUUGCCUCUUCUCUCCGUCUCUUUCUUCUAGUUUCCUCUUCAUUUUUUUUCUUUGUUUUUAAAUUAUUAAAAUUAAAAAUUAUAUAUAAUUCAAUUUAUUUAUGAUAUUAGCAGCUUUAAAAGUAUUUAAGUCAUUUUGAAAAUAAAAAAGUGUUUAACAACCCUUGUUUAUCAAGCAUAUCCACAACUUCUUUUCAGUUUCAACACUUUUAUCCAAACAUUUAUCUUCUUAAUUUCUAAACACUUAUUUUCAGCUUUUAAACACAUAAAUUAAAAAGUUAUUUUUUAAUCCUAUCCAAAUAGGCUCUCGAUCGAUCUUAAAUUAAAAAAAUAUAAAAUAUAUUCAAGUAUUCUUUAACUUUUGUGAUUGUAAACAUGUCAUGUAAACAAUUAAAAUUUAAAAAAAAUAGAAAAUGAAAAAUACAUUCUUUUUGAAAUGAACUUAUAGAAAAGUGACACAUUAACAACAGUCCCAGUGUAUUCCCACAAAGUAAGGUCUGGGGAGGGUAAGACGUACGCAGUCCAUACCGCUACCUCUGCAGAAUUAGAGAGGUUAUUUCCAAUAGAUCCCCGGCUCAAGAUAGAGAAUAGUACACCAAAGUCGUAAUGAAACACGAAACAGGAUGGAUGGCAUAAACGAAAGACGAGAUAAGAAAUAAUAAACAUAAAAUACAAAAUAAAUAUCAGAGAAAUACUAAAAUAAGCAAAAUAAUAGCAAUUCAAAAUAAGAAAUAAGAAAGAGGACACGCACUUAGUAGUAUCAUGCACUCACAGACCAAAGACACCCACCACACCCAAACUCUCCUGACUAGAGGCUCCUACUCAUGGAAACAGCCCUAGAAUUACUAGCCCGACUACACAAGCGCUCUCCUACCACCUUGCUAUAACCCAUACACUCACACUAGCCUUCUACCCUAAUCCGCAACCUCCACACCUUCCUAUCUAGGGUCAUAUCCUCAGUGAGCUGAAGCUGCUUCAUGUCAUGUCUAAUCACCUCCCACCAGUAUUUCUUCGGCCUACCUCUACUCCUCCCAAAGCUAUCCAAAGCUAGCCUCUCACACCUCCAAAUUGGGGCAUCCGUGCCCCUCCUCGUCACAUGCCCAAACCAUCUCAACCUUCCUUCUCGCAUCUUGUCCUCCACCAAAACCACUCCCACCUUCUCCCGGAUAGUGUAAUUCCUAAAUCUAUCCCUUCUAGUGAGUUUACACAUCUGAUGCAACAUUCUCAUUUCCUCCACUUUCAAUCUUUGAAUGUGAGAGUUUUUGACUAGCCAACACUACGUUUCGUAUAGCAUGGUAGGAUGGACUACCACUCUGUAGAAUUUGCCUUUAAGCUUAUGUCACGACCCCAACUGGGGCCCUGGACAUAACGAGCAUUCCAAACCAUGAAGGCUCGAAACACCCUUCCCUAUCUGGUAAUCAUGCACAUAAUUCACAUGAUAAAAAGAAAUGCGGAAGAUACACAAUAUUACGGAAACAUGGUCAUGAGUCUAAUGAAAUCAAUAAUGGGAAAUAAUGUCCCACAACAUCUAACGACAUCUGAAAAUUAUUUGUGAAAUCUCUAGUACAUGACUAAAACAACUGUCUGAAAACUGGGACAAGACCCCCAGUAGACCCAAAACUAUCAAAUGAUAAAUAAACUGCCAGACAUCAGGCCUUCCGGAAUAUAGAAGGCUCACCACUUGACUCUGCAAAUCUGUCUGAAGAAUCUACUGAUUAUCUGGACCCCUAGACUGUGCCUCCGAACCUGGGAGGGAAGAAUACAAAGUACUGGUACGCAGAGUAAUCCAAAACAAAGUAGAGAUUUUUAUAUAAAAUAAAUGAGAGCUGUUAUAAAACACAUUAUUGCAAAAUGCUUUCGAAAAUACAUGGGCAUAGUAUAAUAAUUUUUCAACAACAAUGCAACACAUCUGAGCUAGGUGGUACACCCUACAGUUUCACAUUUUUACCAACAGUCAAAUCUCGGUUGCCGCCGAGAUUAAAGUAUAAGUGAGGGAAAGACACACAAGAUCACACAGCAGGGUGUCUCAACCCAAUCAAAUAUGGUAGUUCACAAGAUCACAAAGCAGGGAUCCUAACCAUAGUCCCAAUUUGGGAUGACAUAAUGUCAGGUACACAAGAUCACACAGCGGGGUACCAAGUUCCCGAGUCGGUAAACAUGGUUUCCAGCGUAGAGUCAUUUGACUCGUGCUUUCUUCGGGUAACCACCUAUCUCACAAAAUCAAUGCAUGAAAUUUAUUUUAAUCAAUCAUAUGUCAUACUCUGUAGGGUAUCAUCAUACCCGACUUGCAAGUCAUCAAUAUCAUAUCAACUUUCCAACUUCUCAUACCAUUUACCACAUGCACAUAUGUAUGAAUUUCACACCAUUAAAACACAUACACCAUAGUUCUCAACAUGCAAUUAUUCAAAAAGUUUAAUCAUUUAUGAGUAAUGUCAUAUCAAUUGCAAAACUCAUGCUCUCAAUGGUUUAACACUAGUAUAAUAUGGGGUAUAAAAAUUAUCAUGGGGAAUUUAGAAAAUUCACAACUCAUGUACAUCGCACCCUUUUGAAAGUUCAGGUCACAUGUUCACAAUUCAACCAUUUAAAUACAGUCAAACAAACAACCCUAUGAUAGCUCAAUAAUUCUUUCAAAAUCAUAUAUCAAAACAUGUUAUUUAUAUCAAUUGAAAACCCUCAUUUGUAAAAACCUAUAUAUACUUGUAUAAAUUUAAAGUCUUGCGUAAAUUCCUUUUUGAAAACAUGCCCAUGAAAUUUAGGACAACCCCACAUACCUCUAUUUCAGAAAGUGAUGGGUGCUUCUUGAAGCCCAUGGUCUGGGGAUUCUGAAUCUACAAUCAAUUUCUGAAACUCACGGUUGAAUCUUGAGUUACUUGGGUUUUUAGUUUGAAACCCUUGGGAGUGUUCUUGAGUAAUUUUGGUGAAAGUAUGGAUAAUAUGCUCAAAUGGGGUUGAAAUUUCAUGUUUGAGCUAAUAGGGUGUGGGAAAAUACCUAAUAUGCCCUUUAUGAGAAGAGCUUAAAUGCUGAAAAUUUUUCAGGCGUGAAAUAGAACAUGAGUCGAAUGCUAAUUCCCAUCGCACUGGAGUAUGCGAUGCAUGCUAUAUCGCAUGUUGCCACCAUGCGAUGGACCAUGCGACACAUGCAUAUCUUAUGGUGCUACUGUUUUGGAAAUCAAAUGCGCCUUAAACUAUGGCCAAAAAUUUUGAAACUCACCCGAGAUGUUCUAUAGGCUUGCCCCAUCGCAAUGGAACAAAAAAAUCUGAAAACGGAGGACGAAAGGACUGAAAAUGAGAUUUCCGAAGGUUCAGAGUGACAAAUGAAACUAAGUCUCUUUUACACUUAGAAUAUUUUCCACAAUUUAAGCUUCUAUCCCAUGCACAUGCUAUUACAGGAUAACGUAUUGUACAAUUUUCUAUGGGGAAUUAAAUUAUCCCCCUGUUAGGAUCAUUCGUCCUCGAAUGAUGAUGCGGAAUUACAGUCAAGCACGAUUUCUAGCAUACUAAGACAUAGAAAGCAUAAGUCAAGGAUUGUACCUUCCAUCUUAUCAUUCACCGGACAAAUAAGCUUGGGUAUCUAACUCUCAUGUCAUUUUCUGAUUCCCAAGUUGCUUCUUCAACUUUUUGAUUUCUCCACAACACUUUAACUGAGGCUAUCUCUUUGCUCCUCAAUUUUUUAACUUGAUGAUCUAAUAUUGCUACAGGCUCUUCUUUAUAAGACAAGGAAUCGGUCACUUUGAUUUUUUCAACAAGCAACACUAAGGAAUGAUCUCCAAUGCACUUCUUCAACAUGGAUAUAUGAAAUACCGGAUGGACGGAACCCAAACUUGCAGGAAACUCUAACUCAUAUGCCACUCCACCUAUCCUUUUUACAAUCCGAUAUGGUCCUAUAUAGUGAGGACUUAGCUUACCUUUCUUACCGAAUUGCAUAACUCCCUUCAUAGGAGAAACUUUAAGAAAUACCCAAUCUCCAACCUCAAACACUAAAUCUUUUCUUCUAACGUCGGCAUAGGAUUUCUGACGACUCUGAGUUGUCUUAAGUCGUUCUCUGAUGAUUUUCACGUCCUUCAUUGCCUGAUAAACAAGAUCAGGCCCAAACAACUGCGUCUCACCAACUUUAUACCACUCUAUCAGAGACCUACAUCUUCUCCCCUACAACAUCUCAAAUGGUGCCAUAUUAAUACCGGCAUGGUAGUUAUUAUUGUAAGCGAACUCAAUCAAUGGCAAAUGAUCUACCCAACUACCUUUGAAAUCUAUUACACAAUACCUUACCAUAUCUUCGAGGGUCUGAAUGGUGCGUUCUGCUUGCCCAUCAGUUUGAGGAUGGAAUGCAGUGCUUGAGUUCACCUGGGUACCUAAACCCCUUUGAAAAGACUUCCAAAACUGAGAAGAAAACUUCUUACCUCGGUCAGAUAUAAUAGAGAGAGGUGCUCCAUACAAAUAGACUAUUUUCUCAAUGUAUAGCUUCGCAUAAUCAUCUCCCGAAUAAUUAGUCCUCACAGGAAAAAAGUGGGCUGACUUCGUCAACCAAUCUACAAUCACCCAAAUGGAGUCAUACUGGUUUCUGGACUUCGGAAGUCCUGUUAAUGAAGUCCAUAUUUAUCAUCUCCUACUUCCAUAAAGGCAGAGCUAUCUCUUAGGAAGUACCUCCUGGCCUCAAAUGUUCUACCUUCACUUGCUGACAGUUCAAACUCUUGUAAAAAAAAUCAGCCGCAUCACAUUUUAUGUUAUUCCACCAAUACAAAGUUUUCAGAUCAUGAUACAACUUAGUAGAGCCCGGGUGAACAACAUACCUUGAAGUGUGAGCCUCAUCAAGGAUUCUUUCCAGCAGCCCAUCAACAUUCGGAACUCACAACCUACCCUGAUAUCUCAGAAUACCAUCACCACCAAUAUCAAACGACAUUACCUUUUGUUGGCCCACGUCUCUCUUGAUUUGCAUCAAGAUGGGAUCUUCAACCUACUUCUCUUUAACUUCAGCACAAAGGGAUGACUUAGCUAUCUCAUGAACAAUCAUCCCUCCAUCCUCAGAAUCUAAGAGUCGUACUCCUAGAUUUGCAAGUCAGUGGAUACCUUUUACCAUCUCUCUCUUUCCUUCCUCAACCCGAGAAAGGCUGCCCAUAGACAGCCUGCUGAGGGCGUCGGCUACAACAUUUGCCUUGCCAGGAUGAUAGUGCAGGCUUAUGUCAUAAUCUUUUGGAAGCUCCAACAACCGCCUCUGCUUGAGGUUCAACUCUUUCUGCGAGAAGAUAUACUGCAGACUCUUGUGAUAAGUAAAAAUAUCAACAUGAACACUGUACAAGUAGUGUCGCCAGAUCUUAAGUGCAAAUACCAUAACCGCUAAUUCCAAGUCAUGGGUGGGGUAGUUUCGCUUAUGCAUCUUCAGUUGCCUAGAUGCAUAAGCUACCACCUUACCAUGCUGCAUCAGCACACAAUCCAGUCCCACACGAGAUGCAUCACAGUAGACCAUAAAACUCUCUACACCCUCAGGAAGGGUCAGAACAGGUGCAGUAGUCAACUUGUCUUUCAACUUCUCGAAGCUAUUCUUAUAGGAAUUAGACCAAGAAAAUUUCACCUUUUUUUGAGUCAAUCUAGUAAGUAGAGCAUCUAUGGAGGAAAAAAUUUCUACAAACCUUCUGUAAUAACCCGCCAAACCUAAGAAACUCUAAAUAUCGAUUGGAGUCGUGGGUUUGGGCCAUUUUAUCACUGCCUCAAUCUUUUGGGGAUCCAUUCUAAUCCCGUCAAAAGACACAAUGUGCCCCAAGAAGGCAAUAACAUUUAGCCAGAAUUAACAUUUGGAGAACUUAGCAUAUAACUGAUGAUCCUUAAGGGUCUAAAGGAUAAUUUAGAGGUAAUUAGCAUGGUCCUCCUCACUUUUGGAAUAGAUCAGAAUAUCGUCAAUAAAAACUAUGACGAACAAGAAUACCCUAUUCAUAAGAUCCAUGAAGGUUGCAGGGGCGUUAGUCAACCUGAAGGAUAUGACUAAGAACUCAUAGUGACCAUAUCAGGUUCGAAAGUCUGUUUUGAGAAUGUCUGACUCCCUAACCUUCAACUGAUGAUAGCCCAAACGAAGGUCUAUUUUCAAAAAACACUUAGCACCCUGAAGUUGGUAAAAAAGAUCAUCAAUCCUAGGAAGAGGAUAUUUGUUUUUAAUAGUGACCUUAUUCAACUGGCGGUAGUCUAUGGACAUACGAAGGGACCCAUCCUUCUUUCGUAUGAAAAGUAUGGGUCACCCCAUGGGGAAACAAUAGGACGAAUAAAGCCUUUGUCUAGGAGGUUUUCGAGCUAUUUUUUUAACUCUUUCAGUUCUGUAGGAGCCAUUCUAUAUGGAGGAAUAGCAAUAGGAUGAGUGUCUGGCAACAUAUCAGUACCAAAAUCUAUCUCCCUAUCAGGUGGUAUCCCUGGGAGAUCUUCGGGAAAGACUUUUGGAAACUUAAUCACUACAGGGACUGACUGAAGAGGAAGACUUUCAACCGUAGAAUCUUUUACUCAGAUUAGAUGGUACAUACAACCUCUGGAGAUGAGCUUUCAGGCUCUAAGAUAAGAGAUAAAGUGACCUCUAGGUGCCACAGAAUUCCCUGCCCACUCAAUUGAUGACUCAUUCGGGAAAGAAAAAGUAACCUUUCUGGUUCUGCAAUCAAGUGUGGCAUAACACGAAUAGAGCCAGUCCAUCCCAAGGAUAGUAUUAAAGUCUACCAUAUCAAGUUCUAUAAGGUUUGCUUCAAUAUCCCGGCUAAGAAUAGACACAACACAAUUUCUAUACACCCUUCUACCAACAACAGAAUCACCUACAAGAGUGGAAACAGUGAAGGGUUCUACAAUAACUUCGGGCUCAAACCCAAAACCAAUAACCACAUAAGAGAUUACAUAAGAUAAGGUAGACCCGAGAUUAAGAAAUACAUAAACAUUAUGAGAAAAUAUUUGUAACAUACCGGUGACAAUAUCUGGUGAAGCUUCCUCCUCCUGGAGGUUAGUCAAAGCGUAUAACCGGUUAUGAUCGCUCCAGGCAGCUGAAGGGGCACCCUUAGGAGGAGGAGCUGUGGAGACGGCUUGGGACUUAGCCCCUCCCUCCAUAUUUUCUCCAGAAGAAAGGCAAUAUCUUUGAAGGUGACCCACCUUGCCAUAAGAAUAACAAUUUCUCCCCUCGGUGAAUCUCACACCAUGGAUAAGUAUGAUGCUGCUGGGCCACACUGCCCUGCGACUGAGUAUCAAGGGCUCUGGAUCCAUGAUGAGUCUGGAAACUCUGAGAUCGUCUGUUUGCUGGUGGUCUGGGCGCUGGGGCACUAGCAGAAGACUGUGCAUUACCCUAAUUCUUCUUCUUCUGCCAUUUAUUUCACCACUUACCGCUUUGAGGCUGACUAUGACCCUGGUCGGCAGAUCUGGCUUUUUUUGCCUGUCUUUCUUUCUCCCUAGCUUCAGAAAUCUUCUUUUUCUUCUCCUUUACCUGUGGCAUAUGAACGGUCAGCCUAGCAAAGUCCAACUCCUUGUUCAGCAUAGGUCCCUGACACUCAAGCACCAGAUUAUCUAAAAGGCCGGAUGCAAACUUCCCCAUUUGGGCCCUCAUACUACUUGUCAUCUUAGGAGCAUAACGGGCCAGCUGAUUAAACUUUAGAGUAUACUCAUGAACACUCAUCUGUCCCUAUUUCAGAUUCAUGAGCUCCUCAGCCUUUGCCUUCCGCAACUCUAAAGGAAAUAACCAGACAAGGAAAGCAUCUACAAACUCAUUCGAUACCGAGGGAUCAGCAUUAUCGCCCUUCGCAUCUUCCUAAUUAUUAUACCACUGAUUCUCCACAUCUUUUAGCUGGUAUGCUGCCUAUUCUACCCCUUCUACUUUAUCUACAUACAUCACUUUGAAUAUCUUUUCUAUUUCAUUUAUAAAUUCCUGCAGAUCCUCUUCUAAUUUAGUACCUGUGAAUUUGCGAAAAUUAAUCCUCAUGAAUUGGACCACCUGUGUAGCUUCAGAAGUAAAAGAUGCAAACCCAGUAUCUUUUGAUUGUUGAGUUUGUGUGUAAUGCCCCAAUUUUUUGAACUGUAAUGCUACACGGUGCUCAUGACCUCGAAGGACCACAAGCAACCCAUGACUGAUAUCUGUAACUGUAACUACAUAAUAUAUAUAUAUAUAUAUAUAUAUAUAUAUAUAUAAAAUGUAGAAAAACAUGAACAAAGAGGGCGUAAGUUUCAAUCUUGAAUGAUAAAAUAUCUGAAAUAAGGUGGUAUCACAGUACCAAAACAAAACUGAAAAUACUAAAGUCUGAAUCUGAAAACUCUAUAAUCAUUUGAAAUCCUCUAAACUGUCUGAAUAAGAAGUUGAAGGAAAAUGUCUCCAACUAACUCCUUAAACUGAAAAUAAACUGAAAUACUGGAAUAAUAAAUGUAAUGAUCAUCUCCUCAAAAGAUGAGGACUCACUGCUUACUGAACUGCUACUGCUGAUCUGGAAUCUGCACCUCAGAACCUAUGGUGUAACAUAAAAAGAAAGCACCAUAGCGCAAAUGCGUCAGUACAACUAAAGUACUGAGUAUACAUGGGGGUAGGCUAAAUGCAUAAGGUUUAUAUGCAUGAACGUGCUGAAUAAUAUGAACGUGAGAAUACAUGUAUACAUAUGUAACUACUACUGAACUCGUGGAGAUACUGACUACUUGAGUUUGAACUCUGACAACAUGAGUUUUGUGAUGCUGAGAUACUGAAUGAUUGAUAAUAUGGAUGACUGUAUCUAACAGUCCUAAUUCUGGGGAAAACUAUCUGAGUUCCAAACUAUAUCUAAACAUCUAAGUCUGAGAUCAGUCCUAGCUAAUGAGUGAUCUCUGAAACUAAUAAUGAGAAUACUCGACUGAAUCUGAGAUUAAGAUCAAGCCUGUCUUUCGAGUGACCUCUAGAUCUAAUAAUUAGCAUCUGAAUAUGGGACCAAUCCUAUCUGAUGGGAUGGUCCAGGAAUCAAUAGAACUAUCUGAGUUCCUUACUAAGAUUGAUGACUGUACCUGACAGUCCUGAUUCCUGAUUUCUACUCUGAAGACUGAUACUGAAACUGUAACUGUAACUGUGACUGUGGGAGGUAGUAACCUAACCGACAUUCCCCGAUACUGUACUGGUGUGGUCCAAUCUUUGCCCUGAUUGGAAGGGUGUCAAUACCGUGCCAUGGGUAGAGACCUCUACUAUGGUCAAGCCUAAGGCAAUAUAAUAGUCAAUUAUAGCCUUAAUAUGACGGGUGACUCCUGUCCUGCGCUGGCUACGCAGUUCUGGAGUACAAGGAUUGUUGCUAACGACUCUGCCUUUAUAACGGAAAAAACCGCCAUCCCUGCACUCGCUCGGUGCUAGUCCCUACUCCCAACUGAAAGACUCUAAAAAGAUUAAUUGCGCUGAACUGACUAACUAAACUGAACUGAUUUAUAAAUUAAUUAACUGAGCUGAUAAUAUUUUCUUAGCUGAACUAAGAUGAAUUCACUGAGUUCCGUUGACUGACGGAAAAGCUACUUGAGAUCUGAGGUCUGACUGAGAGCACUGAAACUAUUGGGACUACUGAACUACUGAGAUUUCUGAGUUUUUCUAAGUCACGUGACUAACUAAAAUCUAUGGAGCAUAGCUUGACUGAGGAUGUCUUGAAACAUGACACUAGCUCUAGGCACANNNNNNNNNNNNNNNNNNNNNNNNNNNNNNNNNNNNNNNNNNNNNNNNNNNNNNNNNNNNNNNNNNNNNNNNNNNNNNNNNNNNNNNNNNNNNNNNNNNNNNNNNNNNNNNNNNNNNNNNNNNNNNNNNNNNNNNNNNNNNNNNNNNNNNNNNNNNNNNNNNNNNNNNNNNNNNNNNNNNNNNNNNNNNNNNNNNNNNNNNNNNNNNNNNNNNNNNNNNNNNNNNNNNNNNNNNNNNNNNNNNNNNNNNNNNNNNNNNNNNNNNNNNNNNNNNNNNNNNNNNNNNNNNNNNNNNNNNNNNNNNNNNNNNNNNNNNNNNNNNNNNNNNNNNNNNNNNNNNNNNNNNNNNNNNNNNNNNNNNNNNNNNNNNNNNNNNNNNNNNNNNNNNNNNNNNNNNNNNNNNNNNNNNNNNNNNNNNNNNNNNNNNNNNNNNNNNNNNNNNNNNNNNNNNNNNNNNNNNNNNNNNNNNNNNNNNNNNNNNNNNNNNNNNNNNNNNNNNNNNNNNNNNNNNNNNNNNNNNNNNNNNNNNNNNNNNNNNNNNNNNNNNNNNNNNNNNNNNNNNNNNNNNNNNNNNNUCCUUGAAAUUGGAUCUUCAAGCUUAAUUAUGCAACCUUAGUUGUUUUUCUCUUUUAGUACUCUUGGAUGAUGAACUUAAAAUGUUAGUAGGGUUGUAAUGUAAUUAAGAGCUAUAUAUUUCGUAGGGUUAAGUUUAGGGACGUGUAAGGAGUGUUAAAAGACUUAAUUACCCUCAAAAUAACUCAAAAUGGAGUGUUUAAGUUACUUGAAACCAUAAGAUAUGCGCCGCAUAUGAUAUCAUAUAUAUUUACAUAGGUGCCACAUAUGAUAUCGCCUAUAUCUACAUAGGCGCAACAUAUUCUAUCGCCUAUAUUUACAUAGGCGCCGCAUAUGAUAUCGCCUAUAUCUACAUAGGCGCCGCAUAUGCUAUUGCCUAUAUUUACAUAGGCGCCGCAUAUGCUAUCGCAUAUGUUUUCCAGUGGCCAUGUGCAAUUGGUUAGGCGACCACUCUACUUCGCAAAGCCAUAACUCCUAGCUCGGGUGUCGGAUUUUUAUGAAAUUGGUAUUGUUGGAAAGCUAAUUAUAUUCUCUAUAAUUUGGUGGGUAUAAAUAUGCAGAAAUAACAUAUUAACAUCGAGUUAUACUCGUUCAAAUAUGACCCUUACAAAAUCGAACACUAAAACUUGAUGGAUUCAAAAACUCUUAGCUUGUAUUACCUUAAGUGACUCAUAAGAACAUGCUUAAUGCAUCAUAAGCUAUUUUAUCGCUAGGAUACUCAUUGUAAGUCAUGUACUCAAGUAUGAAUCACAGGAUAGGAGAUUUCAUAUGUAGAAAAAAUGAUUCGUCUCCUACCUUAGAAACAUGAGGGGUAUUACACUGUGCAGCCACCAACUGUGUUAGCAUAUGAAUAGAUUGCCUGAACUCUGCAUUUGAUAUAUUCCUCUGCGAAGUCGGGGGAUGGUUCACAUUAGUCCGUGGAGCCCGAGGUGGAUUGGUUGGGACUGCAGGGACUCCCGGAGUAGGGACAGGGUCUAGAGUGGGAGCUCUAUUACGUGUCCUCAUCCCAUGAGUGGGACGUACUUCAUCAUUAUGAGAACUCUGAUUAGUAUUGCGACGAGGAGGCAUGACUGUUAUUUCUAUAAGACAAAAGAUCACUAAUUAGGAACAGACUUGACUCCGAAGCACGAACUAAAUCACAAAGAAGGGAAAUAUUUUCCUAAACGCCUAGUAACUUCCUUCUUAUAAGUAUGGCACGCUACACACCUAUAAAUAAGACUCUACCUGACGUGAUUUUGUAGACACCCUGGGACCAUGAACCGUGCUUUGAUACCAAGUUUGUCACGACCCAAAUCGGGUCCCUAACUGUGACGAGCAUUCCGAACCAUGAAGGCCCGAAACACCCCUAUCUAUUUGGUAAUCAUGCACAUAAUUCAUAUGAUAAAAAGAAAUGCAGAAGAUACACAGUAUUAUGGAAUAUGGUCAUGAGUCUAAUGAAAUUAAUAAUGGGAAAUAAUGUCCCACAACAUCUAACGACAUGUGAAAACCGUCUACGAAAUCUCUACUACAUGACUAAAACAACUGUCUGAAAACUGGGACAAGGUCCCCAGUAUACCCAAAACUAUUAAAUGAUAAAUAAACUGCCAGACAUCAGGCCUUCCGAAAUAUAGAAGGCUCACCACUUGACUCUACAAAUCUGUCUGAAGAAUCUACUGAUUAUCUGGACCCCUAGACUGUGCCUCCGAACCUGUUAGGGAAGGGGGUCAAUACAAAGUACUGGUACGCAGAGUAAUCCAAAACAAAGUAGAGAUUUUUAUAUAAAAUAAAUGAGAGCUAUUAUAAAACACAUUAUUACAAAAUGAUUUCAAAAAUACAUGGGCAUAAUAUAAUGAUUUUUCAACAACAAUGCAACACAUCUGAGCUAGGUGGCACACCCUACAGUUUCACAUUUUCACCAACUGUCAAAUCUCGGAUGCCGCCAAGAUUAGAGUAUAAGUGAGGGAAAGACACACAAGAUCAUACAUCAGGGUGUCUUGACUCAAUCAAGUAUGGUAGUGCACAAGAUCACAAAGCAGGGCUCCUAACCAUAGUCCUAAUUUGGGAUGACAUAAUAGUCCCAAUUUGGGAUGACAUAAUGUCAGGUACACAAGAUCACACAACAGGGUACCAAGUUCUCGAGUCGGUAAACACAGUUUCCAGCGUAGAGUUAUUUGACUCGUGCUUUCUUCGGGUAACCACCUAUAUUACAAAAUCAAUGUAUGUAACUCAUUUUAAUCAACAUAUGUCAUACUCUGCAGGGUAUCGUCAUACCUGACUUGCAAAUCAUCAAUAUCACAUCAACUUUCCAACUUCUCAUUCUAUUUACCACAUGCACAUAUGUAUAACUUUCACACCAUUAAAACACAUACACCAUGGUUCUAUGCAAUUAUUCAAUAAGUUUAAUCAUUUAUGAGUAAUGUCAAAUCAAUUGCAAAACUCAUGCUCUCAAUGGUUUAAUACUAGUAUAAUAUGGGGUAUAAACAUUAUCAUGGGGAAUUUAGAAAAUUCACAACUCAUGUACAUCGCACCCUUUUGAAAUUUCAGGUCAUAUGUUCACAAUUCAACCAUUUAAAUACAUUCAAACAAACAACCCCAUGAUAUCUCAAUAAUUCUUUCAAAAUCAUAUAUCAAAACAUGUUAUUUGUAUCAAUUGAAAACCCCCAUUUGUAAAAACAUAUAUAUACUUGUAUAAAUUUAAAGUCUUGCGUAAAUUUCUUUUUGAAAACAUACCCAUGAAAUUUAGGACAACUCCACGUAUCUCUAUUUCAGAAAGUGAUGGGUGCUUCUUGAAGCCCAUGGUCUGGGGAUUCCAAAUCUACAAUCAAUUUUUGAAACUCACGGUUGAAUUAUGAGUUACUUGGGUUUUUAGUUUGAAACCCUUAGGAGUUUUCUUGAGUAAUUUUGGUGAAAGUAUGGAUAAUAUGCUCAAAUGGGGUUAAAAUUUCGUGUUUGAGCUGAUAAGGGUGUGGGAAAAUACCCAAUAUGCCCUUAAUGAGACGGAGCUUAAAUGCUGAAAAUUUUCCAGGCUUGCAACAGACCAUGCGUCGCAUGCUAAUUCCCACCACACUGGAGCAUGCGACGCAUGCUAUAUCGCAUACUGCCACCAUGCGAUAGACCAUGCGCCGCAUACAUAUCGCAUGGUGCUACUGUUUUGGAAAUCAAACGCGCCCUAAACGAUGUCCAAAAUUCUAAAACUUAUCCGAGAUGUUCUAUAGGCUUUCCCCAUUGCAACGCAAUAAAAAAUAUAAAAACGGUUGUCGGGAUGACUAAAAAUGAGAUUCCCGAAGGUUCAGAGCGACAAAUGAGACUAAGUCUCUUUUACACUUAGAAUAUUUUCCACAAUUUAAGCUUCUAUCCCAUGCACAUGCUAUUACAGGAUCAUGUAUUGCACAAUUUUCUAUGGGGCGUUAUAGCUUAAGGGGCACCUUCUUAUCACACAAUACUCCUGAGGCGAGACUUCACUUCAUCCAACCUGCUUCAAUACGUUUGGAGACAUCCUCGUCAAUCUCGCCAUUCCCCUGAAUCAUAGACCCCAGAUACUUAAACUAUCUCUUUUACAAACAUCCUGGGAAUCCAAUCUCACCGCCACUUCGUCCUCCUGACUCGAGUCACUAAACUUGCACUUUAAAUACUCUGUAUUGGGCUACUCAACCUGAACCCCUUAGAUUCAAGGGUUUUCCUCCAAACCUCCAAUUUCUUAUUCACACCUCCCUGCGUUUCCUCAAUUAACACUACAUCAUCUGCAAAUAACAUACACCAAGGCACCUCCCCUUCAAUACUCCACAUCAAUACAUCCAUCACCAACGCAAAAAGGAAUGGUCUAAGAGUCGAUCCCUGAUGCAAACCUAUAUCGACCGAAAAAUGCCCUGAGUCUCCUCCUGCCGUCCUCACCCAAGUCAUUCGUCCACCGUACAUGUCCUUAAUAGCUCUGACGUACGUCACCGGAACUCUACUCACCUCUAAACAUCUCCAAAGAACCUCCCUAGGGACUUUGUCGUAUGCUUUCUCCAGGUCGAUGAAUACCAUGUGCAAGUCCCUCUUCCUUUCCCUAUACUGCUCCACCAAUCUUCUCACUAUAUAGAUUGCUUCUGUAGAGACCAGUUAUAUAACCAAACUGAUUCUCCAAAAUAGACACGACCCUCCUCAAUCUCCUCUCAACCACCCUCUCCCAAAUCUUUAUAGUGUGACUCAACAACUUAAUACCCCUAUAGUUGUUGGAACUCUGAAUAUCACCCUUGUUUUUAUAUAACAGAAUCAUCGUACUCUAUCUCCAAGCCUCAGGCAUUCUCUCCAUCUUGAAAAUGAUGUUAAACAAAUCAGUCAACCACCUUAAACCUGCCUCACCAGUAUACUUCCAAAAAUCUACCAGAAUCUCGUUAGGCUACGUCGCCCUACCCCUCUGCAUCUUACAAAUAGCUUCUCUGACCUCCUCAACCUUAAAACGUCUACAGUAACUGAAAUCAUGGCUCUCCUCCGAGCGCUCUAGCUCCCCUAACACAAUGCCUCUGUCCUCUCCUCGUUUAGAAGUCUAUGAAAAUACUCCUGCCAUCUCUUCUUAAUGUGAACAUCCUCCACCAAAACUCUACCAUUCUCCCCUUAAUUCACUUCACUAGAUUGAGGUCACGGCCCUUCUUCUCCCUAGCCUUAACCAGCCUAUACAACCUUUCUUUCCCCGCCUUUCUCCUCUAACCCCGCACACAAGCUCUCAAAUGCUAUUGUCUUAGCAGCCGUAACUGCUAACUUAGCCUCUUUCCUUGCUACUUUGUAAACCUCCCUAUUCCCUUUCUUUUCCUCUUCGUCUUUACUCUCAAUCAACUUUACAUACGUCCCCUUCUUAAUCUCCAGUUUCUUCUUAACUUCUUCAUUCCACCACCAGUCCUCCUUAUGCCGACCUACCCGACCCCUCAAAACACCCAAGUACUAUAUAAAUAAAUUAAAACAAAAAAAAUACUAUAUAAAUUUGAUUUGGUUGCAAAUAUCUACAAGUAAGAAUUAGGAAGUUAAAAAGAUCAUUAAUUUGAUUAGUUUCAUGAGCACGAAAAAAUUGAAAAGCAAAGAUAAAGAAAGACAAAAAAAAAAAAAUUAACUCUAAAACAAAGAGCAAAAAGAUGAGUUAUUUAAAAAAAAAAAAAGAGAAGAUAAAGGAAUAUGGAGAGUGAAAGAAAGAACUAUUUUGAUAAAUAAGACCAAUAAAGUUUAUGUGUCAAAAAAAUACUGUCUCAAACAAAUAUGUGAGGUGGUGCAUGAGACCCACAGUAAAAUAUCAGACAACAAGUUCCAUUAGCCGCCCCUGCACCUUCCAUUAGCAGCCACAUAUAGUUGAGUGUGGUACCAUUGAAUAAAGGACCAUACAGUAUCUUCCAUUUCCCAUAUAAUAUCAUACAACAAAGUUCAGACAUUAUUAUAUUCUCCUCAUCACAAUGAAUACUGAUAAAUCUAUAAAAUCUUGUACUAUAAUUGUUCUAUCUAAUUUUCUAUUGUAUUUCACUUUAUUGGUUCAAUUAUUAGCACUUAAAACAAAUUCUGAACCAAUUGGAUAUGGCUAUAUUGUUAGAUCAAAAGAUGUUGACUCAUCUGGUAGGAUAUCGACUGCUAGUCUUCAGCUCAUCAAAGGUUCUUCUGUUUAUGGACCUGAUAUUCAAAAUCUCAGCCUUACUGUUGGGUAAUGAUCUUGAUAUUGAUAACUUUUUAUAUAACAUAAUUAUUGAAAUUUAAUUAAUUUUAGAGAAAAUGCAUCAAAACCCUCCCGAAUUUGUUUGUCCAACUUACUUCAGCACUUAAAUUAAUCUUCUAUUUAUUUACCCCCUUAACAUCUUUAAAGUGAUAUAAUUUCACCUCUUAAUAUAUAAUACUAUGCUCAUAAUGGAGAGUGCAUCACACUCACGGACACAUCAGCACCACAUCACCACCACGUCGGAGCCACACGAAUAAAGUGUUUUUUACACUUUUUUUUUAUAAAUUCAUUUAUGCCAUCCAUUAAAAGUUGGGCUCAUUCAUGCCAUCGCCGUUAUAAAAUCGGUACAUCCAUACCAUUACUUUUUAACCGUGGUUCUUAAAAAACCGCCUUGCCACGUGGCCUUUUAUUAGAGGUCCACGUCAUUUUUAAAAAAAUUUUUUUGGAUCCAUUGAAAUUUUUUCAAUGUUCUUUUUUGCACAAUUAUGACAAAGUGAUAUUUUUAGUGGGUCUCAACUAUUUAACCAUUAAGAGCCACAACUUGAAUAUGUAUAUAGUACUAGAAAUGACAAUUAAAAAAUAAUUGUGAAGAAAUUAUUUGAAAUUGAGCCGAGGAUUUAUUGGAAAUAACUUCUCUAUCACACUUCAGAGUAGUGGUACGACUAUAUUUAAGUAUUUUUUUUUUAUAUAUAUAACAGUGCUAUAUAAGAUCUAGAAAGAAGAACAUGGAUUCACGUGAACCCGAUAAUUUCCACCUAAAUACCUUCAGUAAAUAACGUUUAAUCUCUUCAUGUUGUCCUUGUAUUUUAGAGACUGUGAAAACGAAAAAAUUAAUUUUAUCAUUGUCUACUGUUCUUGUAUUCUUUCUUUUAAGAAGCUACGUCAAUAUAUACACAUAUUUGUUUGUUUAAAUUUUACUUUUUAAUAAUCUUUUAUGAAAAUUUUUUCCUUUGUUCUAAAAUCCACGUCUUUAAGCUUCAAAUAUAGAAAUUAAUGUGCAUGUAGGCUACAAUCUGGUGGAAUUUUAUAACGAUCAGAAUUUCCCAACACAACUCUAAUAAAUCUGAAUUUAAAGUAUAAUUUAGAACUGAAAUAACUAGGUAAUAGUGAACAUGUAUAUCGUAGAACAAAAAUGAAAAAAAAAAAAAAAGUUUUGUUGAUACACAAUUACAUAUGUAUUCGUUGAUCUUAAUAUAGUGAUACAAUGGCUGUCCAACUAGCCAUACAAAGAAAUGAAGAAUAUAUUUUUAGUACAUGCAAUUAAUGGUUAAAUAGUUAAGAGCCAUUAAAAAUAUCACUUCGUCAUAAUUGUGCAAAAAAAAAACAUUAAAAAGAUUUUAAUGGAUCCAAUUUUUUUUUUUUUAAAAUGAUGUGGACCUGUAAUAAGAGGCCAUGUGGCAAGGCGGUUUUUUAAAAACCACAGUUAAAAAUUAAUGGCAUUGAUGUACCGAUUUUAUAACGGCGAUGACAUGAAUGAACCCAACUUUUAACGGAUGGCAUAAAUGAUCCAUUUCUGAUAGUUCAGUGACAUAUUUGAGCCUUUUAUCAUUUUAAAAAUACCCCUACCCCCCAUUUUCCAUCUUCUUCAUAACCACCCCUCCUUCCCUUCCUCCCCCCGGUCCACCGCCACACCUGCACACACCCCGUCCACCCCCAUACUGCCACACCUGCACACAACCCCAUCCACCUCUGUCCACCCCCACACAGCCACACCUGCACACAUGCGCCAGAUUUUUCCAUUACCACCAUCGAAAAAUACCAUAAAAUAGUGAUAAAAAACUUAAUCCAUCUGAUAAAUUCGAUCAAAUCAACACUAAAUUCUCUAAAAUCAACAACCAAACAUCCAAAUCAAUUAUUUCCAGCAUAGAAAAAGAUGUAGGACUUAGAUAAGUUAAUUAAUUCUAUAGUACAAAUUUUAUUUUACCAAAUUAUCCUGCAAAAAAAAAAACAUAAUCAAAGAUGAAAUGACCCAGAUUGAAAAAAAAUUAAAAAAAUCAUAGGAACAAGAUAAACAGAACAUCAUAAAAUUCUACAAAAAAAAAAAAAACAUAAUUGAUUAUCACUUGCAUUCAAAUUUGUGAAUUUACAUCAAAUGAUUCAUUUUAUAACAGAUCCCCAAAGACCAAAAUCAGAAUGUAGAUUCAACAACAAAUCAAGAAAUCUCAUUUUUUUUUUUGUUAAAUUCAAGAAAUGAGUGGUGGUGGUGAUGGUCGAUAUGGCAGUUGAAGGGAGGAGUGGGGUGGGGGUGUUGGCCGGUGGGAUGGGUGAAGAAGAAAGGGGGAAUUUCUUUUUUCUUUUUCUAUUAUAUANNNNNNNNNNNNNNNNNNNNNNNNNNNNNNNNNNNNNNNNNNNNNNNNNNNNNNNNNNNNNNNNNNNNNNNNNNAUAUAAUAUUAGUUGGCUUUUAAAAUAAAAAAUAAAAAAAAUUCACGCAUUUUUUUUUUCUUUUUUCCUUUUUUAAAAAAAUGUCACGUCAAUAUUAGGUUUGAAGUUAAUUCACUUUAAAAAUGUUAAGGGGGUGAAUAAAUAGAAGAUUAGUUUAAGUGUUAAAGUAAACUGGACAGACAAGUUUGGGGAAAUUUUGAUGCAUUUUCUCUUAAUUUUAAGUAGUUGUUUGCACAUGAAUUGAGUGAUAUUUGAAAAAAAAAAAAAAAGAGUAGUAUUUGAAGGUAAUUUGAAAAAAGGUAUUCCAAAGUUGAAGUUGUGUUUGGACUGCAAAGUUAUUGUAGUUUUGUGAAGAAAUAUACUCCACAACGACAACAACAACAACAUAUUCAGUGUAUUCCCACAAAGUGGGGUUUGGAGAGGGUAAAGUAUACGCAAUUCAUAGAACUACCUCAGAUGAAGUAGAGGUUGUUUUCGAUAGAUUCCCGACAUAGGACAAAGACCAGUAUAACAAAUAAAAAACAUAAAAACGUACAACAGAAUGAUACCAGAAACAAGACACCGAUUAGUUAAUACUAUAAACUAUCUAUUUGAAAUCACCAAUAACACCAAAACAUAGGAAGAAAUAUACUCCAUGUGUUUUAACGUUUGCCGAGUUUUGACUUUGUGUGGAGUUUAUGUAAGUAAAGAAUACUUUUGAAUUUAGUUGUCUUUAACUAAAGAUAGGUUGAAUGUAUCAAAAUGUUCUUUAAUCUUGCGGUCUUAAACAUAUUAGGUGAAAAGUUGCAACUAAAGUUUUUUUAUUUUGACAUACCCAGUGUAUUCCCAUCAAGUGGGGUUUGGGAAGGGUAAAGUGUACGCAGUCCGUCCCACUACCUCAGAUGAAGUAGAGAGGUUGUUUCCGAUAGACUCCCGGCUCAGGACAGAUAACAAUUUAGCAAACAAUACACAUAAAAGCAUGCAUCCACAUGGUAAUACUAUAAUAACACAUAGGAAAGGAUAAUACCUAAAACAAAAUGUAUCCUCCGCAGACAGACUCGUCUUUUUUGUAUCAAAAGAUCUUUUAAAUUUGAUUAGAGUGUUGUUUAUAAACAAACUGAUCAGCCUUUUGUUGUUUUAAAUACUGAUGGAUUCUGCAGCUUUGAGACAAAAGAUCGUUUAAGAGUCAGAAUUACGGAUGCAGAUCAUGAAAGAUGGGAAGUUCCUCAAGAAUUUAUCCCCCGUGAAACACAUUCAUCCCCCCGAAACUCCCUCCUAGGAAAGUUCUCUUCUAACGAAGACACGCAUUACAUCCACACAAACACCAUUUCUGACCUUAGUUUCACUCUCUACAAUACCACCCCUUUUGGCUUCACUAUCACGCGUCGUUCCUCAGGAGAUGUUCUUUUCGACACCUCACCUAAAAAUGGAUCUCCGGACACAUUCCUCAUCUUCAAGGAUCAGUACCUUCAACUGUCCUCUUCAUUGCCAGCUAAUCGGUCAUCUAUCUAUGGCCUCGGGGAGCAUACCAAGAGAACAUUUAAGCUCAAGCAUAACCAGACAUUCUCUUUGGAAUGCUGAUAUUCCUAGUCUCAAUGUUGACGUCAACUUGUAUGGUUCCCACCCUUUUUACAUGGAUGUCAGGUCUCAUCCUAGGGUGGGGACCAGUCACGGAGUCUUGCUGUUCAAUAGCAAUGGUAUGGACAUUGUAUAUACUGGUGACAGAAUUACCUACAAGGUGAUUGGAGGGGUCAUUGACUUGUACUUCUUUGCUGGUCCUGUGCCAGAGUCGGUCAUGGAGCAGUACACAGAGCUCAUUGGCCGCCCCGCGCCCAUGCCAUACUGGUCUUUUGGUGCGUAAUUAUGCUAGCGAAUUACCUAUUGGUUCGUAGUGUUUAUUCUGUUUACUAACUUCAUAAGGCCCUAACAUUUAAAUUUUGUUUGAUACUUAAAAAAUAUGCACAGUUUCUUGUUGUCUCAAGCAUUCGUUAGUGCAGAGCCCGGUUACAUAACGUUAUGUGAUCCGACCUCUUUCAGUACUCAUAAUGGGGUGGAUAGAGCUUUGACUAGUUGUGAAUAUGAGGAUUGUGUUUCUUUCUACAAUUUAUACAUCUAUGGUUUGAGACAGAUAGAUUGACAUAUUGUUUUCAUGCAAUCUAUUGCGAAUUGCUGGCAACAGGGUUUCAUCAAUGCCGAUAUGGUUAUAAAGAUAUUAAUGAAGUUCGGAAUGUGGUUGCUGGCUAUGCAAAAGCUCACAUCCCUCUUGAGGUCAUGUGGACAGAUAUUGAUUAUAUGGAUGGUUCUAAGGCUUUCACACUUGAUCCUAUUAACUUCCCACUUGACCAGAUGAAGAAACUUGUCGAUGCACUUCACCACAAUGGCCAGAAAUAUGUUCUCAUAUUGGAUCCUGGUGAGUUCUGAUAUAUUCAACUUCUUGCUUCAUUAGCUUCAGGUAGGCUACCUACAUCACACUCCUUUGGGGUGUAGCCUUUCCUGGAACUUGUGUGACCGCGAGAUGCUUUGUGCACCGAGCUGCCUCUUUUUUGUUGAUAUUUAAAGUUGAUGUAGAAGUUUAGAAAUUGCGAAGGUAUUGGGUUAAAUGACUUAAUCAAAGCACUAUCCUUGUUUCGUUUAUGAUCUCAAUGACUUGUUCACAGGGAUCAGCAUAAAUAGCUCAUAUGAGACGUACAAGAGAGGGAUACAAGCGGAAAUUUUCAUCAAACGCAAUGGUGUCCCUUAUCGUGGCGAAAUUUGGCCUGGAAAAGUAUACUUUCCUGAUUUCAUAAAUCCCCGAGGCAGAGUCUUCUGGAGUAACGAAAUCAAGAUUUUCCAUGACCUUCUCCCCGUUGAUGGGCUCUGGCUUGACAUGAACGAGGUAUCUAACUUCAUCUCUUCUCCUCCAACCCCAUUUUCUACCCUUGGCAACCCUCCUUAUAAGAUCAAUAACAAUGGAAGCUUACGUCCAAUUAACGAGAAGACUAUCCCAGCAACAUCAGUACAUUUCUGGAACGCCUUAUAGAGUACAAUGUUCAUAACCUCUACGGAUUCCUGGAAGCUAAAACGACCAAUGCUGCUUUAAUCGAAAUUACUGGUAAAAGGCCAUUUAUACUUGGCAGAUCUACCUUUGUGGGUUCUGGCAAGUACACAGCACAUUGGACGGGAGAUAAUGCAGCCACUUGGGAUGACUUGGCUUAUAGUAUUCCCAGCAUUUUGAGUUCUGGAUUGUUUGGGAUUCCCAUGGUUGGAGUUGAUAUAUGUGGCUUUGCUGAAAAUACUACUGAAGAAUUAUGUCGCCGUUGGAUUCAGGUACAAGUUCUUUCAUCUUUAAAGAAAUACUUUGCUGCAUAUAUUGUAAGUUUAUGAUCUCAGUCCAGAAGUUCAAAAUGGCAUAUAUGACCAUUCUUAUUUUUCUUAUUUAAAUGUGAAACUUCUAGGAAAAAACUUCAAAUUGCGACGGCGAUCCUCAUCUAAAUUAUGUAGUAUUAGAUAUACUGAUGUCCUAUCCCGUAAAUCUUAGCUAUGCCUUGGAUCAAAUUGAAUCAGAGAAGGCACAACUAGUUAUAAAUACCGUCCUAUUAUAUGUCUAUGCUAAACUUGUCGAUAUAUUGAAUAUUGAUACUCAUUAGAAUUUAAGUUUUGUGCAUUGACCAGUAAACUUGAUCUGCUAUUGCAGGUUAUCCAAUUAUAUACACAAAAUUUAAAAAAGAAAAAAAUAGUUAACCUGAUAAAUCAAUUUUCUGCUGAAUGCCUCUCAAUAUUGAGAGUCUUGUCAUUAAAUAGAAAAUAUUCAAUGAUUACAUCCCUAAAGAUCCGUCUUCCUAUCCCUAAAGAUCAACUUUUCUAUCCCUCUAAAUCCGCUAUUCUAUCCCACCAAAUCUGCUCUUACUAAAGUCACUAUUAUUCUCUUUAACUACUAAAUCAAAUCUAUGUAAUUACACUAAUAUACAACAAUAUAUGAUUACACUAAUAUUCAAUAUUUACAUCAUGCUAACAUACCCCUCAAAUUGAUACUGGUAGAUCAAGAAGCAUCAAUUUGCCGACUAAAAACUGAUGUCGUUGUCGUGCCAUUGAUUUUGUAAAUGCAUCAGCUAUUUGAAGAUCACUGGACAUGUGCGGAAGAGUAAUGACACCUUUAUCUACAGCUUCUCGUGUAUAAUGACAGUCGACUUUGAUGUGUUUGGUCCGCUCAUGAUAAACCGGAUUAGUAGCCAUCUAAAUAGCACUUGUAUUGUCAGCAUGGAGAGAAGUAGGAUUAGAUUGAGGAAAUCCAAUCUCAUCAAGUAGUCCACGAAGCCACACAAUCUCGGAGCAAGCAAUAGACAUUGCUCGAUAUUCAGUCUCUGUUGAAGAUUUUGACACUCGGUCUUGCUUUUUUUCCAAGAUAUCAAAGACUCUCUAAGAAACAUGCACCAACCAGUAACUGAACGACGAGUGUCAGAACAUCCCGCCUAAUCAGAAUCACUAAAAGCAUUAAGACGAAUAGGCGAACCACUAGGAAAGAAUAAUCCAUGAUUAGAUGUUCCUUGGAGGUAUCAAAAAGAGCGCCUUCCUCCCGGCGAUACUUUACAUUCAAUUCUAAUGGAGUAUCCACAGAGGAAGAAUCUUGAAGACCUGCCAAAGAAAUCAAAUCUUGGGUAUAUUUGUGUUGAUUUAAAAACACACCGGAUGAAUCACGAUGAACUUCCAAACCCAAGAAAUAUGUAAGAGUACCAAGAUCUUUCAUAUGAAAAGAAUCCUUAAGUUCCUGUUGCACGCUAGUCAUUAGUGAAGAAUCAGUUCUUGUAAUAAUAAUAUCAUCGACAUAUACCAAAAGAAGCACACAACCUGCAGAUGUUUUUCGAAGAAACAAAGAUGAGUCAUAGUUUCUCUUCUCAAAAGAGAAUUGUAGAAAAGUAGACCGAAAUUUGUCAAACCAAGCUCUGGGAGCUUGUUUUAAUCCAUAUAAAGACCGCUUCAACUUGCAUACAUCUGAUGUAGGCAAUGAGAAAAAACCUGGUAGGGGUUUUAUAUAAACGUCCUCUUUGAGAUCACCAUGAAGAAAAGCAUUUUUGGCAUUCAUUUGAUGAAGAGUCCAGUUUUGUGAAGCAGCAAUGGUAACAAUAGUUCUCACCAUCAUCAUUUUUGCUACUGGUGCAAAAGUUUCUUCAUAUUUCACACCAUACUCUUUGUUACCAAGAACAACCAACCAAGCUUUGUACCAAUCAAGAGUUCUAUCAGAAUGAAGUUUAAUUGAAAAAACCCAUUUAUAUCCAAUUGGAUGGAAAUUUGAAGGACAUGAAACAAUAUCCUAUGUGUCAUUUUCUUUGAGAGCCAAAAGUUCUUCCUCCAUUGCUCUCUGCCAACAUUCAUACUUAGAAGCUUGUGAGUAACAAGUUGGAACAGAAAUAGUGGAUGAAGUAGAUGAAAAUCCAUACCAAUUAGGAGUACGAGAUACUCUCGUAGAUCAUCGAGUGGGCUCAAGAGGAGCAGGCCUUGAAGAAUUCUCAGAUUCUAGUUGUAGUGCAGUUUCAGGUGUCGGAUCAAUAUCAGGAGGGGGUAAAGUUGGCAGCCAAUGUUUGUACAUAAAUCUGGGUUUGAACCUUUUAAAAGAAGAGGACAAAUCUUCAAAAAUAGGAAGAAGAAGAGAAGCAGGAGAUGGCUCAACAUGAGUAGGAAAAAAAUACUGAUUCUCAAAGAAAACAACAUUUUUAGAAACAUGAAAUUUAUUAGAACAUGGAUCAUAAUAGAGAAAACCUUUCUGUGAAGUACUAUAACCCAUAAAAACACAUUUAGUAGACUGAACAGAAAGUUUAUUAUGCUGAGAAGGAGGAAGAUGCACAAAACAAAUACAACCAAAUGUAUGAAAAUUAUCAUAGCUUGGAUUUUUGUGAUAAAGAUGAAAAUAUGGAGACUCAAGAUUUAACACUUUAGAUGACAGCCUGUUAAUUAAAUAGACAACAGUAGACAAAGCUUUAACCCAAUAUUUAGAUGGGACAGAGGACUCAAUUAAUAAAGUACGGGUGACAUCUAAAAGAUGACGAUUUUUAAGCUCAGUGACCCUAUUUUGUUGUGGUGUAUAUGGACAAGAGCGUUGUGAGACAAUUCCUUUGUCAUGCAAAAUUUUUUUGAAUUUAUUUGACAUAUAUUCUCCACCAGAAUCAGAUCUUAAUUUGAUACAAGUAGAAAAUUGAGUCUCAAUGUAAGCCAAAAAUAUCUUGAACAUGGAAAAUACUUCAAAUUUAGUACGAAGAAAAUACACCGACAUAAAUCGACUAUAAUCAUCUAUGAAUAUCAAAAAGUACUUGAAUUGAGCAUGAGAAACAAUUGGUGAAAUACCCCAAACAUCACUAUGAACAACAUCAAAACACUUUGUAGCACGACUACCCAAAUUAGGAAAAGGAAGAAUUUUACUUUUGCCUAAUUUACAAGUAGAACAAUCAAAUAAAGCAGGGGAAAAUUGAUUUUUACUUCCUAAUAAACCAGAAUUUGAUAAAUGAGACAACACAACAGAAUUUAGAUGUCCUAGACUCUUAUGCCAAAGCUCAGUCUUAUUAGCCGUAGAAGUACAAUCAAAAGAUAAAACAGGAGGAAUGAAAAAUUGUAUAGGAAAUAAUCUUCCAACUUUAGUCCCCUUUGCGAUUAUCAUCCCCGACACCUGAUCCUGCACAAGACAACCAUUACAAGAAAAAUUUACAUCACAAUUGUCAUCAACCAAUAGUCCAACUGAAAUAAGACUAGUUGAGAGCUUCGGUGAAAUAAAAACAUUCUUGAAAGUUGGAGAAAUAUCCCCAACCUUGGUGAUGGGUAAAUUACUACCAUUAGCAACCGGUAUUUGUGAUGAACCUUGAUACUUACAAAUAUUUUUUAGUAUGCUUGCUGAGUUGGUCAUAUGAUUGGAAGCACCAGAAUCAACAAUCCAAAAAUUAAAUUUAACAUCAAUACCUUGUAAUCCCAAUGCUGGAAAGGCUGAUACGAUCAUUUGUUGUACCAUUUUAGGAGUAAGAACCUGAAGAUGAGUUCUCAAGAGUGGAACCAUUUAUUUCUGCGUGAAAAUUAUUUACCUUACGAUUCUGAGGGCGUGUGGGACACUCUUUGAUAAUGUGUCCUUGUUGUUUAUAGUAAUUACAGAACUUCUUGCCAAAAUUUCUAGCAAUAUGGCCAUAUUCCUUGCAAUUGUAGCAUUGAGUUCUAUUCAUAUCCCUACUCAUACCUUUUCCUUGAGCAGCAAAUGCAACAACGAUAACAUUUCCUCUUCUAAAAGAAUUUUGUGUGACAUAAUGCUGCUCUUCACAAAGAAACUCCCUAAAACAAACAUUCAGGGAGGGGGACGGGUCACGAUUCAUCAAGUUAGAGCGAACACUCUCAAACUCAGAGCGUAACUUUAUCAAAAAUUGAUCUCGCUUGCUUUGCUCAUGAACUUGCUGAAUUAGAGAGAGAUUCAGAAGGUAUUUUGGCAUAAACAAUAUCUGUAAAUUCAGCCUAUAAGUUCUGAAAUCCAGAAUAAUAAUCCUGAAUAGAAAGACCUCCUUAAGAUUAAUUAGCAAUUUCAUACUCUAAGUGAAAGCGCCGAGCACUAUUAUCUUGGUUGUAAACCUUUUGUAAAUAAUACCACAUGGACUUAGCUGUCUUGUAAGGGGUGAGAAAAAUAAGUGCUAAUAAUUUGAUCACUAAAAUUGGAACAAAAAUUGAUAGAAGUGCAUCUGGUGUUCUGGAGAUGACUGGUUUAUCAGUUCUUAUUGGAAAAGAAUUUAUUAUUGAGCUAACACUUUCCAAAAAAUUAUCAACAAAACAGUGAUGAUCUUAUCUAUGCUGGUCGGACUCUUCAAAAAUGUCAACGAGUGCAUGUCAGAUUAUUCGAAAGUAGUGCAUUUUUGGAGAAUCCAACGUGGGUGUGGCAUCGAAAGUGAACAAUUCGCACAACUUUGGACCUUAUUAUCUUCAUAAUAUUGUAGAAUAUGGAAAAUAAAACAUAUUUUUAUAUGUUAUUUCUUGAUGAACUAAUAAAGCUAAGAAGAGUCGCUUGGCAAUAAAUGUUCAUGUAAUUCAAACUGUAUUAUUUUCAUCAUGGAUUGUUUGGUGGGAUGUAUUAGUUAUGGAAUAAUAUAAUCUUUUGUUUGUUAGGACUGUCAAUCUAUGCAUGUUGGUGCAUUUUAUUAUUAAAAUAAAAAUAUUAAAGUGCAUGACAAUUAGUAGACAUAAAGUGAAGAAGGUGGUGUCAUUAUUUUUGUAACUCACCACUUUAUAUUUUUGUGUUAGUGGGUAUGAAUUGUGAUAAAGAUGAUCAUAAGUUCUUUUAACUCAUAUGACCAUUGGUUCUUGUAACUCCAUGGCCAUUACUUUCAUGUAACUUAUGUAACAUCAAGACUAUUCAUCUACCUACAUUACUAUCCCUCAUUCAUCAUAUUCAUUACAUGGAAGAAUUCUACAACUAUAAAUAGUGGUGGUUCUUUCUUUGUUGUUGAUGUAGAAUGGACUAGGAAAUAUGGUAAGUGUGAAAAAGAUUAUAGUGUGUAGUAGUGAAAGAGAGAGUUGAGCCAAAUAAAAUAUUCUAAUUCUACAACUAUAUUCACUUUACAAAUGAGAGUUAUUAUAUUAGUGAAAGAAAGAGUUGAGACAAAGAAAAUAAUCUAAAUCUUUAACUAUAUUCACUAUACAAAGAGAUUAAUAUAUGUUUGAGGAAGGUGUUCUUAUGAUGGAGCUUUGGACUCUUCAACUAAUCUGGAGUUGUUUGAGUUGUACAUCGUUGAUGAGCUGUUGUAUCCUGGAGGGGACAAGUCACGAGAUACACUGCUGGAUCGGUGUAGAUUAUGCCGCAGUGGGCUUGAAUCUCCUUAAAGAAAGCGAGAUAUUUGCGCCUCAGUCAAAAAGAAGAUUAUUUUAUUUUCUUCACUUUUGUUCAUUUUAUUUUCAACUGUAAUGAUUAUUGUAAUUUGUGGUAUAUUACAUCAACAAUUUUAAGGAGAUUCAUGUUUUGUUACAGUUUCAAAAAUCUCGGAUAUCGAGAUGAGAGAUCUCAAAAGAUGGAUGGCAAGAGAUAACAAGUAAGUAUCUUUCUACUUGCUCAACUCAAGGGGAUGAAAGGUAAAAAACUUUUCUGCUUGUUGCGGAGAAAAGGUAAAAAAAAUAAAUCUUCCACCUAUUUUUUUUAAUGGAAAAAAUGAUACUACUUUUCAUGAUCAUAAAGUGGUAUUCAAAAUCUUUAAAUAGUGGGGGCUAAUGAAAUGAGAAAAAAUCACCACAAAAUUGUGACAUUUGCACUUUUGAGAAUGAGUUAAAAAAAGUGUUUUAAGUGCAUAAUUAUUGUUGGAGUAAAUCACAUGUCAUUAUUAAUUUGCAUAUGACUUGAUGUCUUUAUAUUUGGCUCUAACAUGUUAUCAAAGAAAGAAUAAAAAAUAUUGAGUAGCCAUUUGACAUUAAAUAUUUGGGUGAGAUAAAUUUCAUUCUUGAAAUGAAAAAAUACCUAAAUUAUGUGAUGAACUCUUCCUUGACAUGUCACAUUAUGGUAAAAAAGAAAAAUUGUGAAAUACAUUUUGUUGAUUAUAUGAGCCAGACAACUUCUUUUGAUUCACAUAUGUGAAAGUGGUGUGAAAAAAAAAAGUUUAUUAGCCUAAUGAAAUAUGAAUAUGUGGCUAGUUGCACUUGUCAUGAAAUUAUGUAAAAGUACUUAAACAAGCAAAUCAAGUAUAUUUACUUGGUUAAAAAAAAGGUUGUGGCUUGUUGUACUUAAAAGUGUUUUUGAUGCAAAAUGAGAAAAAAAUUAACUUGGUGCUAUUUACUAAUGAGAAUUAAAUUACUAUUUUUGCUAAAUCAUUAUGGAGGUUGAACUAACUAUUUUAUCUUCAAAUAGUGAAAAGGUGAAUUGAUCAAUCACUUUAUGUUGAGAAAUUGAUUUCUCUAAUUUUGAGUUAUUGUGAUAGCACCAAAAUAUAUUGGUAGAGUAUAAAUCAUUAUUAUAAUGAUAAAUUUGAACCAUAAGAUAAGGAGAAAAAUACAAUAUUGUGAGGUCAUAUUUAUCAAUGGUAUACCAAUAUUAAUUGUGUUAACUUUGUGAUAAUCUUGCAGAUUCAAAACUAAGGCUUAGCAAGAAAAUGGGCUGAAUCAUAUCGAGGGGAAGGAAAGAAGCCUAUAAAAAAAAAUCUAAGUCAUAUAUGAGCAAAUCCAACCUAGGGACUAGAGAUCCUAUAACCAGGUUCAAUGGGAAAAAUGAAUCAUAUGAUGACUUGUUGUGAAUGCACUAUUAUUUUAUCCCUCCUUAUGAUGUGAGUGCAUUGUUCCUAUAAUGAUUUGUGAAGGUUGAGUCAAAGGACUCUUAAUGAAAUUUUGUAUCUCGUAUGAGUGGGGUGUCGAAAUUACAGGACCACCCUUGAAGGAUUUCACCUAUGUGAGUGUGGAGGUAGGCCGCUUCCUAUGAGAAUGGGAUUUAUUCUCAAAAAUGCUGAUGAAAAAUUGGGAUAGCACAUGGCCUUAAGGUGUUGGAUAUUAAAGCUUAUGCCAAUACCUUGAAUAUUGUGUGUAGGCAAUGAUACUUUAUUUCCCCUAAGUAGUCAUAGUUCAAGGCUGAGACCGCUACUGACUCUGGAGUAAAGUUACUAUUUUACUAAUUGGGGGUUCAAUGUAGAGCACACCUUCAUUAUGCAUAAUAGUCUACCUUUAACUAAUUUGGUGAAAUUCUCUCUUAAUUUAAUAUUAAAAUGAGUGGAGAAAUAUUGGUGUAUAUGCAUUUUAUUAUUAAAUUAAUAUAUUAAGUUCAUAUGUUUGUGGGUAUAAAUUGUGUAUUAUGAGUAUUCUUACUUACAUAUGUUAGUGGAAGAGUGUGGUCAUAAGUUUUCUUGAAACUCCUAUAAACACUAAGACUUUAUUUUCUCAUUAUGCUAGUAACUCAUGUAACAUCCAAACUAUUCAUCUACCCACAUUACUACCUCUCAUUCAUCUCAUUCAAGGCAAGGAUGAAUACCUUUUCUAUAAAUAGAGGUGGUCUUCCAUAGUCUUGUAUGAAGUAUAAAAAAUGACAAGUGUGAAAAUUAUAUUAGUGAAAGAGAGAGUUGAGACAAAGAAAAUAUUCUAAGUCUCCAACUAUAUUCACUAUACAAAAUAGAGUAACUAUACUAGUGAAAGAUAGAGUUGAGACAAAGAAAAUAUUCUAAGUCUUUAACUAUAUUCUGUUAUAUUAUGUAGUUUCGGAUACAAGAAUCUGUAUAAAUGUAACACCAACUUCAACAAUAGUUCAUGUAUAAACAAGAACACCUUUGAAGUUCUUUAACACCUUCAAAAUAAGAAUACUAAUAAUCUAUCCAAGAAGUGUAUUAGAUUUCAGAAAAAUAAAUGAAACAGAAUUUAAGGUCAAGUCUCCCGACUUCACGAAGUGUCCUUAAGGAAUAAUUCCUCUCACUGUACCCGAGGUUAAGGAAUCUUACUCCCAGGAUAAAAUGGCCUACAAUCCGAACAAUAGCGGUACCUCAAAUUAUCGGAUUCUACGAACUCACUCAACAGUUUGAUUGAUCACACAGAAUGUUUUAAAGACAAGAAGAGAGAUUGUAUUUCAAAAAAAUUUUGUAGCUAAACUGUGGAUGAAAGAAGGUUUAUAUAUCCUUCAUAUGCCUCUUCUGAAAAGUGGAAAUGGUUCACUUAAAAGGUGUGACCUUUCCUGAAAAAUCAUGUCUGUUCGUCCAAAGAUUGCAUCUUUUCUGAACAGGCAGACCAUUUCAUGAAUCAGUGUGUUAUUUUGUUAAAGAAUUGCAUCCUUCUAAAACAUCAGUUUGAAAUAGUGCAUCUUUUAGAAGAAUCAGUUCAAAAUAGUGCCAUGCAUGCAUAUAACUGGAGGGUCAAAACACAUAAAAUUUUAUUGCAUUUUUAUUUUUCCUUCGGAUUAAAUUUCUGUCAAAUAAAUUUUGUCCAAAAAGAUAGAUCUCAUCGAUCGAUGAUAAAAUCCAAAUCCAAAUCCAAAUUCGAAUUUGAAUCUGAAGCCAAAGCCCAAGCCAAGCGACGACGACGACGGCACAAGGCAUCUCUUAUUUCUUGCCUCACUUACUGAUACAAGUCAAAUGGCCGCCUAAGCUUUAGAUGACAUCAUUCAAAGUCAGUACAUGGGGCAUCAAGCUUUGGUCGUAUUGAGGACAUGGGAUCCUACAUGGAGGGGCCGAUUAGAGUACACCAAAGAGCUAUCCCAUGUGUGGAAGAUUGCUUGGAGCAUUGAAGAUUAAGGACUCACGGUUUUGGGCCCUUCAUUAAAGGAAUUUUGAUCGCUUAGCCUUGUCCAAGUAACACUCCAUGGCCUCUCCACCUCAUUAAGGGCAUUGAAGUCAUUUUGUGUUCCAUUAUGUAAUAAGGCUAUAUAAAGUCUCUUUUAGGUCUUUUCACUUAAGUUGUUUUAAUGAUGAAUAUAAGAAACAUUGAAAAUCCUCUCUCUUGAGAGUAGACCACCUUAGUGUAGUUCUUAGUUAGGGCUUGGAUUAGCCAUUGUAGUUUAGGGCUUGGAAAAGCUAAUAUUGUUCUUUUCUUGGAAACGGUGGAUUUGAGGUGAGUUGAUUUCCUUGGCAGUCACCGUAAGAACUUGAUGCUUGUGAAUGUGAUUUGUAAAGGUUUUAGAGUUUGAUACACUCUUUAGUUGCUACAUUUUGUAUUCUCCUUGUGUCAAGUUAUCUAUCUUCUUUAUCAUUAAGUUUAUGUUUGCUUCCUUGUGUGUUUUGUGUCUUGCUUGUUACGGGUAUUUUCGGGUCAUUGCGGGUCACUUGUGGACUGUUUUGAGCUUGCAGAUACUAUGUGGUAGCACUUACCAUGUGGAGUAAGUGUUCCUUAUUUUAAACACUCACAAGUUCUCUUCUUCCACCAAUGUGGGAGAAAGAGUGAACUUUCCAAUUUGGGAGUACACUUUCUAAAUUGGUGUCUCCCUUCUUGUAAUGCCCCGAGAUCCCAUCCCGAGACGUCACACGGUUCUUAUGAUCCCAAAGGACCAUAAGCUAACCCUUUACUAAUAUUUGUACCUGUACACUGCAUAAUAUCUAAAAUAAAUGCGGAAACUAGCCAUAAGGUUCAACAUAUCUAUGAAUACUCAUAAUACAAAAAACAAAAUACUAAUACAUCCAUCUGAAAGGCCUCUAAACUAUCUGAAGUGUGGAUUUGAUAGGACAGGUCUCCAACUAACUUCGUCAACUAAAAAUAAACAAAGUCUGAAGCAAUAAUAGUAAACUGAGAUUCAUCCUCAAAAGAAAAGGACUCACUGCUACUGCUGCUGACUGGGACUGAAUUGCUGAGGAUACUCUGGAUCCUAUGCCUCUGAACCUAUGGAGUCAAAUAAAACACCAUAGCACAAAUAUAUCAGUACAGGAAUGUACCGAGUAUGUAGAAGAGGUAGGAUCAUGAAUCCAUAGUAACUAAACUGAAAUAAUCAUGAAAGUAACGAACGAGUACACGUAUAUAAAUGCACAAGCCAUAAUCACAAUCAUUACAAUUCUAGAUACUGAAACUCGGAUACCACUUUAUUGACAACUGAACUCACUACUGACACUGAGAUACCGAAUCACUAAAUUAUCUGACACUGAUAAUGAAUUUAUGAAUAUAUUCACAUCAAGGACUGAAUUCUAAGCUUACUGCUCCUGACUGGCUGAAUUGGAGAUCAACCCCUCUAACGGAUAAUUCUGGGAUCUAUUAGCAAUGAUAAGAAAAUGAUCAUGUCUGACUCUGACAACAGGAAUACUCAGCAGAAUCUGUGACUGAGAUCAACCCUUUCUGAAGAGAGAUAUUUGAAUAUGAAUAAUGAAUAACUGUAUGUGGGACCAAGCCUAUCUGACGGGUGGUCCAUGAGUCAAUAAAACUAUCUGAGUUCUUUAUAGAACUAGAUGAUUGUAUUUGACAGUCUUGAUUUCUAAAGAUAGAUACUGAAACUGUAAUUAUGGGAAGUAGUUACUUAAUCGACAUGCCCCAACCUACCACAGGUGGGAUCUAACCUGUAACCCCAGCUGAAAGGGUGUCAAUACCGUGCCACGGGUAAAGACCUCUCUAGUCAAGCCUCUCUAAUGUGUGACCCUCGCAGGAAGUCAGCCUAAGGCAAUAUAAUAGUCAAACCUCUCUAAUGGUGACAACCUCUAAUGACGGGGACUCCUGCAUCCUGCACUGUCUACGCAGUUCUGGAGUUCAGGGAUUGCUCCUAACGACUCAGCCUCUCUAAUGGGGAGCUACCAACCCUUCCCUCACUCGGUGCUAGCUCCUACUCCUAAUUGGAAGACUCUGAACUAAACUCAACUGAACAUAAUUGAACUGAAUCUGAUACUGAUCAUGUUUCUCAAAAGAUCUGAUUGAGUUACGCUGAGAUUACUUAGUUUUGUAUCUGACGAAAAAGAUAUCGAAUCAUGGUAUCUGACUGACAAUACAGAGCUUAAAUAGAUUACUCGAAUUGCUUCUAAGAUUAGAAUUGAAUCACUUAAAUACCAUUAGAUCUGAGCUGAUUACAGAACUGAGGCUAGAUUACUAGCGAUACAGAGAUUACAGAGAUAACUGAGAUUACUGAGCUUUCUCAAGCUCUGCACUUGUCUAAGGAUACAGAGUUCUAUAGUUCACUGAGUUCUGAGAAUCAUGGCUCGACUGGAAUUAUCGAAAAACUGACACAAUCUUUAAACAACAGCUCUAUUAUCGAGUAUAAAUACUCCAGGACUCGAUAGCAUAAAAGUAAAGCAUAAUCAUUCUUGACUAGUCAUCACCACAAUCAUUCAUUCAUCAUCACAAGCAUUCGUUCAUCAUCACAAUCAUUAAAGCAUCUUCACAAUCAUUAAAACAUAACUUCAAAUAAUUAGGAAUCAUUUUAUAUGUUCAUUCCAACAAUCAUUAAGACAUCACCUCAAGCAUUUAAGGAUUACAAAGGUCUAUUCAUCAUCACAGUCGCCAAGGGGUCACUUUAAGCAUCUCGAAAUCAUAAUCAUAUAAAAACAUAGGGGAAAUAUGUUACUAGAUCGUACUCCAUUCAAAAAGGUUUUACCUCAACUAUUUCAUACCUAUAUCCGUCUUGACAUGUGUUUGGAUAUCACAUGGCUUGGGGAAACUUCAUACUAUCAUGUCAAAACUUACUUGCUAACCACAUGGCAUGUAUUAAAAACUUAUCAUAUAUCAAAAGCACAUAAUCGGGGAAUUUACUACUGUCACAUCUCCACUUGUUCACUAAGGUCCUUCAACAAAACACUAGACAUGCACGGGUUCACACUUAUUUGGAAAUUUCCAUACUGUUGUGGCACAAUUCAUUUGCUAAGGCAUUUCAUCAAACACUAGGCAUGCAUGGACUAGCUCACAAUUUGGGGUUUUAUAUUCAACAUACUAUAAUGGACCUUAUGCUUCACCUAAGCUCUUUAUCACACCUAUGUGGGAUAUGCUUCUCUUAUUCAACCAUUUCUACACCCAAAAGUCAUAAACACAUCACAUAGAAAACAACUUCAAGAGGGUCUACCACAAACAUCACAUGAGUUCCACAUACUAGGGUCAAAGCUCAUAAAUCUUGUAGACAAACAUAAAUCAAAACUCAAAAACACAUUGAACAUCAAUUUCAACUCAUACAAUUCAUUAACAACUCAUAAACAUAAAAAUCUUUGAGUUUUAAAAAGGUUUCUUGAGCUUCUUGGAUGAAAGGGACCCAAGAUCAACAUCUACAUACCUUAAUCUUUGAAAUUGGAUAAAUUCUAAUACUUGAUACUCUAACCGCACUUGUAAUAAAUAAUUCUUGAAGCCCACACUAUGAGGAACUUGAUUCUUGAAGAAAUCUUAAAGAAUUUAUUGAUGAUUUUUGGAAGGUUAAAGUUCAUGAUGAAACCCUAGUUAUACUCUCUUUAGAGAAUUGGAAGAGAAAAUGAAGGAAUUAGGGUUUUGCAUGUGGGUUCUUAUAUUUAUAGAGGAUUCCAAAAGAUGGGAAAAGACCAAAAUACCCUUUCAAAAACAUCCUUAAAUUUUUGAAAAGAAAAGCUGAUGGCAUCCGUGACAAGCCGUCAUACUAGUGAUAGGUCGUCACGAAUUGUCAUCACAAAAAGGUAAAAUCUUGGUUUUCUGGUUAAGGUUGACGACAUUGGUAAUAUGCCAUCACGGGCGUGACGGCUUAUCACAAAAUGUCAUCACUGGGGGUAGAAAUCUUCCCAAGAGUGACGACAUUGUUGAUAGGUCGUCACGCUCGUGACAGCUUAUCGCGAAUGUCAUCACUCAGUUUUGCAGCCUAUCAUACCAGAGUAAAAUGGGCAUACCUCUUUGCUCUGAUAUCGGUUUUUGAUGAAAUUGGUAUCAUUGGAAAGAUAAUUCAAAGAGAUUUUAUUUGAUAUAUAGUAGGUCCUCUAAUUCGAUAUAUUCAAGGUGUUAUGGUUGAUUGAAUUUGACCCAAGUUUUGAUGCUCACUAAAACUUGAAUGAUAGGAAAGCUUUCAACUCGUCCUUGAGUUAGGGGACUUCUAUGAUCUUAAUUAAUGCUCAAAUAUAUUACCACCAUAGAUAAUUGAUUAACACACUAAAUUUAUAUAGGAUUCGAGGAUUUUGGAACAUCUACGCAUAUGAAUGACGGAUUUCCAUUCUAGUCCAAAAUGUGGGGUAUUACAUUAUCUCCCCCUUGGAAUCAUUCGUCCUCGAAUAUCGCUUGAUAAGUUACGAGUACUGAUCAACUGAACUUACUUAAAGGACGUGAAUAUCUAGAACAUGACUAUGCAACUGGAAUAUGCAUAUCUGAUGUAUGGAAUACUCGACUGAAUCUACUCAAAGCUGAAUUUUCUUAACACUCAUGCAUAUCUGAUGCAUGGACUCAUAACUGGGCUGAUCUUAAGAAUGCAUGACUGAUCACACACUGACAAGCUGAACUCAUUUCUACUUAAUGCGCAUAUCUAAUGCAUGAAUGUCCGGCUAAGCUGACUUUCAAAAGCACGACUUGAUAAUGCAAUAACGACUGAUGCUAACUUCAUAAGAAAAUUUGAACAUGCAUCAGGAUGAAUCUAAUGGCAUGCAACAUCAUGAUACUAGGGGUAUCUCCCCCUUGGGACUCUAUGUCCCUCUAAACACACUUCACUGAAAUACUGGGGCGGUGCGCGGGGCACCUACAGACUGGGUCAUGAUUGUCCGAUCAAGAUAUGAAACUCAUGCAUGACUCAUGCUAACAUAUAAGAUCAAAAUGGGAGCAAAGGAUCUGUCAAUGCAUGUCAUAAAGAUGAAGAGAUCAUAACAUACCCGGGUCUAUUUUAGGGAAUCCUUCCCGUUCAAGGCAAGCCUGAAGCGCACGAAGUCUACCUCUUUGAGUCAACACUCUACAUUCUCUCCUUCUAUGGCCUAGCUCACCACACCCAAAGCAUAUAUCACUAUCGGCUCUACACACACCUUGUUGGUGCCUGCCACACUCUCCACAACGUGGAUGGGUACGAACACCACUAGCACUACUAUAGGUUUUGGAGCUUGGCGCUCCCUCAGAUAUGACACCCCCAGACAUAUGUGCUGGUACACUAGCUAAAGAUGGAGCUGGAACUAAAAAUCUCCGACCAUACCGAGAAUUACUAUUACCUUGGGACCCUGCCUGAGAGAAACCACGACUACCUGUCUUGGCUCUGUUACUCACUCUCUUUCUUUCUUUCAUUUUAUUUGCCUCAAUCUGCUAUGCGUGCAUCAUUAGUCUAGUGUAACGCCUUAAAAAAUGGGUCCCGAAGCAUCGCACGGUGCUUGAGGCUACGAGUAGCCCCAAGCUAACCCUUUGAGCCAUUUUUCAUUCAGUUCAACACAAAUAAACGAGGUUUCCAUAAAUAAACCUCAAAUAUCAACAGAGAAAUCAUCAUCCAAGAAUAAAAGAAUUUCAGAAAGAUAAAAAAAUAUGACUUAUUAGUCAACUCCGCACAUCUAUACUAGUCUGACAAGCCUCUAAGAAAAUCAAUAAAACCAGCGAGCCAUUGAGACAUGCCCCAACUAACUGAUACUCAGUUAUCAAAUGUAAACAAUUCUGGGAAACCAACAUCAAACAUCAUGUCCUCGGAACAUGAGGACUCACCACAACAAAGGAUGUAGAACAGCGUGCCCGAAGAAUCACUAUUGAACCUGGAACUGAGCACCUGAACCUACAUUCCGAGAAAAUGCAGCCCACAUCCGAAGAUGUGGGUCAGUACCAUGGAAAGGAAUCGAGUAUAUGGGGGUGUAUGCAGUUGUAUAGACAUCAUCAUCAUAAAUAUUUAUAAAAAAUAUGCAGGAUGUGUGAAAGACUCACAUAGCUCGAAGAAAAUCAUCAUAAUCAUGAGAGGAUGAAAUAAGUACAAUAACACAUGUGAGUCAUCAUAUAAUUUGUCAAUCACUUUCAGUUCAUCAAGAAUAUCAAUUCUCAUAAUGUAAAUAUCAUUUAAAUCUUUCAAAAGAAUAACUUUCACAAUUCCACUUUCAAAUCACUUCACCAUUCACCAUAGACACAAGGAAACACACACACACUAGGAGAUNNNNNNNNNNNNNNNNNNNNNNNNNNNNNNNNNNNNNNNNNNNNNNNNNNNNNNNNNNNNNNNNNNNNNNNNNNNNNNNNNNNNNNNNNNNNNNNNNNNNNNNNNNNNNNNNNNNNNNNNNNNNNNNNNNNNNNNNNNNNNNNNNNNNNNNNNNNNNNNNNNNNNNNNNNNNNNNNNNNNNNNNNNNNNNNNNNNNNNNNNNNNNNNNNNNNNNNNNNNNNNNNNNNNNNNNNNNNNNNNNNNNNNNNNNNNNNNNNNNNNNNNNNNNNNNNNNNNNNNNNNNNNNNNNNNNNNNNNNNNNNNNNNNNNNNNNNNNNNNNNNNNNNNNNNNNNNNNNNNNNNNNNNNNNNNNNNNNNNNNNNNNNNNNNNNNNNNNNNNNNNNNNNNNNNNNNNNNNNNNNNNNNNNNNNNNNNNNNNNNNNNNNNNNNNNNNNNNNNNNNNNNNNNNNNNNNNNNNNNNNNNNNNNNNNNNNNNNNNNNNNNNNNNNNNNNNNNNNNNNNNNNNNNNNNNNNNNNNNNNNNNNNNNNNNNNNNNNNNNNNNNNNNNNNNNNNNNNNNNNNNNNNNNNNNNNNNNNNNNNNNNNNNNNNNNNNNNNNNNNNNNNNNNNNNNNNNNNNNNNNNNNNNNNNNNNNNNNNNNNNNNNNNNNNNNNNNNNNNNNNNNNNNNNNNNNNNNNNNNNNNNNNNNNNNNNNNNNNNNNNNNNNNNNNNNNNNNNNNNNNNNNNNNNNNNNNNNNNNNNNNNNNNNNNNNNNNNNNNNNNNNNNNNNNNNNNNNNNNNNNNNNNNNNNNNNNNNNNNNNNNNNNNNNNNNNNNNNNNNNNNNNNNNNNNNNNUAGGAGCUUAGGGUUUUCUUUUUGAGGGAUUUUGAUGAAACAUAACAUAUAAUGCUUCUAAUAGGAUUUAAUAUAGGGUUUGGACGGAUUUUGGGUGAGGGGGAAUGACCAAAACGGCCCCUAAAAUCAAAAAAUUCUCGAAUCUGUCCUUUGGUGGACUGUUUUGAUAGUCUGAAGUAGAUCAACCAUAACGUUUUACUCCGAUAUUAAAAUUUGAUGAAACUGAUUUCAUUAGAAAGAGGACUCUCAUAUAUUUCCAUUAUUAUAUAGUAUCUCACCCAGAUCAUUGUGUACGAGAAGUUAUGAUCGUUUGAAGUUGACCCAAAAAUUCACUUUUGAUAGGCUGAAGUAGAUCGAUCAUAACUUUUUGCUCCGAUAGACAAAUUGGAUGAAACCAAUUUCAUUGGAAAGAGGACUCACAGAGAUUUCCUUUGAUAUAUAGUAGAUUACCCAGAUAAUUAUGUACAAGGAGUUAUGAUCAUUUAAAGUUGGAGCAAAAAUACUCCAGGCCUCAGUACUUUUUCCUGCACGUUUUACUGUUCACUACUAUUCACGGUUCGAUCGGAAUGCUCAUAACUCAUUGCUCGGGUGUUCAUUUUAGAUGAUCCACAUAUCGUUGGAAAUCUUAUUAGAUACUCUACGUAAUGGUGGGUCAUAAUCUAAGAUAUUUCUCAUGAAAAAUUUAUAAUUCAUUCUAGAAGAUAGAACCCAACACGUUUACGCACAAAAUUUCAACGAAAAAUUUUCCAGGGUAUUACAUCGUCCCCCCUGGAAACAUUCGUCGUCGAAUGAUGCUAGACAUUCCAAGAUUAGAUAGGAAAUAGAGAAUACAGCUUAAACCAUUUGUUAGACUCAUCACCACAUCGUUUCUCACUCUGAAUGCAACAUAGAAUGCAUAAAUUUAAGAAACUAUAGCUGAACACAUAAUAAAUGACAACUGAACUGCUGCAACUUUUAUCAAAAGUGCAUGAUUUAGGAAAGAACGGUACCUUCGGCUUGAUUGGAGUUCGCGGAAAAUAGGUGCGGGUACUUGGAUCACAUAUCCGCGUCAGCUUCCCAAGUUGCACCCUCAACAGAUUGGUUUCGCCACAACACUUUGACCAAGGAAACUUCUUUGUUCCUUAGUCUUCGGACACUGAAAUCAAGAAUCUCAACAGGAAUCUCAUCAAAAGAAAGAUUUUCUUGAAUGUCAGCACUCACAGAGGAAUCCACUACCACAACAUCGCUAAUAUGCUUUCUAAGCAUGGAGACAUGGAAUAUUGGAUGAACAAAGGACAACUCGGAAGGCAACUCGACCUCAUAAGCUACCUUACCAACACGACUAAGAAUUUUGUAAGGACCAGCAUAACGGGGACUAAGCUUCCCCUUCUUUCCGAAUCUCUUCACCCCCCUCAUGGGUGAAAUUUUCAGAUACACUAGGUCACCAACUUCAAACUCAAGGUCUCUCCUUCUAACAUCCGCAUAUGACUUCUGAUGACUCUGUGCAGUUUUCAACCUUUCCCUAAUCAACUUNNNNNNNNNNNNNNNNNNNNNNNNNNNNNNNNNNNNNNNNNNNNNNNNNNNNNNNNNNNNNNNNNNNNNNNNNNNNNNNNNNNNNNNAGAACUCAAAAGCACUUGGGUACCAAGACCCUUCUGAAAAGCUUUCCAAAAUUGCGAAGUAAACUAAGUACCCCUAUCCGAAAUGAUAGACAAGGGAACUCCAUACAGUUUGACUAGCUCUUGGAUAUACAAUCUAGUGUAAUCCUCAGCAGUAUAUAAAGUAUGAACAAGCAAGAAAUGAGCAGACUUAGUCAACCUAUCAACCACAACCUAAAUGGAAUCAUGAUGGCAUCGGGAAAGAGGUAAACCAAUCACAAAGUCCAUAUUUAUCUCUUCCCACUUCCAGGUGGGAAUACUAAACUCUUGCAUCAUACCACCAGGUCUUCGGUGCUCAACCUUAACCUAUUGGAAUAUUGCGCACUUAGCUACAAACGCUGCUAUAUCUUUCUUCAUGCCACUCCACCAAUAGGGGCUGAAGUGAGUCAAGACUUUAACUCCUGAAAACUCUUCUCACAAGAUUCGGACCACAAGAACUUCACUUUCUUUUGGGUCAACCGCGUCAGAGGAGACGCUAUAUAGGAGAAACUCUCAAUAAAAUGGCGGUAAUAGCCAGCUAAACCCAAGAAACUUUGGAUAUCAGUCCAAGAAAUAGGUCUAGGCCAAUUUCUAACAGCUUUGGUCUUUUGGGGAUUAACUUUAAUAUCCUCGAAAGAAAUGAUAUGACCCAGAAAAGCAACUGACCUUAGCCAAAACUCACACUUACUGAACUUGGCAAACAACUUGUGAUCUCUAAGGGUUUGCAAGACAGUUCGGAGAUGAUCAGAAUGUUCAUCCUCACUACGGGAGUACACCAGUAUAUCAUCGAUGAACACUAUGACAAACAUAUCCAGAUAUGGUCUGAACACUCGAUUCAUGAGGUCCAUGAAAGCUGCUGGGGCAUUAGUUAACCCGAAAGACAUAACAAGAAACUCAAAAUGGCCAUAACGAGUUCGGAAAGCGGUUUUUGGGAUGUCACACUCUCUAACUUUGAGUUGAUGAUAGCCAGAACGAAGGUCUAUCUUUGAGAAAGAACUUGCACCUUGCAAUUAGUCAAACAAAUCAUCUAUUCUCGAAAGGGGGUACUUAUUUUUUACGGUNNNNNNNNNNNNNNNNNNNNNNNNNNNNNNNNNNNNNNNNNNNNNNNNNNNNNNNNNNNNNNNNNNNNNNNNNNNNNNNNNNNNNNNNNNNNNNNNNNNNNNNNNNNNNNNNNNNNNNNNNNNNNNNNNNNNNNNNNNNNNNNNNNNNNNNNNNNNNNNNNNNNNNNNNNNNNNNNNNNNNNNNNNNNNNNNNNNNNNNNNNNNNNNNNNNNNNNNNNNNNNNNNNNNNNNNNNNNNNNNNNNNNNNNNNNNNNNNNNNNNNNNNNNNNNNNNNNNNNNNNNNNNNNNNNNNNNNNNNNNNNNNNNNNNNNNNNNNNNNNNNNNNNNNNNNNNNNUGAGGUAAGAGAUAAAAUGACUCUUGGGUGACACAGAAUUCCCAAACCACUCAAACACGGAUACACGCGGAAACUGAAACUUGACCACUCGGGUCCGACAAUCAAUAGAGGCAUAAGAAGAAUACAACCAGUCUAUACCCAAAAUCACAUCAAAAUCUACCAUGUCUAACUCAAUCAGAUCAGCCAACAAGACUCUAUGAAGAAUGGUAACAGGACACUUUUUAUACACUUUCAGGGCAACAAUCGAAUAACCCACUGGGGUAGAAACUAGUAGGCUCAGGAAUAAUCUUAGGACUCAUUUCAAAAUUCACAGUAAUCAAAGGUGUAACAUAUGAGAAACUGGAUCCAGGAUCCAACAAAGCAUACACAUCAAACUGAAAUAUAUGAAGAAUACCAGUAACAACAUCGGGAGAGUCCUCCUAUUCCUAGCGGGAUGGUAAAGUAUAGAAUCUAUUCUGGCGCUGUCCGCCAGCAUUGCUAGAAGAGGUGCCCUGAGCUAGGGCUGGGCGAAUCACUGGAACUGGAGCACUAACAGUCUGAGUCUGGGUCUGAGGGCGAUAGUCACGACACCCUUGUCCAUCCUAUUGUCAAUCUCUAACUCUGUGACCCAAGUCACCACACCGGAAACAACCCCUUUUCUCACCCCAACACUCACCCGAAUGGUCCCUACCACACUUAGCACACAGGGGAUGAUUUGGCUUACUGCCAGCACUGUACUGGGACCUGGAUGCAUAUGACCUGGUACCUUGCUCCUGCCUACCUCUAGGCAUGGGAGCACUAGCAAAUGAUGGUGCUGGCAUAGACGAAAAAUCCUAAUACUGAGGGCGACUCCCUCCCUGCGAACUAGUCUGACCCUAUCCGUGCUGCUCGAACCUAGCUCUCGUAUUCCCUCUCAUUCUAUCUUUCUCCUUAAUCUUGUCUACCUCAAUCUGUUGGGCAUGAGUCAUCAGCCUAGAAAGAUUCAUCUCACUAUUCAGCAUAGUAGACCUACACUCCUUAACCACAUAACUAGACACUCCAGUCAUAAACUUACUCAUACUAGCCCGAUUAUCAGCAACUAAGUCAGGAGCAUACUUGGAAAACUGAUUAAACUUUAGACAGUAUUCCCUAACAGUCAUAGAUACCUAUCGCAGGUUCAUAAACUCUUCUACCUUCGCCUCCCUUAUCUCCAAAGGAAAAAACUUAUCCAGGAAUGCAUCCUGGAACUCUUGCCAAGUUGUAGGGACAGUUCCCUCACCUCUACUUUUCCUCCAAGAAACAACCCAGUCAUAAGCAAGGUCUUUCAACCGAUACGCAGCCGGCUCCACACUAUGUUCCUCAGAUACAUGCAUCACCUGAGUAAUAUUCCGCACCUCCUCUAAAAACUACCGUGGAUCCUCAUCAGACUUGGACCCAUAGAAUUCUGGCGGAUUCAUUCGCAUGAAGUCAUGAAUCCUGACAGUAGCUGAAUCACCUCUCUGCUACUGUGGAGCCGGGGUUGGGUUGGCCUAAAUAUUUGCAGUAACAGCUUGGGCCAGCGCCUGAAAGGCUGCCCAAAAUUCAGCAUGAGACACAUUUUCAUUCAAUGGGUCAGCGGGUUGAGGUUGCUGACCAUCAUUAUUUCUUCUCGCUCGACGUCGAGGCAUAUUUCUGAAAGAGGAGAGCACGAAUCAAUAGCAGAGAGAGACACUUUAAGCACGAUAGACUUCUAAAAAAAAGAAUAACAUAUUUUCCUAAAACGUCUUGUAGCCUCUUGCUCAUAGAUGUGGUGCACUACAAACCGAUGAUCAAGAAUCUACUUAACGCGGCUUGUCUGACUUCCUAGGACACCUUAAAACCUUAGGCUCUGAUACCAAGUUUGUAACGCCCCGAAAAAUAGGUCCCGGAGCAUCACAUGGUGCUUGAGGCUACGAGUAGCCCCAAGCUAACCCUUUGAGCCAUUUUUCAUUCAGUUCAACACAAAUCAAUGGGGUUUCCAUAAAUAACCCUCAAAUAGAAAUAGAGUAAUCAUCAUCCAAGAAUAAAAGAAUUUCAGAAAGAUAACAAAAUACGACUUAUUAGUCAACUCCCAACAUCUAUAUUAGUCUGACAAGCCUCUANNNNNNNNNNNNNNNNNNNNNNNNNNNNNNNNNNNNNNNNNNNNNNNNNNNNNNNNNNNNNNNNNNNNNNNNNNNNNNNNNNNNNNNNNNNNNNNNNNNNNNNNNNNNNNNNNNNNNNNNNNNNNNNNNNNNNNNNNNNNNNNNNNNNNNNNNNNNNNNNNNNNNNNNNNNNNNNNNNNNNNNNNNNNNNNNNNNNNNNNNNNNNNNNNNNNNNNNNNNNNNNNNNNNNNNNNNNNNNNNNNNNNNNNNNNNNNNNNNNNNNNNNNNNNNNNNNNNNNNNNNNNNNNNNNNNNNNNNNNNNNNNNNNNNNNNNNNNNNNNNNNNNNNNNNNNNNNNNNNNNNNNNNNNNNNNNNNNNNNNNNNNNNNNNNNNNNNNNNNNNNNNNNNNNNNNNNNNNNNNNNNNNNNNNNNNNNNNNNNNNNNNNNNNNNNNNNNNNNNNNNNNNNNNNNNNNNNNNNNNNNNNNNNNNNNNNNNNNNNNNNNNNNNNNNNNNNNNNNNNNNNNNNNNNNNNNNNNNNNNNNNNNNNNNNNNNNNNNNNNNNNNNNNNNNNNNNNNNNNNNNNNNNNNNNNNNNNNNNNNNNNNNNNNNNNNNNNNNNNNNNNNNNNNNNNNNNNNNNNNNNNNNNNNNNNNNNNNNNNNNNNNNNNNNUAUCUCAAAUAUUCAAUAUCAACGUGCUUAUAACACACACUUUCUCAAAAAAAUACAAUUUCCAAUGGGGAUUCACGACCCAAAUAUCAAAAUCAUGAUAAAUAUCGUUCAAGAUUCAUGCUUUAUAUCUCCACACAUGUAAAUUCAUCUUUCAAAAUCAUAAACAUCAAGAUUUCAUAAUAAUCAUCAUAAGAUAUGGGUUCAUGCUUCAAAUUCAUAAAAAUCAAAUAAAAAUCAUGCCUUUGUAAAGAAAAUUACUUUUGGGCACAAGAACGAAAGAGAGUUCUUGUUGAAAAACCCCACAUACCUUGAAUGAUGAACUUUAGAUCGAUACUCAUUUUUGAGAUGUUAAUCGUGCCUUUGAAUGAUGGUUCUUGGAGUUCUUGAACUAGGAACUUGGAAUCUUGAAUAAAUUUGCAGAAUUAAUAGUGAACUUUGGAGGUUCUUGAAGUUGGAUGUAGGAGCUUAGGGUUUUCUUUUUGAGGGAGUUUGAUGAAAUAUAACAUAUAAUACUUCUAAUAAGCUUUAAUGUUGGGUUUGUAUGGAUUUUAGGUGAGGGGAAUGACCAAAACGCCCCUAAAAAUCAAAAAAUUCUCGAAUCUGUCCUUUGGUGGACUGUUUUGAUAGUUUGAAGUAGAUCAACCAUAACGUUUUACUCUUAUAUUAAAGUUGGAUGAAACUAAUUUCAUUAGAAAGAGGACUCUCAUGUCUUUCCGUUGAUAUAUAGUAUCUCACUAGAUCAUUGUGUACGAGGAGUUAUGAUCAUUUGAAGUUGACCCAAAAAUUCACUUUUGAUAGGCUGAAGUAGAUCGAUCAUAACUUUUUGCUCCGAUAGACAAAUUGGAUGAAACCAAUUUCAUUGGAAAGAGGACUCACAGAGAUUUCUUUUGAUAUAUAGUAGAUCACCCAGAUCAUUAUUUACAAAGAGUUAUGAUCAUUUAAAGUUGAAGCAAAAAUACGCCGGGCCUCAGUACUUUUUCCUGUACGUUUUACUGUUCACUACUAUUCACGGUUCGAUCGGAAUGCUCAUAACUCAUUGCUCGGGUGUCCAUUUUAGAUGAUCCACAUAUCGUUGGAAAUCUUAUUCGAUACUCUACGCAAUGGUGGAUCAUAAUCUAAGAUAUUUCACACGGAAAAUUUAUUAUUCAUUCUAGAAGAUAAAACCCAACAAGUUUACGCACAAAAUUUCAAUGAAAAAUUUUCUGGGGUAUUACAUCAUCCCCCCUUGGAAACAUUCAUCCUCGAAUGAUGAUAGACAUGCCAAGAUUAGAUAGGGAAUAGAACAUACAGCUGAAACCAUUCGUUAGACUCAUCACCACAUCGUUUCUCACUCCGAAUGCAACAUAGAAUGCAUAAAUUCAAGAAACUACAGCUGAGCACAUAAUAAAUGACAGCUAAACUGCUGCAACUUUUAUCAAAAGUGCAUGAUUUAGGAAAGAACGGUAUUUCAGCUUGAUUGGAGUUCGUGGAAAAUAGGUGUGGGUACUUGGAUCGCAUAUUCGCCUUAGCUUCCCAAGUUGCACCCUUAACAGAUUAGUUUUGCCACAACACGUUGACCAAGGGAACUUUUUUGUUCCUUAGUCUUCGAACACUGAAAUCAAGAAUCUCAAUAGGAAUCUCAUCAAAAGAAAGAUUUUUUUGAAUGUCAGCACUCACAGAGGAAUCCACUACCACAACAUUGCUAAUAUUCUUUCUAAGUAUGAAGAUAUGGAAUAUGAAAUGAACAUAGGAUAACUCGAAAGGCAACUCGACUUCAUAAGCUACCUUACCAACACGGCUAAGAAUUUUGUAAGGACCAACAUAAUGGGGACUAAGCUUCCCCUUCUUUUCGAAUCUCUUCACCCCCUCAUGGGUAAAAUUUUUAGAUACACUAGGUCACCAACUUCAAACUCAAGGUCUCUCCUUCUAACAUCCGCAUAUGACUUCUGACGACUCUGUGCAGUUUUCAACCUUUUCCUAAUCCAUUUAAAUUUUUCCAUAGCCUAAAAUACCAAAAAUUUUUAAUUCAUUCCAGAAGAUAGAACCCAACACAUUUACGCACAAAAUUUCAAUGAAAAAUUUCCUGAGGUAUUACAUUUUUGAAGUCUUUUCACAUAGGUGGUAGCUUCUCAAUGAUCGCUGCUACUUGAAAUGCAUCAUUCACAAUCAAAAUUUCUUCUAAGAGAUCGUGGAUGAUUACUUCCAACUCCUGCACUUGAGAGAUAAUCGAUUUGCUAUCUAUCAUUUUAAAGUCCAGGAACCUUGGGACAAAGAAUUUCUUAAUUCCUACAUCCUCUGUCUUGUAUUUUCGUUCUAGUGCCCCCCACAAUUGCUUCGAUGUCUUAAUUCCACUGUAAACAUUGUAGAGGUCAUCUUGGAGACCACUCAAUAUACAAUUUCUGCAAAGGAAGUCCGAGUGUUUCCAAUCCUCUACAAUCAUGAAAUGAUCUUUGUCCAAGGUUCCCUCGGGCACCUCAGGAGUAUCCUCACUAGUGAACUUUUGAAUACAUAGCAUUGUGAGGUAGAAGAACAUCUUCUGCUUCCAUCACUUAAAGUCAAUGCCCGCAAAUUUUUUGGCCUUUACCGCAGGUGCCAUUGGUUGCGGAGCAUUUUCUCAACUUGUUGAGGCAAUACUAGUCUCCCCCACAGUCGUAGCCACAUCUUGCAUUUGACUUCCGUUAGUUAUUUUUCCUCACCACAAUAUAAUAAAAUUUAUUAUUUUCAGAAUACUACUUACAAAGUUAAGCAACUUUAAACUUUUUUUCUCAUUUCUGGUUAACAAUGAAGUUUUUAUGACUUCCAACUGUCAACCGAGUGAUUUUUAACUUAUGAUGAAGAUUUUAUGUCUUCAAAUCACUAUUUAAAUUCAAACGGAGUAGAAAUCUUAAAGUUUUAAUCUCCAAAAACAAACAAUACAAAAAUUAUUCCUUAAGAUUGUUAUCUUAUGUAGUUUCGGAUACAAGAAUAUUUAUAAAUGCAACACCAACUUCAACAAUAGUUCAUGUAUAAACAAGAACACCUUUGAAGUUCUUUAACACCUUCAACACAAGAUUAGUAAUAAUUUAUCCAAGAAGUGUAUUAGAUUUCAGAAAAAUAGAUGAAACAGAAUUUAAGGCCAAGUCCCCCGACUUCACGGAGUGUCCUUAAGGAAUAAUUACCCACUGUAUUUUCCCUUCAGAUUAAAUUUCUGUCGAAUAAAUUGUCCAAAAAUAUAGAUCUAAUCAAUUGAUUAUUUGCCAAAUUCGAAUCCGAAUCUGAAUCCGAAGUCGAAGCCGAGCCGAGAGAGCGACGAUGACGACGACGUGAGGUAUAUCUUACUUAUUGAAUCACUUACCAUGUGGAGUAAGUGUUCCUUAUUUUAAACACUCACAAGUUCUCUUCUUCCACCAAUGUGGGAGAAAGAGUGAACUUUCCAAUUUGGGAGUACACUUUCUAAAUUGGUGUCUCCCUUCUCUCCACCAUUUUUCUUCCAUUUUUCAUUCAUACUUUUUCAUAUACUAUAAACCAAACAAUCUACCACAUGGGAAAUGGCUAUUGUCUUAAAAUUUUUAUGGAAAAGUAUGUGAUCAUAAAGCAAAGAUUGAUUGCAUCUGGAUAAGUGAUUUUCCCUUUGAACUUUUUGUAGUGAACAUGCAUUAGAUGCACUCGGUAAAUCGGUAGAUUUGAUAUCUUUGAAUCGUCUAGCUUUAGUGUAUACCUAGAUAACACAUUUCACACAACCAUCCUUUUACCAUUUAUGGUUCACACGGUUUUGUUCUUUUUAGCUAUAAACACGUCCCGAUUUCAUGAGAGCUUAAAGAAUAGGCCUUUACUAACAUUCUCCUUGAAGAGGCUUCCAUUUCGCCCUCACAUAGGUGAUUUACAUCUGUUCAAUCCUAUAGAUUAAACUAUUUGGUCAAAUCUUCCAAAUUUAGAUAAUCAUUAAAAGACUUUUCACCUUAAGUCUUAUCCUUGUUUACUAAACAUUGUCUACAUCAUGAGAAUGGGUUGAGUAAUUGACAAUAUUAAACCUGUCAGACACAACUUUGUUCGAUCUCCUUGAGCCUAGAUCUUGGUAUCUCCAGUCUGCUCGGUAGAGUUACUGCCAUGCUGACUUGUCAUGGGCCUUAAACCCAUUCCCUUGGGUGUCCUUUCCUCUCUUUCUCUAGAUAGGCCUUUUUUAAGUGGAUCCGACACAUUAUCCUUUGACUUAACAUAGUCAACAGUGAUAAUUCUACUAGAGAGAAGUUCCCUAACGGUAUUAUGUCUCUGUCGUAUGUGACAAGAUUUACCAUUGUACAUUAUUCUCCCUGCCAUACCAAUUGCCGCUUGGCUAUCACAGUGUAUACAUACUGAUGCCACUGGUUUAGGACAAUAAGGAAUAUCUUCCAAGAAAUUCUGAAGCCAUUCAGCUUCUUUACUGGUUUUAUCUAAUGCAAUAAAUUCAAAUUCCAUUAUAGAGAGAGCAAUACAUGUCUGUUUGGAUAAUUUCCAAGAGACUUCACCUCCAACGAUAAUAAAUACAUAUCCACUCGUGGAUUUUACUUUGUUUGAUCCGGUGAUCUAAUUUGCAUCACUAUAUCCUUCAAGUACCAUGGGAUAUUUAUUAUAAUCCAAAGCAUAGUUUUGAGUGUAUUUAAGAUACCCCAAAACUCUUUUCAUUACCAUCCAAUGAGUUUUGUUGGGAUUACUCCUGUACCGACUUAAUUUACUAAUAGCGCAUUCUAUAUCUGAUCGUGUACAGUUUAUAAUAUACAUUAAACAUCCCAAUACUCUUGCGUACUCCAAUCGUGAGUCACUUUCACCUUCAUUCUUUCAAAGUGCGAAGCUCACAUCCAAAAGAGUCUUGGAAAUACCGAAUUCCAUAUACUUGAAUCUGUCAAGUACCUUUUUGAUAUAAUGAGACUGUGACAAUGCCAACCCUUGUGGAGUUCUAUGAAUUCUUAUACCUAAGAUCACAUCCGCAACUCCAAGGUCUUUCAUAUCGAACUUACUCUCGAGCAUUCAUUUAAUUGCAUUCAUGUCAGAAAUGUCUAUACUAACGAUCAACAUAUCAUCUAUAUAUAAACACACAAUGACUUGGUGAUUUGGAGUGUCUUUAAUAUAAACACAUUUAUCACAUUUAUUUAUUUUGAACCCGUUUGCCAACAUGGUUUGGUCGAACUUCGCAUGCCAUUAUUUAGGUCUUGUUGUAGUCCAUACAUUGACUUAAUAAGUUUACACACCUUAUUCUCCUUUCCUGGAACAAAAAAACCCUCUGGUUGUUCCAUGUAAAUUUCUUCCUCCAAUUCUCUAUUUAGGAAUGUGAUUUUCACAUCUAUUUGAUGGAUUUCAAGACUAUAUUCCGCCGCCAAGGCAAUUAACAUUUGAAUCGAUGUUAUCCUUGUUACUGGAGAGUAUGUAUCAAAGUAAUCAAGGCAUUCUCUUUUCUUGAAGCCUUUUACUACAAGUUUUUCCUUGUAUUUGUUAAUAGUACCAUCCAUUUUCAUUGUUAUUUUGAAGAUCUAUUUAGAACCUAAAGGUUUAUUCCCUGGAGGAAGAUCAACCAAUUCCCACGUAUGUUUGCUUAAGAUUGAAUUAAUCUAACUAUUUAUUGCCUCUUUCCAAAAGGAAGAGUUCGAAGACGACAUCGCUUCUUUAAAUAUUUGAGGCUCAUUUUCUAAGAGACAUGUUACAAAAUCUAAUCCAAAUGUAGUAGAAGUUCUUUGAAGUGUACUACAUCUUGGAUUCUCUUCAUUAUGUACAUUCUCACUUGUUUUAUCUCGAGGUCGUUUAGAUCGUCCACUAGACUAUUCAUGUCUAGUUUUAUACAGGUAAAUAUUUUCAAAGAAUUUAGUUUUAUCGAAUUCAAUUACCGUAUUUUCAUUUAUAUCCGGAUGUUGGGAUUUAUGAACCCAAACCGACAUGCUUUACUGCUUUUAGCAUAUCCUUUGAACACACAGUCCACCGUCUUAGGUCCUAUCUUAACCCUUUUAGGCAUAGGAACUUGGACCUUUGCUAGACACCCCCACACUUUGAAAUAUUUCAAGUUGGAUUUUCUUUCUUUCCACUUUUCAUAAGGAAUUGAUUUUGACUUACUAUGAGGAACUCUAUUGAGUCUACGAUUGGCUGUAAGGAUAGCCUCACCCCACAAGUUUUAUGGUAAACUGGAACUUAUAAGUAAGGCAUUCGUCAUUUCCUUUAACGUUUGAUUUUUCCUUUUUGCAAUUCCAUUAGAUUGAGGUGAAUACGGGUCCAUAUUUUGAUGGACGAUUCCAUUCUCUACACAUAUUUCAGCGAAAGGAGAUUCAUAUUCUCCGCCCCUAUCACUUUUUAUGAUUUUUAUCUUUUUCUCUAACUGAUUUUCUACUUCAGUAUUUAGCAAGUAGACAUAACAAUAUCUAGUGUAAUCAUCAAUAAAAGUUAUGAAAAACUUUUUCCCACCACGUGAUGGUGUUGACUUCAUAUCACAAAUGUCAGUGUGUACUAAGUCUAAGGGAUUGGAAUUCCUUUCAAUGAACUUAUAAGGAUGCUUUGCAUACUUUGAUUCUACACACGUUUGACACUUUGAUUUAUUGCACUCAAAGUUUGGCAAAACUUCUAAGUUAAUCAGUUUUCAUAACAUUUUGUAAUUAACAUGGCCUAAACAUUCAUGCCAUAAAUUAUAAGACUCAAGCAAGUAAGAAGAACUUGAAAUUUUAUUUAUUUCAACAUUCAUUACAUUCAUCUUAUUAAGGCCCUCGGUGAGAUAACCUUUUCCUACAUAUAUUUUUCCUUUGCUAAUUACAAUUUUUCCAGAAAUGGUUACAUAUUUGAAUCCGUUCUUGUCUAGAAGUGAAACAAAAAUCAAGUUCCUACAUAAUUCUGGAAUAUACAAGACAUUGUUCAGUGUCUAAACCUUGCCUGAAGUCAUUUUCAAGCACACUUUUCCUAUUCCUUCUACCUUAGCAGUAGUAGAGUUAGCCAUGUAGAUCAUUUCUUCUACUUGAGCUGGAGCGAAUGACGAAAAAAACUCUUUGUUGGCACACACAUGGCGGGUGGCACCAGAAUCCAUCUACCAUUCGCGAGGAUUCCCCACCAAGUUGAAUUCAGAGAACAUAGCACACAAAUUAUCACAUUCUUUAUUGGACUCAACCAUAUUAGCUUGGUGCUUUUUCUUGCGUUUCUUAAGGGCACGGCAAUCCGUGGACUUAUGGCCAAUUUUGCUACAGUUGAAGCACUUUUUCUUGAGUUUCUUCUUAGGUUGAUUGCUUCCUUAUUCAACUUUCUUUGUUUUCUUAGAAUUAAUUUGGUCAUCUUCUACAAUAUGUGCUCUAUUAAUUGUAGAAUUUUCUCUUGACCUUCUCUCGGUAUCCUUAUUAUCCUCUUCAAUACGCAGUCGGACAAUAAGAUCUUCGACAGUCAUCUCCUUGCGUUUGUGCUUCAAGUAGUUUUUGAAGUCUUUCCACAUAGGUGGUAGCUUCUCAAUGAUCGCCGCUACUUGAAAUGCAUCAUUCACAAUCAAACCUUCUGCUAAGAGAUCGUGGAUGAUUACUUGCAACUCCUACACUUGAGAGACAACCGAUUUGCUAUCUAUCAUUUUAAAGUCCAGGAACCUUGCAACAAAGAAUUUCUUAAUUUCUGCAUCCUCCAUCUUGUAUUUUCUUUCUAGUGCCCCCAUAAUUUUUUUGAUGUCUUAGUUCCACUGUAAACAUUGUAGAAGUCGUCUUGGAUACCACUCAAUAUACAAUUCCUGCAAAGAAAGUUCGAGUGUUUCCAAGACUCUACAAUCAUGAAACGCUCUUUGUACGAGGUUCCUUGAGCACCUUAGGAGCAUCCUCACUAGUGAACUUCUGAAUACCUAGCAUUGUGAGGUAGAAGAACAUCUUCUCCUACUAUCGCUUAAAGUUAAUGCCCGUAAAUUUUCCUGGCUUCUCCACAUGUGCCAUUGGUUGUGGAGCAUUUGCUCGAAUUGUUGAGGCAAUACUAGUUUCCCGCACAAUCGUAGUUGCAUCUUGCAUUUGACUUUCAUUAGUCAUAUUUUUCCUCACCGCAAGAUAAUAAAAUUUAGUAUUUUUAGAAUACUACUUACAAAGUUAAGCAACUUUAAACUUUUUUUCUUGUUUCUAGUUAACAAUGAAGUUCUUAUGACUUCCAAUUAUCAACCGAGUGAUUUUUAACUUGUGAUGAAGAUUUUAUGUCUUCAAAUCACUAGUUAAAUUCAAACGGAGUAUAAAGCUUAAAGCUUUAAUCUCCAAAAAACAAGCAAUACAGAUUCUAUAAACAAAUUAUUCCUUAAGAUUGUUGUCUUAUGUAGUUUCAGAUAUAAGAAUUUGUAUAUAUGCAACACCAACUUCAACAAUAGUUCAUGUAUAAACAAGAACACCUUUGAAGUUCUUUAACACCUUCAACAUAAGAUUAGUAAUAAUCUAUCCAAGAAGUGUAUCAGAUUUUAGAAAAAUAGAUGGAACAGAAUUUAAGGCCAAGUCCCCCAACUUCACGGAGUGUCCUUAAGGAAUAAUUCUCUUACUGUACCCGAGGUUAUGGAAUCUUCCUCCCAGGAUAAAAUAGCCUACAAUCCGAACAAUAGUGGUACCUCAAAUUGUAGGAUUCUACGAACUCACUUAAAAUUUUUAUUGAUCCCAUAGGAUAUUUUGAAGACAAGAAGAGAGAUUGUAUUUCAGAAAAUUUCCAUAUCUAAACCUGUGGAUGAAAUCAGGUUUAUAUAGCGUUCAUAUGCCUCUUCUGAAAAGUGACAAUGGUUCACUUAAAAGGUGUGACCUUUCCUAAAAAAUCAUGUCUAUUCGUCUAAAGAUUGCAUCUUUUCUGAAUAGGCAGACCAUUUCAUGAAUCAGUGUGUCAUUUUAUUGAAGUAUUGCAUCCUUCUGAAGCAUCAGUUUGAAACAGUGCAUCUUCCAGAAGCAUCAGUUCAAAAUAGUACCAUGCAUUCAUAUAACAGGAGGAUCAAAACACAUAAAAACUUACUGCAUUUUUAUUUUCCCUUCGGAUUAAAUUUUUGUUGAAUAAAUUUUGUCUAAAAAUAUAGAUCUUAUCGAUCGAUCAUUGUCCAAAUCCAAAUUCGAAGCCGAGCGAGAGACGAAGACGACGGCGCGAGGCAUUUCUUAUUUCUUGCCUCACUUACCAUGUGGAGUAAGUGUUCCUUAUUUUAAACACUGACAAGUUCUCUUCUUCCACCAAUGUGGGAGAAAGAGUGAACUUUCUAAUUUGGGAGUAAACUUUCUAAAUUGGUGUCUCCCUUCUCUCCACCAGUUUUCCUUCAUUUUUCAUUCACACUUUUUCAUAUACUUUGAACCCAACAUAUUCACUAUACAAAGUGAGUAAAUAUAUGUUGAAGGAAGAUGUUCUUAUAGUGGAGCUUUGGACUCUUCAACUAAUUCGGAGUUGUUUGAGUUGUACAUCGUUGAUGGGUUGUUGUAUCCUGGAGGGGACAAGUCACGAGAUAUACUACUGGAUCGGUGUAGAUUAUGUCCUAGUGUGCUUGUAUCUACUUAAAGAAAGUGAGAUAUCCGCACCUCAGCCAAGAAGAAGAUUAUUUUAUUUUCUUCACUUUUGCUCAUUUUAUUUUUAACUGUAAUGAUUAUUGUAAUUUGUGGUAUAUUACACCAACACUUUACUUUCCCUAAACACUACUUUGCGGAAAUACAUGACUGAGUAUGUUAUUGUUGUAGUUAUCUUAGAAUAUAGAGCUAGAUGAGAAUUCUUAUGUUGCAGGAAAAAUUAAUGCAUGAACAUGUUUGCCUCGAUCCAAUUGAUAGUUUAAUGACAGAUGUUGUUCAUUAUCAUCCAACAUAACUUGAAAAUGUUAUAGCAACACAGAGAGUCUGUUCUUUUUUUUGUUGUUGUUGUUGCACAAUCUUUAGAGAUGAACCAAGUUUCUCUUUGAUUCUUAUUGCUAUAUUUUAUAUAGAGUUUGAGUGUAUUAAAUUUAUGAACUUCUCUUGGAUUGUGUUUGUCUUACUCUCUUUUCAAAUUAUUUAAAUCGUACUGAUUCAAUUAUCAAUUUUAUGCAAAAAAAUCUUUUAGUUAUGUACUGUAAUCAGGUCAUGUCACUUAGACAGUCAUUGCUGGACUUGGAGAAGCUAUCAAUCCAAUUAUGAUUUUUUUGAAUAUGUUUUAUCUUUUCAACAUAUGGCUUAUAUAUGUUUCUUGUGUAGUCUAACCACUGGUGAUUUGGCAAGUGAUAUUUCACAUGUUAGGAUAUACUAUUAACCAUGUAAUUUGUGUUAUAGUAUUAUAUUUUUAUCUCAUGCAAUGACUAUUUAUUAUAUUAAUAAAAUCUUUAUUUGAAUAGAUCAUUGUGUUAACAUGUGUGUCCUUUGCUUAUAUAGUAGACAAUUUUGUGUAUGGAGUAUUUUAAAUCAUGCACGAAAGAUUAAUAUUGUCGGUUCUUAUAAGUAAUAAAUUAACGUUCACAAUCAAAGUUGAGGCAGGACAAAUAUCUUGAUGAUUGUAGCACAAGAAAUAUAAUUUGAUCUUAAUUAUGUGAGUGGUAAUAUUCCAACUUCUUGUUCUAGUACAUUUCGUAUGUAUUGAAUGGACCAAUUAGAGGUAUUCGUUUAUAUUUUGAAUAUUAAUAAACGAUUUCUCUAGUCCAUUACAUGUACUUAUACUCUUAAUCUUGAUAUAAUUAUUACUAUCUAUGUGGUUUGUUUUGUCGUUUUAAUCUAUUAAAAGGUGAGACUCUUUUGUGAGUCAACAUAUUCCUGAUAGGUUAGAUGAUGAUGAAUCACUUAGUGAAAUAUUAAUUAGUUGAUAGAACCAUGUCUUGAACUUGAGAUAGAAGACACCCCUUUAUGGUUAAUUAUAAGUUUUCACGUGAAAACCCUGCAAGUGGAUUUUAUAUCCGUCAUGUGAAAUAAGUUAAGCAUUAUAAAUAAAUGAUUAAAUUAAUCAGUGAGUUAAAUUUUUUAGAGAAUUUAAUUUAAUUGAUUGGUGUUGGUAAUUCUAACAUGGGGGGUUAAAUAAGAUGUAAUGGUAGAUUUGGAAAUUAAAUCGAGGAGUGCAAUUAUAGAUUUUUAGUGGAAUAAUUUAUAAUUUAUGAUAUGAUAAUUCAUUCAUUACCGAAUUAAUAUCAUAAUUGGAAGCCUCAGUUAAUAAAUUUGUGAUCCCUACUAUACCUGAUUAACUAAUCAAAUUUAGAAAAGAAAAGGAGUUAUAGAAGAGGUAAUAUUUACCGGUCUUCUGUAAAUAAGGAAUAAAAGAAUUAAGAAUUAAUUUUGGCAUUAUGACAGAUUUAAAGCUAAAAAAACGUUUUAUCAUUAAAGGGCAUUAAGGCUGAAAACGUUUUUUGGCUUUAAGGUUACAAUAAAGGCCAAAACGUUUGCCUCUUUCUCUUUCUUAUUCAAUUGAAAGUGGGAAUAAGUAUAGGUUGAAUUUUGAGAAUUCAAUGAUCCUUGUCCAAUCCAAAAGUACUUGCCCACACAAGGUUGAUUAAUAAGGUUAAUCGAGAAAUAGUAAAAGGUAGCAGACCUAGCAAACAAGGCGUUGAACGAACUGUGUAAAAGCUUCAAGAGGUAAGUUUUCUGAUUUUUGUUUUGGUUAUAUUAUCUAGAUAUAUGUAAGUUAUUGAUCCUGUAGAAUUAUUGCUUCCGCUGUGCAUGUUCUAACAAUUGGUAUCAGUAGUCUUCUUACAUAUGCUAGAUAAUGUAAAACAAGUUACAUGAUUUGUUGUACAUAUUUCGGAUAAUAAUUGUAUAAAUCAUGUUAUUGCUGGCAGCUUUUCAGGUUUUAUAUAUCAUGUAGUUGCUGGCUGUUUUUCAUGUUUUUGAUGAUGUUAUUAAUUCCAACAGAAUUUAAGUUUAUCAUCAAGGAAUCAUAAAACGAAUUUUGCAUAGUUUUGUGAAAAUUAGUUUUGUAGAUUAAGUGCAAAACGAUGAUGAGUCUUGACUACGACCAACUAUAGUCGUUGCUCACUGUAUGAACAGUAGUAGUAAGGCCAAGUAGUGCAGGAAGCCCUACUAUCCCUCGCAAUAGCUCAACCAAUAAUUGUCGAUUUGGUUGAUUUUGAAGUUUUUUAAUUUUUUUACUAACUCCGAAUGACCUAAAAUUUGGUACAUUUAUUGGAAAUGACCCACUGAACAAUACCCACAAUAUAUUGUGAUCCAGGCCAUUUUUUGGCCAUUCAGGGUCGUUUUGAUGACUUUUUUUAGCUUUUUUAUCUUUACGGAAAGAUUACAAAUUCUGAAAAAAUUAUUUUUUGCAAACCAGUAGUGAGAGGGAUCAUUCCUUAUGAUUUUUAGUGGUUAAUAACAGUACAUAAUAUGAGUUUACAGGUUGAUAUCGGUCAUCUUCCCUAUCGGAUAAACUUGUAUAUUGUAAUACUGUCUUUUGUCUCUUGUUUUUGAUGACUUGUAUUAACUUUCCAACUAAGUUACAUGUUGGUUCAAUGGUUUAGAGACUUAUGAAAUUUGAUAAUUAUCUAACUUAAAUAAACAGUUGAUUCUCCAAAUGAGUUGGUUCUGUUUCAUUUAAGAGAUAAAAUAUCUGACAUUACAUGUAUAUUUGCUUAAAGGGUUGAGUUUUCCUAACUAUUCUAACUUUUUAUAUACAUGGUUAUAUGCGUGAUGUGGUUUUGAAGAAUUUUAUUAUUCUAUAGUAUGUCUAAUGUUCUAUUUUAAUUUGAUUAUAUAACAGAUUAACCAUGUCUUUAUUCAAUCCUUAACUUCAAUCCUGAAUAAAAAUAAUUAGAAGGCCCUAACUAUGUGGACUGAAAACGUAGUUUGGCUAUUGUUCUUAGUGCUGAGGGCUUCAAAUUUGUGCUAGUUGAGGAAUGUCCUGUUAAGUUGGAUGAGCCCACUGAUGAUGAGAUUAAAGCCUACGAUAAGUGGGUCAAGGCUGAUGAGAUGGUAAGAUGCUACAUUCUUACCUCUAAGGAAAAUAUGUUGCAACAUCAACAUCAGUUCAUGACUAUUGCUUAUGAUAUGCUUGAAUCUAUCAAAGAGAUGUUUGGUGAGCAAAAUGUGUUGCAAAGCAGACGGCCAUAAAAGCUCUUUUGACCACAAAAAUGGUUGAAGGAACUUCGGUAAGGGAACAUGUUCUCAAAAUGUUGAGUCUAUUGAAUGAGUUGGAAAUUCUUGGUGCGGUUAUUGAUAAGGAGUCUCAGGUUGAGAUGGUCCUACAGAUACUGCCAGAUAGUUUUCAGCAGCUUCGCUUGAAUUAUAACAUAAAUAAAAUAGACUUAUCUCUUGCGAAACUGUUGAAUGAGCUACAAGCGAAAGAAUCUAUCAUUAAGUAACAAGCUCCUCCUGCAGCAUUGAUGGUUGACAAACCUUCGUCUUUGACUUCUAAGCCAAAAGGCAAAAAUACAAGGAAGAAUAAACCUCGUAAGGUUUCAGGUGCUAAUGGUGGUGUGGCUAAGCCUAAGGGAAAAUGCUAUCAUUGCAAGCAACCUGGUCAUUAUAAGAAACAGUGUCCCGGCUACAUAGCUAAGAUGCAGAAAUAAGGUACAUCUUUUUUAUAUGUCGUUGAAACAUUUUUAGCGGCUGUUUGUACCCAUUUUUUGUCUAUAGAUUCGGGAGCCACUAAUCAUAUCUGUACAUCCUUAAAGGGGUUUCAGGAAACAUGACGCCAAGUGAAAAUGAACUGAACGUGUUUCAAGCAAAUGGGAACCAGCACCAACCUUAGCUAUAGGAAAUGUUUCUAUUUCGUUUAGUAGUUCUAGAGUUUUAAGACUGAAUAAUGUUCUUUACGUACCGUACUUCUAUAAGAAGGAAUUUCCUUUCAGUUUCAAGUAUAAUGGAUACUGGUUACAAUGUUUAUUUUGCUAAUAAUUGUGAAAUUAUUAAGUUUAAUAAGCAUUUUAUUAUUUCUACUCCUAGAAUACAUGAUUUAUUUGCAUUUGAUAUUUCUCAUGAUAUGCUACAAAAAAUGGAACUAAAUAGUAUUGAUCAAUCACAUAAAAUAAAACAUAUUUUGGAAUUGAGUGAAACAUACUUAUAGCACUUACACCUAGGUCAUAUUAACUUAAAUAGGAUCUCGUGGUUGGUUUCUGAUGGACCUUUGAGUUCAUUGAAAGUGGAGGCACUUCCAACUUGUGAAUCCUAUUUAGAAGGUAAAAUGACCAAGAGACAUUUUACUUGCAAAGGAAAUAGAUCCUGUAAUAAGUUAAGAAUUAAUUCAUACUGAUUUGUGUGGUCCAAUGAAUAUACAAGCAAGAGGUGGUUUUGAGUAUUUUGUGACUUUCACAGAUGAUUACUCAAAAUAUAGAUACAUUUAUUUGGUUUUCCGUAAAUUUGAAUGCUUUGAAAAAUUCAAAGAAUUUAAGAUGAAAACGGAAAAGCAACAUAACAAAUAUAUCCGUACAUUAAGAUCUGAUCGUGGUGGUGAAUACCUUUCUGCAAAAUUUUUUAAAUACUUAUCGGAAUCAGGAAUUACGUCUCAAUAUUCUUCUCCGAAAAUACCACAAUAAAAUGGUGUGUUAGAACGCCGAAAUAGAACUCUUAUGGAAAUAGUUAGAUCAAUGUUAAGUUAUUCUGAUUUGCCCUUUUUUGGGGUUAUGCAUUAGAAACUGCAAAUUAUAUUCUGAACUUGGUUCCUUCAAAAUCAGUACCUUUAACCCCAUUUGAAUUAUGGAGUGGGCGCAAACCUAGUCUACGGCAUAUUUAGGUUUGGGUUUGUCCAACACAUGUGCUAAAAGGAAAAACUGAUAAAUUGAAAUCUAGGACAAAAAUGUACAUUUUUAUUGGAUAUCCAAAAGGGAUGAAAGGGGGUUUAUUUUAUUUUCCUAAGGAACAGAAGAUAAUUGUUUCGACAAAUGCUAGAUUUCUUGAAGAGGAUUAUUUAAUGAACCACGUUCCUAGAAGUAAAACUGUUUUACAGGAAUUGGGCAAUAGAAUAACGAAUAAUGAAACACAACAAUUUUCAAAAACCGUUAUUGACAUACCACUGUAUCCACGUAGUGGGAGAAAUAUCAAUAAACAAGAGGUUGCACAAGAGCAAACACUUGACAUUACACUACCUCAAAGUAGUGGGAGUAACAUCGAGCAGCCUGCAAUUGUGGAGGAAAACAUUCAGGAUAAUGUCGAGUAACCUGUCAUAGUAUAGGAAGACAUUGAGGGUGUUCAAAAUUUAGUUCUAAAUGUAGCAGAUCUUAUAGUGACUAGUCGUCGUAGUUGGAGAAUUAUUAUAAAACCUUUAUGGUUUGCGCUCUUAGGAGAAUCUAUGAUAGAAUCCCUGAGGAGCCUAAUACGGAACCUCCUAAUUACGCUGAAGCACUACAUGAUAAAGAUGUUAAAAUGUGGAUUGUUGCUAUGAAAUCUGAAAUGGAGUCUAUGUAUUCUAAUCAAGUCUGGGAACUUGUAGAACCACCCGCGGGAGUCAAAGCCAUUGUAUGUAGAUGGAUCUAUAAGAAAAGAGAGGUGUGGAUGGAAAAGUGUAAACUUUUAAGGCUAGGCUUGUUGCGAAAGGGUUUACUCAAAAAGAAAGAAUCGAUUAUGAGGAAACUUUUUUGCUGGUAGCUAUGCUUAAAUCCAUUAGGAUUCUCUUGUCCAUUACUGCUCAUUAUGAUUAUGAUAUUUGGAAAAUGGAUGUCAAGACAGCUUUCCUAAAUGAAAGUCUUAACGAGUGCAUUUAUAUGCACAACCAGAAGGUUUCAUGGAAAGUGGUAAUGAACACAAGUUUUGUAAACUUAAGAAAUCCAUUUAUGGUUUGAAACAAGCAUCUAGAGCAUGGAAUACUUGUUUUGAUAAUUUGAUUAAGACUUUUGAUUUUAAUCAAUGUGAAAAUGAGUCAUGCAUUUAUAAAAAAUAGGAUGGAGAUAGAGUAGCAUUUUUAUUUUGUACAUAGAUGAUAUUUUGCUCAUAGGAAAUAAUGUGAGCAUGUUGAAUUCUGUUAAGGAGUGGCUAUCCUCUAGUUUUGAUAUGAAAGCCUUGGGAGAAGCAGCUCAUAUCCUUGGGAUCAAGGUUAUGCGAGAUCGCAAACAAAGGAUAUUAGGCUUAUCUUAAGAACUUUAUAUUGAUACUAUUCUUGCAAGAUUUAAUAUGAAAAAUUCCAAAAAGGGAUUCCUUCCUUUUAGGCAUGGAAUUACUCUAUCAAAAAACCAGUCGCCCAAAAUGAUUGAUCAGAUAGAGAGAACGAAGGCGGACCCUUAUGCUUCUGCUGUAGGGAGCCUCAUGUAUGCUAUGUUGUGCACUAGACUAGAUAUCUGCUUUACUAUUGGCAUGGUUAGCAGAUUUUAGUCUAAUCCUAGGCAAGAACAUUGGACUGCGGUUAAGCAUAUAAUCAAGUACCUUAAAAGGACUAGGGAUUACAUGUUUGUUUUUUACUCUGGAGAUCUUGUACCUAUUAGGUAUACUGAUUCAGAUUUCCAGUCGGAUAAAGAUUCUAGAAAAUCUACCUUAGGAUAUGUGUUUACUUUAGGGGGUGGAGCCAUUAUUUGGAGGAGUAUCAAGCAAUCAUGUGUUCCUGAUUCCACCAUGGAAGCCGAAUAUGUAGCUGCCUUUGUGGCGGCUAAAGAGGUUGUUUGGCUCGGUAACUUUCUGAAAGAGCUUGGAGUUGUUCCUUCGGUUCAAAUACCACUACCACUUUAUUGUGACAAUAGUGGUGCAGUUGCAAACUCAAAAGAACCACAAAGCCAUAAAAGAAGUAAGCAUAUAUUGAGAGAAAAUAUCACUUGAUUCGGGAUAUAACUCAAAGGGGUGGUGUGAGAGUUUUGAAGAUUGAAUAGAAGAAUAAUUUGGCGGACCCAUUUAAAAAGAGUUUAACUCAGAAGGUUUUUGAUAACCAUGUGGAAGAAAUGGGUGUUAAAGUUGUGCAUUCAUGAUUAUGAGUCUAAGUGGGAGAUUGUUAAUAUAUACUAUUAACCAUUUAAUUUGUGUUAUAGUAUUAUAUUUUCAUUCCAUGCAAAGACUAUUUAUUAUAUUAAUAAAAUCUUUAUUUGAAUAGAUCAUUGUGUUAACAUGUGUGUCCUUUGCUUAUAUAGUAGACAAUUUUGUGUAUGGAGUAUUUUAAAUCAUGCACGAAAGAUUAAUAUUGUCGGUUCUUAUAAGUAAUAAAUUAAUGUUCACAAUUAAAAAUGAGGCAGGACAAACAUCUUGAUGAUUGUAGCACAAGAUUAAAUAUAAUUUGAUCUUAAUUAUGGGAGUGGUAAUAUUCCAACUUCUUGUGCCAGAACAUUUCGUAUGUAUUGAAUGGACCAGUUAGAUAUAUUAGUUUAUAUUCUAAAUAUUAAUAAACAAUUUCUCCAGUCAAUUACAUGUACUUAUACUCUUAAUCUUGAUAUAAUUAUUAUGAUCUAUGCGGUUUAUUUUGUCAUUUUAUCUAUUAAAAGGUGAGACUCUUUUGUGAGUCAACAUAUUCCUGAUAGGUUGGAUGAUGACGAAUCACUUAGUGAAAUAUUAAUUAGUUGAUAGAGUCAUGUCUCGGACUUGAGAUAGAAUACACCCCUUUAUAGUUGCUUAUAAGUUUUCACGUGAAAACCCUGCAAGUGGAUUUUGUAUCCGUCAUGUGAAAUAAGUUAAGCAUUAUAAAUAAAUGAUUAAAUUAAUCAGUGAGUUAAAUUUUUUAGAGAAUUUAAUUUAAUUGAUUGGUGUCGGUAAUUCUAACAUGGGGAGUUAAAUAGGAUGUAAUGGUAGAUUUCAAAAUUAAAUCGAGGAGUAAAAUUACAAAUUUUAGUGAAAUAUUUGUAAUUUAUUAUGAUAUGAUACUUUAUUCACUACCAAAUUAAUAUCAUAAUUGGAAGCCUCGGUUAAUAAAUCUGCGAUCCCUACUAUGCCUGAUUGACUAAUCAAAUUUAGAAAAGAAGAGGAGUUAUAGAAAAAGUAAUAUUUACCGGUCUUCUGUAAAUAAGGAAUAAAAGAAUUAAGAAUUAAUUUUGGUAUUAUGACAGAUUUUAAUCCGAAAAAACAUUUUAGCAUUAAAGGGAAUUAAGGUUGAAAAUGUCUUUUGGCUUUAAGGUUACAAUAAAGUCCAAAACAUUUUCCUCUUUCUCUUCCUCAUUCAAUUGAAAGUGGGAAUCAGUAGAGGCUGAAUUUUGAGAAUUCAAUGAUCCUUCUCCAAUCCAAAAGUGCUUUCCCACACAAGGUUCAUUAAUAAAGUUAAUCAGGAAAUAGUAGAACGCAGCAGACCUGGAAAACAAGGCGUUGAACCAACUAUGUAAAAGCUUCAAGAGGUAAGUUUUCUUAUUUUCGUUUUGGUUAUGUUAUCUAGAUAUAUGUAAGUUAUUGAUCCUGUAGAAUUGUUGCUUCCCUUAUGUAUGUUCUAACAUCACAAUCAUCAUCAACAGCAAAGUGGUAAGCAGAUGAUGGUGAUAUUUUGUCACGACCCAAAUCGGGGUCCUGGCUGUGAUGGGCAUCCCGAACCGUAGAGGCCCAAGCGUCUCUUUUAUAUCUGGCGAUCAUGAACACCAUUCACAUACAAUAAAGAGAAUGCGGAAAUAAACAGACGGAAUCAUGGUUAUACACUGAGUUCAAUUUUACAAUACGGGAUGAAAUUAAUAGACAUCUAGACAAUAUCCAUCUCAGUCUGCGAAAUCUCUAAUACAUCAGAAUAUAAUAACUUGUCUAUACCUAGGACAAGGCCCCUAAUCAGACCCAAAACUAAAAUGUAAAACAAUACUCUAGCAAUAGACCUUCCGAAAUAAAGAAGGCUCACCAACUGAACACUUCGGUCUGAAGAUUCUAUGGUUUGGUGGGACCCCUGGACUGAGCCUUAGACCUUGAAAUAUAAGGGGUCAAUACUAACAUACUGGUAUGUGAAACAACUGAAAAUAGCAUGCUAAUAAUACAAAAUAGAUGAGAGCAUUUCAUAAAAAUAAUGACCAUAAUACAUAAGUAAAAAUACAUGGGCAUACUUUAGUGAUCUCCAAAAAACUUCUUUGAAACCAUGACUCACCCUUUGUUAUUCUUCUGAGCUAGUUGGUACACCCUAAAAAUCUAAAAUUCCAUGGGCUAUGUGGAAUCCACCCUUAACUCGACGGCUAAGCCUCCAGUCCAGGUAGCCGCCAGGAUUGGAGUGGUGAUACCCCCCAUGUGAGCACACCACAAGAAAUUCCCCCAUGUGAGAUGUCCUAAAAAUGUCAUAUCAUGUAGGAUCAUAUAUUAUAAGUCCCGUAUCGGCAACUACGAUUUUCGGCGAUGAGCCCUUGCGCUCAAACACCUUCUUUGGGUAACCUACUAGCUCUCUUAAGCCCAACUUUUAGUUCUUUAACGAAAGCACAUUCAUAUUUUUCAAACAUUCAACACUAUCUUGUUAAGGGCAUGGAAUCAUCGGGUAUCGUCAUACCCUGGCUUUCAAGUCAAUCAAAUCAUAUCACAUUAUGUCUGUGGCCCUUUUUACUUAUUAUCAUAUUCAUGAACACCCUAGAUUUUAAACAUUAGAUGAGAGAGAGUUAUGCAAUAGACUUUUCAUUCAAAUAUUUACCAAAACAUUCUCCUCCCAACUGUAAAAUCAAUAGAUGGUCACCUCAUAUUUGUAAUUACUUAAAAUCAUAGAAAGAUUGUUAAUUUGACACAAUGAGCAUUUAUCAUGUGAAAACACAUUCCCAACAUGUCAUAAACAGUACCAUUCCAUGAUCAUUAAACAAGCACUCACCCAUUAGUUUUUUGUUUAGAAAGUUCAUGCCUUUAAACAACCCAUAACAAUAUAAAUCAAAAAUAUCAUGAUAAAAGAGGGGGUUUUGAUCAUUCAUGCUCUCAUUCAAACUUUCACUGCACCCCAAAAUAUAAAUAUAUUGUUAUAUUCAAAAUUCACUAUAGCCAGUUCAAGGCAACAUACAAUUUCUUCAAAACAACUUCAUGACAUAUACUUUUCAAACAAUUUCAAACCCUUUCUUUAUAAAUAUGAUUAGGGAUCUUUAUUGUAAUAAAAAAAAUAGAAAAAUUAUUCCCAUGAUGUUUAGAGAAGUCCCACAUACCUUAGAUUAUAAUAUUUGAAACAUGGAACCCAAAUCCUGAUCCGUUUCAUAAAAUCUUGAACUUAAGGAUUGAUUCUUGAUUUCUCGUUCUUGGAGGAAACCCUAGUUUGAUCUUAUUUUUUAGAGUGAAAAGAGGAUCUUGAUAUUGUAAAACUGAUAAUUGUUGAGUAAAUAAUGUUUAGGCUGUUAUUUAAUUCGUGUGAGAGGUUUCUGGGAAGGGAAAGUACCAAAAUACCCCGCUAAAAAUGUACUUUUUGCGCGAUUCGGCCUUGACUUAGUAGGGGGGUGCGGAUAACUAACUUGUAAAGAUAACUUGUAAAAUAGAUCUAUUAUAUAUAAUGGAUAUAUUUUUCUUUGUGAUAUUAUUUCAUCCAUAUUUUCUCUCCAAUAUUUUAAAUAUUUGUAGUCUAUCAUUUUAUCCUGUAGUAAUUGCAGAGUUACAGAUUUUUGUAUAAUAAUUUAUCCUAAUUGUACUAUAAUGUAUAUCUAAUUCUAGAUUUUCAAUGUUAUUUAUUAUCUUGUGUUGUUCUUCUCGUAGCGAGUUUUUUAAAUUAUAUAAACUAUCANNNNNNNNNNNNNNNNNNNNNNNNNNNNNNNNNNNNNNNNNNNNNNNNNNNNNNNNNNNNNNNNNNNNNNNNNNNNNNNNNNNNNNNNNNNNNNNNNNNNNNNNNNNNNNNNNNNNNNNNNNNNNNNNNNNNNNNNNNNNNNNNNNNNNNNNNNNNNNNNNNNNNNNNNNNNNNNNNNNNNNNNNNNNNNNNNNNNNNNNNNNNNNNNNNNNNNNNNNNNNNNNNNNNNNNNNNNNNNNNNNNNNNNNNNNNNNNNNNNNNNNNNNNNNNNNNNNNNNNNNNNNNNNNNNNNNNNNNNNNNNNNNNNNNNNNNNNNNNNNNNNNNNNNNNNNNNNNNNNNNNNNNNNNNNNNNNNNNNNNNNNNNNNNNNNNNNNNNNNNNNNNNNNNNNNNNNNNNNNNNNNNNNNNNNNNNNNNNNNNNNNNNNNNNNNNNNNNNNNNNNNNNNNNNNNNNNNNNNNNNNNNNNNNNNNNNNNNNNNNNNNNNNNNNNNNNNNNNNNNNNNNNNNNNNNNNNNNNNNNNNNNNNNNNNNNNNNNNNNNNNNNNNNNNNNNNNNNNNNNNNNNNNNNNNNNNNNNNNNNNNNNNNNNNNNNNNNNNNNNNNNNNNNNNNNNNNNNNNNNNNNNNNNNNNNNNNNNNNNNNNNNNNNNNNNNNNNNNNNNNNNNNNNNNNNNNNNNNNNNNNNNNNNNNNNNNNNNNNNNNNNNNNNNNNNNNNNNNNNNNNNNNNNNNNNNNNNNNNNNNNNNNNNNNNNNNNNNNNNNNNNNNNNNNNNNNNNNNNNNNNNNNNNNNNNNNNNNNNNNNNNNNNNNNNNNNNNNNNNNNNNNNNNNNNNNNNNNNNNNNNNNNNNNNNNNNNNNNNNNNNNNNNNNNNNNNNNNNNNNNNNNNNNNNNNNNNNNNNNNNNNNNNNNNNNNNNNNNNNNNNNNNNNNNNNNNNNNNNNNNNNNNNNNNNNNNNNNNNNNNNNNNNNNNNNNNNNNNNNNNNNNNNNNNNNNNNNNNNNNNNNNNNNNNNNNNNNNNNNNNNNNNNNNNNNNNNNNNNNNNNNNNNNNNNNNNNNNNNNNNNNNNNNNNNNNNNNNNNNNNNNNNNNNNNNNNNNNNNNNNNNNNNNNNNNNNNNNAAAGUAAUGAAAAGUCAAAAAAGUGGGGUCUAUCCCCAUCUAACUUUUCCUAAAAUUCUAAGUUACGUAAAGUUUCUCAAUUAAAACUAAGCCUAAGAAGUCAAAAAGGUAUCUAACUUACAAUUUCUAAAACUAAAAAAAUAGUCAACAAUAGUGGCUUACAUAUAUUUUUUCUACGUAAAAAGUCUAACAAAUUAAUUAAUGUACAGUAUCUUGUCUCCGUUGAUUUUGUCGUAUCUGCUCCAUUAUUGCUCUGUAUCUGCUCUAUUAUUGCUCUGUAUCUGCUCCAUUAUUGCUCUGUAUCUGCUCUAUUAUUGCUCUGUAUCUGCUCCAUUAUUGCUCUUUAUCUUUAUCCUUCCAGCUGGCAUUUUAUCUUCUUUAUUCUAGAUGUACCUCUGGAAUAAUAUUAUCUUCUCCAUUGCACCUCGAACAUUGGUGGUCUGGAUAUUUAUGUCCAAUUAUCUUACAGUAUCUCGUUAGUAGUCCGUCUGAAAUAAAUCCCUUUUUUAUUGCUCGUGCGGUAGAUUGUUUUUCUGGGUUGAGUAGUGUCAAUAUCCACUGUCUUACAUCUUCCAUAUCUGCUUGUCUUAGUUCUUUCGAAUUUGAAUAUAUCAUUUGGUGGUCUCUUGAAUAGUAGCUCCAUAUUGGAUUUCCGUUAGCGUAGUUAUUUGCUAGUUCUUGUAUGAUCGUAGCUAGUCCAAUAAGUCUUUUAUUUGCGUAAAAAUCUGGUAUCUCUAUUCUAGGUAUCUCCGGUUGUCGCGAUAUAUCUUCCGGUAUAAUCAUGUCUCUUGUCAGUCCUAUCUUUACAACUUGUAUCACUGGUUUUAUCUCAUCAUAUAAUAUCUCUGCUGGUGCAGUAUAACAUUUUAUAUAAAAUAAAGUUCCUUUUGUUAUUCUUUUAUAGGUAGUAAAUAUCUUGUAUAAUUCCUCCAUAGCUGUUAACUCUUCUCCGUCUUGGGUGUAUAUGGUAUUUAGUAGUCCAUAGUCAAAACAAGUUUUAACUAGGCUUGGGUUAGUUUUGGGUAGUGCUAUCAGUUUGUUGUAUCCUUGUAAUUUUUGGGUUAUAUAAUUGGUGUUUGGUUCUUUGAUAUCUGUAGCUCUGGGGUUGUGGUUUAGAAAAGUUUGUACUCUGUAUAUAUUUUCUAUGUAUUUUUGGGAUGUGUAGUUGUAUAUUUUCUUGUCUUGGUUUAGGCUGUCUCGGUAUGUAUUAACUUGUGGGGGUAUGAAUAAAUGGUCUUUUUGUGUUUUAGGGGUAAAUGGUUUUUCGAAUAUUUUAUUCAUAUUUGCAUUUUGGUAUCUUGGUCUAUUAACUCCUUUGCUUGUACCUGCAGAAGUAGAUUGAUAAACGUUAUGGGUUUUAUGGAGUGUCCCGUCGUCUCCUUCUAGCUCUGGAACUUUAAUGUCUUUCGAUCGACAUAGCUCUGCACAUUGCUGAGUUAGCUGAUUUGUAGCUAUAGACUUCAGUUUAUCUUCAUUAGUCUUUAGCUUUUCUAUCUCAUUACCCAUACUGUCCACUUUCAUUGAAAGCGUAGUUAGGGUGUUAAGUAUUUUUUCUAGAGUAUGUUCUUCUAUUAUUUCAGUCUGUGUAGCUUUGUCUUGAUAUGUAAUCUGCAAUAACAUUUUUGUUAGUACUGAUCACUUCAAUUGUAAAUGUGAAAUUUAAUAUAUUUAAAACUAGUCUUCGAAUUUCUUUUGUUGUAACUGAAUUUUGUAUUUUCUUUGUUAGCCACCAGCGUACCUGUGUAUUAUCUGUUCGUACAAUAAAUUUGUUAUAUACAAUAUAUGGCUCAAAUGAUAAUAAACACUUAUAUAAUGAACAUAACUCUUUUCUAUUUAUUUCCCAUUUUAUUUCUGUUUCGUUGAACGUACCUGAGUAAUAUCUACAAUGAUGUUCUCUUUUUUCUGCUUCAUAUCGAUAUUUAAGUACUUCUCCGUAACUAUAUUCACUAGCAUCUGCUUCUACUAUAUAUAUAAACUUUCUAUUUUCGUUUGGAAAUUGUAAUUUUGGUAAUUCUUUACAAAGUAUUUUCAUUUUUUGGACUUCUUUUUUAUCUUAUUCGUUGUAAUUAUAUUCUACUUCAUUUUUUAUUUUUUUCUGUAAAGACUUUAGGUUUUCUGCUAAUUUUGUUAUAUAUUCCCUUACUUGGUUUACUAAUCCUAAAAAUGAUUGUAAUUUUUUUUGUAUCUAAUUCUUCUUUCGAAUUUAUUAUUUUUUGUACUAUAUGUUGUUGCAUUUUUACUCCACUCUUAUCUAUUUGUAUUCCUAAAAAUUCUAUCUGAUUUUUCAUAAUUUCAGCUUUCUUUUCACUUAGACUUAUUCCCAAUUUUUCUAUUAUAUCUGUAAAUUGUCCUAAUAAUUUUAAAUNNNNNNNNNNNNNNNNNNNNNNNNNNNNNNNNNNNNNNNNNNNNNNNNNNNNNNNNNNNNNNNNNNNNNNNNNNNNNNNNNNNNUACCUGGUGCAUUUUUAUAUCCAAAUGGUAAUACGUUCCAUUCAUAAAAUCCUUGUGGUACCGUAAAGACAGUUAAUUCUUUAGAUUCUUCUUCUAACUUUAAAUGGUAAAAUCCUGAUUUACAAUCGAAUUUACUAAAAUAAUUAUAUCCCUGUAUUUGUCUUAUUUUUAAUAUCUUAUUUGGUAUUGGAUAAUUAUAUGUCAUAGUCUUUGCAUUUAAAUUUCUAUAGUCAAUAACCAUUUUACUUUUUCCUCUUUUUUUUGUGUAUUUAUUGAGUUUUCACUAACUCUGGCAAAUAUAUUAUAAUGUAGUCUUUAUCGAAUUAAGGCGAAACUGGUGGCAUUGGAAAGAGGACUUAAAGACCUUUCAUUUGAUAUAUAUUAGGCCCUCUAAUUCGUUAUAUACGAAAAAGUUAUGGUCAAUGGAAGUUGAACCAAGUUUAGACGCUUACCAAAACUCAAUCAAUAGGAAAGCUUUCAACCCGUCCUUUAGUUAGGGAAUUUUGUGACCUCACUUCAUAGUAAAAGGCAUUAAAACACUAUAGGAUUGAUCAUAACACAUGUGUUAACAAAUAAUCAUUGGGUUCGGGUCUAUACGUGUAGAAAAGACGAUUCAAACUUUAGCCCAAAAGGGCGGGGUGUUACAUUAUCUCCACCGUGGGAUCAUUCAUCCCCAAAUGAUGAAAAGGAACUUGUUGAAGCUCCAAAGGUAUGGAAUAAGGAACAUAACCUCGCAUUGAAUGUUUUUCCUCAACAAAACAUGCAAAGAUAUCAAAAGAGCUUCAUGAUAACCCCUAGUGAAACACGUAAGCACGAAGCAUGAGGAAAUGAAACUUUACAUAGGGAUGACCUUGCACAUAAAUUUUAUGAGUCAUUAUCAUCACAACAUAAGGCAUAAGUUUAUUUGGUGAUAAUAGGCUUGAUUUACCUUGGUACAAUCAUGAGAUGGGAUUUCGUGGAAGAUAGGAUUUAAAAACAUUCUCCACCUCACAAGAUACAACAAAUGGAUCUUAAACUUAGAGACACUAUCCAUUUAUGCCCCAACAUUAAUUAACAUACUACAUACCUUCCAACUUACAAUUCACCCAUCACAUAUCUAAACACAAGAGUUUGUGUCCCAACGUAUAAUACUUCUAUGUUGAAGCCUAACUCGAAGGAAAGAGGUGCUAACAUAACUACAAGACUGCACUCUACAUCACAUUAAGAAAUCAUCUCACCCUAUCACUAUAAUCCGACAACCUCAAGUCUUAAUUCAAGGAAUACUAACCACACGGCACAUUGGUUUGUGUUUUCAUCAAUCACAAAAUUUAAGCCUAUCAGUACUACACCCACUUCAUGGAUCUCCCAACUAAUACCAGCCAAUUCAAUCAUUCUCACUAAGAUUUUCACCACAUAAAUCCUUCUUAACUAUCUCACAUAACGAAAGCUCAUAUUUUUCUUCCCCCUUCUCCUAUAACCUUAGCUCUAGAAGUCAUAUCAAAAGAUCCAUCUUCAAAAAAAUCUACUCCCCCACUCAAAACACUACCAUUCUUUCACAAUCAUCGUCAUACUGACAUACGGAGGGUCAUUGAGGGACCCGAGCCUUAACUUCAUGAAUGGAUGUAACACUCGUCAAUUCAUAACUUAUACUUAUUGCACUACUCAAGGAGGGACAUGAAGUGAAGAUAUGAUAGAAUAGACACUGAUUGCUUCAGAUAUCAAGUGUCUAGAUCAUAAGUAAAGGGUCAUUCGGCAUAACCACAACACAACAUGAUUUCUUAGAACAUACUAUGGCGACAAACAUGGUACACAUAUGGUAUGAUUUGUAUAACAUAAGGUCGUAUUUCAUAAAUUCAAUGAUGGAGACAAAGAUUAAUACUUGAAGCUAUUGUUUCUCAUUUUCAGAGCUGAGAUAGUCAUUAGUUAGCACAACUUUUUCUCUUUGGCUGAUUUUGGCAUAAAAUGAUUCAUCGACAUACAAAAAUAUGUUUUCUUAAGACCAAGCAUGCUGUGAGACAUAGGUUUGGAUCAGGAGCAACAUAACAUGUUUCUUGGAUACUUGGAUCACUAAGGGACAUUAUUGCUCUAUUUUUGGAUAUCGAAACAUGACAUGAGUCACAUAGAGAGCUCAAACCUUAGGUAUAAGAAAGACAUGAAUACAUAAGACAUUGGUAGAAGUCCAUUCAAAUCGAAGUAGGAUGUAACACCCCGUAAAAAUCGUUCAUGAGAUUAGAUGGUAAUGGUAUGCUUGCUGAGUUAGAAGCUUGAAAAUAUUCUAAGUGUCAAAGAGACUUAGUCUAAUUUUUAGAUCUUAAGCUUCGGAGAAUUUAUUUUUAGUCCUCCUGACCUCUGAUUUUAGGUUUUCUUAUUGCGUUGUCAUGAGGCUAGGUCGUAGUACAUCUCGGAUGAGUUUUGAAUUUUUUGGAGCGCGUUUAGACAUCAUUUGGUGUUCCAAAAUAGUGGACCAAUGCGAUCUCGGCACGCUGCAUCGCCUAUCGCGUUGGUCAAUUUUGUGCAGGAAAUGCUAGGAAAAGUAGUGAGGAUCAACGUGAUGGUGGAGCAACGCGUCAAGUAUCAUGUUGGACAACCAACGCACCGCGUCUCUUGCAGCGUCGAUGCCCAGUUAUUUUGGCUUUUAAAAAUCCGCAUCUUAAGGGGUAUUUGGGUAAUUUUUCCUUAUUCUAAUAUGCCCAAACAUGGGAUUUUUAUCCUAAGAGACCACUUUACUCACUUUUUCAUCAAAAUCCAUCAAGAACAUCCUUAGGGUUUCAAACUAGAAACCCAAAUAACUUGAGAUUCAAUGUCGGUUUCAAAAAUUGAUUGGAGAUUCGGAAUCCCCAGACCAUAGGCUUUAAGAAGCACCCAUUGAAAUCCAAUAUAGAGGUAAGCGGGAUUUUCCUAAAAAUCUCAUGGGCAUAGAAAUCAUGUUUUUUAAGAAAGGGAUUUCGGAUUUAUGAAUAAAUUCAUGUUUUGAAACUUUAAUGACAUUGUUUUGGUCUUUUGGCCUUUUCCCUGAAGUGAUUUGAAAACCUAUAUACAUGUAUGUAUGUGAUUUGAGUUGAUAUUUGAAAUUGAGAGCAUGACUCACAUGAAAUUCCUUUCUUGAUGUGAUUUUUUCCAUAUUUCACAUGAUGUGAAUUGUUUUGAAUGCAUCUUGAAAAGCUUGUUACAAAAAGCCUUGAUUUAUGAAUUAUUUGGUUAUGAAUCUUGAAUUCAAAAGAGAGGGUUGUUUGUAUUGACAAAUGUUGAAUAUACAUGUAAUGAAAGAGUGCAUGGUUUUGCCAAAGCACAUGACCACCUUAUGUUUGAAGGAUUCUUGCAUAGUUUUGACUUAUAUUUUAGAACAUCAAAUCUCUUACACUAAUUGCAUAUUUUGGUGGUCUGAACUAUGUUUUAAUGAAAGAUCAUGCUUAUUGCAUUAUGGAACAAAAAUAGGACUUGCAAGUCUAGGUGUGAUGACACCAAUUUAGAUUAUGCCAUGAUAAUUUAGAACAGAAUUGAAUGCAUAUUUGAAAUCAGAUCUUUUCAGAUAUUGAAAUUAAAAAAAAUACAUGAUUCAUAACAAUAUAAAAUUGGGCAUAAAGAGAGCUUAGGUGGUUCUCCGAAGAAGGCAUGAGUUCAGACAACUCAUUGCCCGAAACCGUGAUUUGUUGAUAUGGGUUAUUAUGUCCCUUAGAGGGAUUGUUACGUUGGCCUAGUGUCGUGUGGCGUACUAGAAUAAAAAUUCCAACCCUUGCGGCACACUUGGGUUGGGGGCUUCCCCGCCGAGUCAAUGGCGGAUUCCAUAUAGCCUGUGGAAUUUUAGAAUUGUAGGGGUGUACCACCUAACUCAGAAGUAAUACAAAGAUCAGACAGUGCAUUGACAAGAAUGAUUCUUGAUUUUUAGAAAGUUCCCAUGUGUUUUAGAACUAUUUCAUGAAUGAUAUUUGGUAAAUUUCUCUCCAACUAUUUUAUUUAUAUAAAAUCUUUCUUUCGGAAUACUUUGCGUACCAGUACAUAUUUAUUGUUCCCCCUUCUCCCACCAGGUUCUAAGGCUCAGUCUAGGGGUCCAGAAAGACAGUAGAUUAGUCAGACAGAGUUGCAGUGUUCAGUUGGUGAGCCUUCUCUAUUCCAGAAGGCCCAUCUUUUAGAUUAUGUCUCUUAUUAUCAUUUCAGUCUACUGGGGGCCUUGUGUCAGUUUUCAGAUAGUUGUCAGAUUUUUAUGUAGUAGAGAUUUCGCAGACAGAGUCAGAUGUUAUUAGAGUAGUUGAUUUUCAGUUUCCACACUUAUAUUGAAUUUAGAAUUGACUAUGCUCCCAUAGCUGAUUAUGUUUCCGCAUCUUCUUUUAUUAUAUAAAUGUUGUGCAUUUAUUACCAGAUAGAGAAGGGCGUUCUGGGCCCUCAUGGUUCGGGAUGUCCGUCACGGCCAGGACCAAGUUCGGGUUGUGACAAACUUGGUAUCAAAUCAUGGUUCACGGUCCCAAAGUGUCUGUGAAAUCGCGUUGGGUAGAGUCUUAUUUAUGAGUGUGUAGCACGCCACACCUAUAAGAAGGAGGCUACUAGGCAUUUAGGAAUGUUUCUUAUCUUUGUGAUUUAGUUUGUGCUUCAGAGACUAAUCUAUCUCCUAAUCAAUGAUCUCUUGCUUUUCAGAAAACCAGCUAUGCCUCCCCGUCGCACAAACGUUAAUGCACAAGAUAACGCAGUCCGUCCUACUCAUAGGAUGAGGACAUGAAAUAGAGCUCAUACCCCAAAACCUGUCCCUACUCCAGGAGUCCCUCCAGUCCUGACCAGUCCACCUAGGGCUUCACGGACCAAUGUUAACCGUCCCCCGACUACUCAAAGGGAUAUUUUGGAUGCAGAAUUCAGACAAUCUAUUCAUAUGCUGACACAGUUGGUGGCUAAUCAGGACCAAUGAUCAGAAGAUAUUGAGUCUUCACCUAUUACAUCUGAAGCUGCUAUGGUGGGUCCAUUCAUGAGAAUGAACCCGCCCAAGUUUACUGGCACUAAAGUAGAAGAGGAUCUGCAAGAGUUUAUAGACAAAAUGGAGAAGAUUUUCAGAGUGAUGCAUAUGGAUCAGGUGGAAGGUGUUGAGCUAGCGGCUUAUAAGCUAAAGGAUGUAGCGAACCAAUAGUAUAAUGAAUGGGAAGAGGUGAAGGGUGAAAAUGUUGAGCCUACAGUGUGGGACAAAUUUGUGGAAGCUUUUCUUGACUGAUUUUUCCCUCUGGAGCUGAGGGAAGCUAAAGCAGAGGAGUUCAUGAACCUUAAGCAGGGUAAGAUGAGUGUUUAGGAGUAUACUUUAAAGUUUAAUCAGUUGACCCAUUAUGCUCCUGAGAUGACGGGUAAUAUGAGAGCCCGAACGAGAAAAUUAGCAUUUGGCCUUUCUGAUGAUCUAGAACUUGAAUGCCAAGGGGUGAUGCUAAAUAGGGAUAUGGACUUUGCUAGGCUGUCAGUCCACAUACAGCAGGUAGAAGAGAAGAAAAAGAAAAUUUCUAAAUCAAGAGAGAAGGACAGACAGGUGAAGAGAGCCAGAUUAGUGAAUCAGAACCCCAGUCAAUAGCAGAGCGGUAAUUGGGCUAACAAAUGGUAAAAGAAUAAGUUUUGGGGCAAGUCGCAGUCUGCAGCUAGUGUCCCAGUGCCCAGACCUCCAGCUGAUAGACGACCUCAGGGUUUUCAGACUAGUUAGGGACCCAGAGCUCAGGAUACUCAGUCGCAGGGUAGUGUGGCUCAGCAGUAUCGUCCUUAUCCGCGGUGUGAGACUUGUGGUAGGCAUCAUCCGGGAAAGUGUCAGUUAGGCGUAUUUAUAUGUUAUUCUUGUGGUCAGACGGCUCAGUUUUAAAGGGAUUUCCCUUCGGCUAAAAGGAGUGUUGGGGGUGCCAAGUCUCAGGCAAACUAUUCUGCACCACCACCGCCUCAAAAAGGUGUCACUUCAGCUGCUAAGAGCGAUCGCAACCGGCUAUAUGCUUUGACUAAUUUCCAGGAGGUGGAAGCCUCACCAGACGUAGUCACUGGUACGUUACAAAUCUUUUCUCGUGAUGUAUAUAUGUUGUUUGAUCCCGGGUCUACCUUAUCUUAUGUGACCCUGUAUAUGGCUUUUGGUUUUGGGUUUUGUCACGACCCGAACUGGGGCCCUGACCGUGACGAGCAUUCCGAACCAUGAAGGCCCGAAACACCCCUAUCUUUCUGGUAAUCAUGAACAUAAUUCAUAUGAUAAUAAGAAAUGUGGAAGAUACUCAAUAUUACGGAAACAUGGUCAUAAAUCAAAUGAAAAAUCAAUAAAGGGGAAAUUAAUGUCCCACAACAUCUACCGACAUCUGAACAACCAUCAGCGAAAUCUCUACUACAUGACUGAAACAAAUUACUGUCUGAAAACUAGGACAAGGCCCCUAGUAGACCCAAAACUACUAAAUAAUAAAUGAACUGACCGACAUCAGGCCUUCCGAAAUAUAGAAGGCUCACCAAUUGAUUCUGCAAAUCUGUCGGAAGAGAUCUACUGGUUAUCUGGACCCCUAGACUGUGCCUCCAAACCUGGGAGGGAAGAGGGUCAAUACAAAAGUACUUGUACGCAGAGAAAUCAAAACAAAAUAUAAUAUUUUUACAAAACAUAAGUGAGAGCUAUUAUAAAACAGUUUCAUAUCAAAUCAUUUGAAAACACAUGGGCAUAAUGCAAUAGUUUUUUAACAACAAUGCUAUGCAGCUAAGCUAGAUGGAAUACCCUAAAUAAUUUACACCAACUGUCAAACCUCGGUUGCCGCCGAGAUUAGAGUAUAUGUGAGGGAAAGACACACAAGAUCACAUAGCAGGGUGUCCCAACCCAAUAAAGUAUAGUAGUGCCCAAGAUCACUUAGCCUGGGCUCCUAACCAUAGUCCUAAUUUGGGAAUGACAUAAAGUCAGGUACACAAGAUCACUUAGCCUGGUACCAAAUUCCCAUGUCGAAAAACAUGGUUUCCAGUGAUAAGUCCUUACACUCAAAUGCCUUCUUCGAGCAUCCACCUAUCUCAUCAAAAACCAAUGCAUUCAACUCCAUUUAAUUCAAUCAUAUAUCUUAUUCUGUAGGGUAUCGUCAUACCCGACUUGCAAGCCAUCAAUAUCAUGUCAUUCUUUCGUGCAACCAUUAUAUUCAUCAUAUAUCAACAUAAAAAACCCUCUCAUGGCAAGUCAAAAAUUAUUCUUAAAUCAUAACAAUGUUCAAAACAUUUUAUGUCAUGCUUGUCAAUAUGAUUUCAAACAGUUCACAUCAUAUGAAAAUAUAAAACAAAUCAUAUCAAGAGAGAGAUUUCGUAUAAUUCAUGCUCCCAAGUUCACAUCUUUUCAAAAUAGAUGCAUACACAUAUAUAAUAUAUCAAAUCACUUCAGGAAUAGGCCUAAAGACCAAAUCAAUAUCAUAAAACAUUUAAAACAUAAUCAUAUUCGUAAUUUCAAAACCCCCAUUUUUAAAACAUGAAUUUUAAAGCCCAUGAGAUUUUUUAGAUAACCCCACGUACCUCUAUAUGCGAAAAUAUUAGGUGCUUCUUGAAGCCUACGUUACGGGGAUUCCAAAUCUUCAAUUUGUUUUGAAAACCCAUGGUUGAAUCUUGAGUUGCUUGGGUUUUUAUUUUGAAACCCUAAGGGGUGUUCUUGAGAGAAAAUUUGAGAAAAGAAUUAUAUUUUGAUGAAUUGGGGGCUAAAUCUGGUGGUAUAGACAAAAUUUGGGUGAGGUGAAAUGACUAAAAUGCCCCUAAGAAAACAAACAAAUUCGAAACUGUCCCUCGGUUGACAAGCUGACAUGCUGAAGUAAAAUGGGUAUAACUCCUUACUCAGAUGUUGGAUUUGGAUGAAACUAGUUGUAUUGGAAAGAAUACUCAAAUAUCUUUCAUUUGAUAGGUAGAAUCUCUCCCAGUUCAUUAUAUUCAGAGAGUUAUAAUCAUUUGAAGUUGACCUUGAAAUGCUAAAAAUUGGGCAAUAGGCUAUGCGUUUUGCUAUUGUUUUGAAAUCCAAACGCAGCCUUAUGCGUUCCGAAAAAUUUUGAAACUUAUCCAAAAUGUACUAUGAGCUUGCCCGAUCAUAACGCAACUUGAAAAUAUAAAAACAAAAGUCGGAAAGGUUAAAAAGAUGUAUCCCGAAGAUUGCCAGCUAAAAUGACUCUAAGUCCACAUUACACUUGGAAAAAUAUUCUAGUUGUUAGCCCCUCAAACAUAACACUAAAAAUGAAAUCAACUCAAGAAGUUUAUGGGGCAUUACGAUAGGAGUGAUUAACACACAUAUGUUAAUAAAGAAUAAUUCAGUUCGGGUCUAUAUACAUAGGAACGACGGUCUAAACUCUAGCCCGAAAAUACUUGGUGUUACAUUAUCUCCCUCUUGGGAUCAUUCGUCCUCGAAUGAUGGGUAGAAACAUAUUGAAACUUAGAGGUAUGGAAUAACGCGGACAUGAUAUGUUUCUCUAAGAAAUAAUACACUAAUCUAAAACAUGACUAUAAGACUGGAACUACUGAUGUUCUAAAUUCUUAUACCGGACGUGCAUAUCUGAUGCAUGGAAUACACGACUGAAGCUAUUCAUUAGCUAGAUUCUCAUAAUAAACAUGCAUAUCUGAUGCAUGGAUCUAUGACUGAGUUGUUCUCAUUAACGCAGGACUAAAUACACUAAUAAGCUGAAAUUUUUCUAUUGAACAUGCAUUUCUAAUGCAUGCAUAUCUGACUGAACUGACGUAUGAAUGUAUAACUGAAUACGCAAUGAUAACUGGUGUGAGGCUUGUAAUAAGAAUCUAUACAUGCAACUGAAUGACGUAUCUGCCCCUUGGGAUCCUAUGUCCCUCUAUGAAUGCUCAAUUCACUAAGAUACUCGGGGAACUAAGGCAAUGCACAAGGAACCUACGAAUUGAAUCAUAACUGAACCUCUAAAAUCUGAAUCUAAUGCAUGACGCAUGAACUGAUCUAUACUCGCAAUUACUAGUAUACUCUAUCUUGGAAUAGUAGCAUGUCUGAGAUUUUGGGUAGCAUGAAUAAAUGAAAAGACGAGAAAACAAGCCAUGCGAAUCUGCUUGUUAAACUGACUUACUGACUAUACAGACUGAAUUAUGUUGGACCUUCACACUUAACUGGAGUAUUCUCUUCAAAACUCUCUCUAAGGAAUUUCUAGCAGUAAUAGGGAGCCACGAACCUUGGGUAUGGAUUACACAAGACACCUACUAAGGAAUCAUCAAAAUGACACCACUCUGUAGUCUGGAAUAUAGACCUAUAACUCCUAAAUUAGGAUAGAGUUACCAGACCUUUGGCAAUACAACAUCUUACUUUCAAGCUUAGCACACUUCUCGAAUAUCCCUUAACUAUACUAUUCUCUAUAAAUAUCAUAUUCAUUCAAUUCAGUUUAAAAUUCUCAUAUGAGCAUUGACGAAAAAAAUUUUCUACUAAUGUCUAAAAUAGCUUAAUCCUUACACCGCGAUAAAGCCUAACUUUAAGUCACAAAAAUACAACAUGCUACACCACUCUACUUUUCUAAACCAUAUGAUGCCACCUUUUAUACCUCUUUUAAAGAUCACAUACUAAGCAUAACAUGCCUUACCGCUUCAAUGACUACUCUAAACUCUUAAUAUGAAGUCGCUUAUGCAUAGUGCGACCUUCCACUACAAUCCCAAAACAUCAUUCAAGCCUAUUUUAUAACCACAUGUUAACUUCAAGGCAACCACCCAUAAAUACAUACUUCACAUAGUUUCUAAACUAUUGUCAAUAUAAAUCCCAUGCGCUACCCUCAAACAUACACACACAAACUUUUCCACUAACCAUCACAUGUAUCAAAGACUUGGCCUCAAAUCUUACUUCAUACUUAUGGCCUUAUCUAAACAAGCAUACUAUAAUCUUCCAUCAAGAAGAACAUUUACAUCAUAACCACUAUCAUUGCAUAGGGAGGGUCCCUAAAAGGUUAAAACAUAAGACCUUGAAGCAUGAAAAGAUUUUUAUACGGGACUGAGCACACUAUAAAGAGUAAGUACAUGCGUCAUGAGUUGCAUGACCUCAACUAGAGUUCAUAACAUCAGGAAUGUGAUUCCGACUACUUGAAUGAACUAGAACUCAUUAUCUUGGAACUGGAAGAGUACAUGACUCUCUAUCAUAUACAAGGAUCAUGAACUAUGAUCACGUAACUAAAUCGUAAGGCAUGAAUAAGCACCCGGAUAACUGAAAAAAUAUUGAGGUAGGAAUGGGUUGAGAUUCCCCCUCACUUUCUGAUGUUCUAAAUCAUACUGCAUCACUACUAAAAUUUAAGAGCCUUACUUGGUUAUUCAUUCUAUCAUCUCCCCCUUAGCUUCAAGUCAUCAUCUAGAGUUUGGGAAAUCCUUUACCAGAUUCUAACUAAACUACACUUACUGCACUCUAGGGUCUGAAAAAAAUGACAAUACACGCAUAUCCUAGAACUUAACCUAAAUGACUACCUUCCGGGAUACACUUUAUUUUUCCAUAGCCACCAAUAGUCAUAGUAUAAUGCUUGCACGCUUAUUUCUAUCAGUUUAAUCUUCAAAACUCAAGCUUAGAUGCUAACACUUAACAUGGAUAUCACAAAGCCUUUGAUGAACCAUAUCACUUUCGACAUAGCCUACCACUAUUGUGACUCUAAAUUUAUAUCCCUCUACUAUGAGAAUCAAGAUCAUUGCAAAAGGCCCAACACUAUCAAUCAAAUCACCUUAACAUAGCUAUUUAGAUCACCAUAUACCAUCUAACUAGUCUUUCUCCACUUAACAAUUCAAUGGUACCACUAGCCACGUACAAUAAGUAAUAGCCUUAGAAAGAAUGCCGCAACCUCAUGUCAUCUUAGGCAUACUUCUACAUCAUACAUACAAUGUCAUACAUCACUACGAAUCAAAUAAACCUAAUCUCUUCCAUACAUCGUUCAAGCCUAUUAGAUCACUUCCAUAAAACUGGUAUCAUUACCCAAUCAAUCAUACAACUAUCUUAAUGGGCAUCAACUGUUCAAACCUAGUGUCUAGUGCUAAACGUAAUUAUGAUUUACAACCCAACCUUACAUACAAUUCUCACUUGAAAACCAUGAAAUAACCAUCAAGAAACACUAGUACACUAGAACUUCAUAGCCACCAAAAAAUCGAUCAUGACCUUACGGUUUUCCUCAUCAUAAUCUAUUAGCACGUACUAUUUCAACACAUCAAGCCUAGUAAUUAAUCCCACAAAACAUACAUCAUCAAUCUCUUACCAGUAUUUACCACCACACUAUUUAAAUUCAAGCCUAUAGUCUAGCAACAAUCACUUACCAUCAAUGAAGAAUGCAACAUAAAAUAAAUAUACUAAUCCAUUAAAUUGGGACAUUCUACCCAAAUGCUUCAAAAAUCCACUACAUACUUUUCUCACAAGUAGUACUAGUUUACAACUACUAACAAAAAGAGGGUCAAGGGGUUAAGUCACAUAAUAGACUUGGUCAACCUUAAUCUGAUAUUAUAACCCCAUACAAUAUUAUCUACUUAUACGGAUUUCUCAAUGCAUACUUACUUACUCAAUCAUACCUUUAGACUACCUUCAAUUUCCACAACAACCAUGAGUCUAUAAUUAUAACUUACUGGCUAAUAUAACCAUUUUCACACUUCAAGCAACCGACAAAUCACCUUGACUAACAACUUUUUCUCUACCUUCUACUAAAUUAUCAUGCAAGGACGAAUCACCUCUUUACCAACUUAAUCUCAUGCAAAUAGAUUCAGCUAUACAUAUAUUAAUCCAACACAAGAAUAACAAGCUGGACAACAAGCUGCUAGUGAAUCGAAAUAGGCCUCACACGGCUUCAAUAGACUUUGAUUUUGUAUUUUUGAACCAAAAAAUGAGAUGAAUAACAAGGAAACUAUGCUAGUGACUCAAAAGAGCCCCACACGGCUUCACUAGACUUUGAAAUUUUUUUAUAUUUUUUUUUCAAAAACACCAUGAUAACAAGAUUACAUAUUACAAGAGAUAGAAAAUUGACACAUAAUAUUUAAUGGUCUAAGAAUACACAUCUUACUCUGUAUAAAUAAAAAUAUGAGUAAGACACUUCCCCCCUGGACUACCAUACCAUGCACAAGUGCAACUAGCUACCAUAUUAGUUUAUCACUAUAAAGGGGUAAAUCAUCCUCAAACAUCGGUUAUUCAACUAAAAUAUUCAUUUACAUAAAAAUCACCAUCACUCUGACUUCUAACUUUGUGACUUCACAUCACUAACUUCUUGGUCUAAUUUCAUUACUGAUAGGUCAUGACAACAACACUUUAACUUAUGCUACUAUUUGGGUGGAAAUACAGUUCCAAUAUUCUGCUAUACAUCGUCCAUAUCUGUAACAAGAUUUUGAGAUGGACUAGAUGUACUUAAUACCUUAAGCUGGAAAGCACAAUUCCAUCAGGAUCAAUGUUUAUAUCAGAAUCAACACAUAUUGAAGCACUAACAGGCUCCUCUCGAGUCUUUGCAUAAUUUUUUUUAAAACCUUAUAGGACUCAAUCGCAAAGGACUAUAUCAUGUAGAUUCUAAACUUUUUGCACUUGAAUCACCCUAAUAAUGGUACAUGUCUAAGAACAUCAGAGUAAGGAAAGAAUUUGGGAUAAUAUUACUUUCAUAUGGGAAACACCAUAGCAUGAAUUAAAGUAUGAAAGAGGAACACUUUGACUCUAUUGCACGAACUAGACAUGAAGAAAGAGAGACAUUCCUAAAUGCCUAGUAGCCUUCUGCUUAUAAGUGUGGAGCGCUACAUACCCAUAAACAAGACUCUACCCGACGCGAUUUUGCAGAUACCCUGGGACUAUGAAUUGUGCUUUAAUACCAAGUUUUUCACGACCCGAAAUGGGGUUCUGACCGUGAUGAGCAUUCCGAAUCAUGAAGGCCCAAAACACCCCUAUCUAUUUGGUAAUCAUGCACAUAAUUCAUAUGAUAAUAAGAAAUAUGGAAGAUACGCAAUAUUACGAAAACAUGGUCAUAAAUAAAAUGAAAAAUCAAUAAAGGGGAAAUUAAUAUCCCACAACAUCUAUCGACAUUUGAAUAACCAUCUGCGAAAUAUCUACUACAUGACUGAAACAAAUUACUGUCUGGGAUAAGGCCCCUAGUAGACCCAAAACUACUAAAUAAUAAAUGAACUGGCAGAUAUCAGGCCUUCUGAAAUAUAGAAGGCUCACCACUUGAUUUUGUAAAUCUGUCAGAAAAGAUCUACUGGUUAUCUGGACCCCCAGACUGUGCCUCCGAACCUGGGAGGGAAGAGGGUUAAUACAAAAGUACUAGUACGCAGAGAAAUGCUAUGCAGCUGAGCUAAGUGGAAUACCCUACAUAAUUUUAAACAACAAUAGUUUUUCAACAACAAUGCUAUGCAGCUGAGCUAGGUAGAAUACCCUACAUAAUUUACAUUAACUGUCAAACCUCAGUUGCCACCGAGAUUAGAGUAUACGUGAGGGGAAGACACACAAGAUCACACAGCAGGGUGUUCCGACCCAAUAAAGUAUAGUAGUGCCCAAGGUCACUUAGCCUGGGCUCCUAACCAUAGUCCCAAUUUGGGAAUGAUAUAAAGUCAGGUACACAGAUCACUAAGCCUGGUACCAAAUUCCCAUGUCGGCAAAUACGAUUUCCAACGAUGAGCCCUUACACUCAAAUGCCUUCUUCGGGCAUCCACCUAUCUCAUGAAAAAUUAAUGCAGUCAACUCCAUUUAAUUCAAUCACAUAUCUUAUUCUGUAGGGUAUCGUCAUACCCGACUUGCAAUCCAUUAAUAUCAUAUCAUUCUUUCGUGCAACCAUUAUAUUCAUCAUAUAUCAACAUAAACAACCCUCUUAUGGCAAGUCAAAAAUCAUGCCCAAAUCAUAACAAUGUUCAAAACAUUUCAUGUCAUGUUUGUCAAUAUGAUUUCAAAUAGUUCACAUCAUAUGAAAAUAUAAAACAAAAUCAUAUCAAGAGAGGGAUUUCAUAUAAUUCAUGCUCUCAAGUUCACAUCUUUUCAAAAUACAUGCAUAUAUGUAUAUCAUAUAUCAAAUCACUUCGGGAAUACGCCUAAAGACCAAAUCAAUAUCAUAAAACGUUUAAAACAUAAUCAUAUUCGUAAUUUCAAAAUCUCUAUUUUGAAAACAUGAAUUUUAAAGCCCAUGAGAUUUUUUAGAUAACCCCACGUAACUCUAUAUGCGAAAAUAUUUGGUGCUUCUUGAAGGCUACGUUGCGGGGAUUCCAAAUCUUCAAUUUGUUUUGAAAACCCACGGUUGAAAUUUGAGUUUCUUGGGUUUUUAUUUUAAAAUCCUAAGGGGUGUUCUUGAGAGAAAAUUUGAGAAAAGGAUUAUAUUUUGAUUAAUUGAGGGCUAAAUCUGGUGGUAUAGAUGAAAUUUGGGUGAGGUGAAAUGACUAAAAUGCCCCUAAGAAAACAAACAAAUUCGAAACUGUCCCUCAGUUGACAAGCUGACAAGCUGAAGUAAAACGGGUAUAACUCCUUACUCAGAUGUUGGAUUUUGAUGAAAUCAGUUGCAUUGAAAAGAAUACUCGAAGAUAUUUCAUUUGAUAUAUAGCAGCUCACCAGUUCAUUAUAUUCAGAGAGUUAUGAUCGUUUGAAUUUAACCCUGAAAUGCUGAAAACUGGGCAAUAGGCUAUGCGUUUUGCUACUGUUUUGAAAUCCAAACGCAGCCUUAUGCGUUCCAAAAAAUUCUAAAACUUAUCCGAGAUGUACUAUGAGCUUGCCCAAUCGUAAAACAACUUGAAAAUCUAAAAACGGAAGUCGGAAAGGUUGAAAAGUUGUAUCCCGAAGAUUGCCAGCUAAAAUGACUCUAAGUCCUCAUUACACUUAGAAAAAUAUUCUAGUUGUUAGCCCCUCAAACAUAACACUAAAAAUGAAAUCGACUCGAGAAUUUUAUGGGGCAUUACGAUAGGUGUGAUUACCACACGUAUGUUAAUAAAGAAUAAUUCAGUUCGGGUCUAUUACGUAGGAACGACGGUCUAAACUCUAGCCCAAAAAUAUGGGGUGUUACAGGUUUGAGCCCAAUGUGAUUGCCGAACCUUUCUCUGUUUCCACUCCGGUGGGUGAUUCUGUUGUGGCUAGGAGGGUGUACGAAAAUUGCGUUGUGUUUAUUCUUAGUAGGAAUACUGUGGCAGACCUCAUAGAACUUGAUAUGGUUGCUUUUGAUGCUAUCCUAGGGAUGGAAUGGCUCUAUUGGUGUUAUGCCACACUAGACUGUAGAACCCAAAAGGUUACCUUUUCUUUUCUGAAUGAGCCAGCAAUAGAGUGGAAAGGACAUUCUUUAGCACCUAGAGGGCACUUCAUAUCUUAUCUAAGAGCUCGUAAACUUAUAUCCAAGGGUUGCUUGUAUCAUCUUAUUCGGGUUAAGAUUCUAAUGCCGAAAGUCUUUCUCUUCAGUCAGUCCCUAUAGUAAAUGAAUUCCUAGAAGUCUUUCCAGAUAAUAUCCCAGGAAUUCCACCUGAUAGGGAGAUAGAUUUUGGCAUUAAUGUGUUGCCAAAUACCCAUCCUAUUUCUAUUCCGCCAUAUAGAAUGGCUCCUACAAAGCUAAAAGAGUUGAAAGAACAGCUAGCAGAUCUCCUAGAUAAAGGUUUUAUUAGACCUAUUAUUUUUCCCUGGGGUGUGCCUGUGCUUUUCGUGUGAAAGAAAAAUGGUUCCCUGCGUAUGUGCAUGGAUUACCGCCAGUUGAAUAAGGUCACAGUGUAAAAUAAAUAUCCUCUUCCUUGAAUCGAUGACCUUUUUGACCAGCUUCAGGGUGCUAGGUGUUUUUCUAAAAUAGAACUUCGUUUGGGAUAUCAUUAGUUGAAAGUUAGGGAGUCAGACAUUCCUAAAACUGCUUUCCAAACCAAAUAUGGUCAUUAUGAAUUCUUAGUCAUGUCCUUCGGGUUGAAUAAUGCCCCUGCAGCUUUCAUGGACCUAAUGAAUAGGGUCUUCCGUCAGUUCCUAGACCUGUUUGUCAUAGUUUUUAUUGAUAGUAUCCUGAUUUACUCCAAAAGUGAGGAGGACUAUGUCAAUCACCUCUGAAUUAUUCUCCAGACUCUUAAGGAACAUAGGUUGUAUGCAAAAUUCUCCAAGUGUGAAUUCUGGCUUAAUGCUAUUGCUUUCUUAGGGCACAUUGUGUCUAGUGAAGGGUUUUGGGUUGAUCCCCAAAAGGUUGAGGCAGUGAAAAAAUGGCCCAGACCCACGACUCCAACCGAUAUUCAAAGUUUCUUAGGUUUGGUAGGGUAUUACAGAAGGUUCGUAGAGAGUUUCUCUUCCAUAGUUGCACCACUUACUAAGUUGACUCAGAAAAAGGUGAAGUUUUUAUGGUCCGACUCUUGUGAGAAUAGUUUUGAAAAGUUGAAAGACAAGUUGACUACUGCUCCUAUUUUGACUCUUCUAGAAGGCACAGAUAGUUUUGUUAUGUACUGUGAUAUGUCCCGUGUGGGACUUGGGUGUGUACUUAUGCAGCAUGGUAAGGUGGUGGCUUAUGCAUCUAGCCAGUUAAAGGUGCAUGAGCGAAACUACCCUACUCAUGACUUAGAAUUAGCAGUUGUGGUAUUUGCGCUUAGAAUUUGGAGGCAUUAUCUUUAUGGGAUGCAUAUUGAUAUUUUCACUGACCAUAAGAGUUUGCAGUAUGUUUUCUCGCAGAAAGAACUAAACCUCAGGCAAAGGCAUUGGAUGGAGAUUUUAAAAGACUAUGACAUGAGCCUUCACUAUCACCUGGGUAAGGCAAAUAUUGUAGCGAACACCCUCAGUAGGUUGUCUAUAGGCAGUCUUUCUCAUGUUGAGGAAGGAAAGAUAGAGAUGGUAAAAUAUAUUCACCAGAUUGUAAAUCUAGAAGUGCAAAUCUUGGAUUCUGAAGAUGGGGGAAUGGUUGUUCAUGAGAUAGAUAAGUCUUCCCUUUGUGCGGAAGUUAAAGAGAAGCAGGUUGAAGAUCUCAUCUUGAUGCAAAUCAAGAAAGAUAUGGGUCAACAAAAGGUGAUGUCUUUCAAAAUUGGUGGUGAUGGUAUUUUGAGAUAUUAGGGUAGAUUAUGUGUACCAGAGGUUGAUGGUUUGCAAAAUAGAAUCCUUGACGAAGCUCACACUUUGAGGUAUGUUGCUCAUCGAGGCUCUACAAAAAUGUACCAUGACCUGAAAACUAUUUAUUGGUGGAAUAAUAUGAAGUGUGAUGUGGCUAACUUUGUUUCCAAGUGUUUGAAUUGCUAACAAGUUAAAGUAGAGCAUAUGAGGCCAAGUGGUUCCUCCCAAGAGAUAGUCUUGCCCUUGUGGAAGUGGGAGAUGAUUAAUAUGGACUUUAUUACAGGGCUCCCGAAGUCCCGACACCAGUAUGAUUCUAUUUGGGUAAUUGUAGAUAGACUGACCAAGUCAGCCCAUUUUUUGCCUGUCGGGACUGACUAUUUGGGAGAGGAUUAUGCCAAGCUAUUCAUUGCAAAAAUAGUUCGUUUGCAUGGUGAACCUGUGUCCAUCAUAUCCGAUCGAGGUAAACAGUUCCCUUCUCAGUUUUGGAGAUCUUUCAAGAGAGGUUUAGGUACCCAGGUGAAUCUAAGCACUGCUUUUUACCCUCAGAAUGAUGGGCAGACUGAGCGCACCAUUCAAAACCUUGAGGACAUGUUGAGGGCCUAUGUGAUUGAUUUCAAAGGUAGUUGGGUAGAGCAUUUUCCACUGAUAUAGUUCGUGUAUCAUAACAGUUUCCAUUUCAGUAUUAAGAUGGCACCAUUUGAGGCAUUAUAUGGGAGAAGAUGUAGGUCACCAAUAGGGUGGUAUGAAGUAGGUGAGACACAGAUGUUUGGGCCUAAUCUUGUUCAUCAGGCAAUGGAAGAUGUGAAACUUAUUAGGGAACGACUUAAGACAGCUCAGAGUCUUCAGAAAUCUUAUGUCGAUGUUAGGAGAAGAGAUUUAGAGGUUGAGGUUGGUGAUUAGGUAUUUCUAAAAGUUUCUCCUAUGAAGGAAACCAUGAGAUUCGGGAAGAAAGAUAAAUUGAGUCCUUGCUAUAUAGGACCAUAUCAGAUUUUGAGAAGAAUAGGUGGAGUUGUGCAUGAGUUAGAGUUACCUACGAGUUUGGGUUCUGUUCACCCGCUAUUCCACAUAUCCAUGCUGAAGAAGUUAUUGGAGACCAUUUAUUAGUAUUGCCCGUUGAAGAAAUCAAAGUGACAGACUCCUUAUCUUAUGAGGAAAAGCCUAUAGCAAUCUUAGAUUGUCAGGUUAGACAAUUGAGGAGCAAGGAGAUAGCCUUAGUUAAAGUGUUGUGGAGGAAUCAAAAAGUUGAAGAAACAACUUGGGAAUCAGAAGAUGACAUGAGGAAUAGAUACCCCAACUUAUUUGAUCCGGCAAGUGGCAAAAUGGAAGGUAAAAUCCUCAUCUUAUUCUUUCUUAUGCCUCUGUAUGCAAAAAUCGUGCUUGUCGGUGUGUUCUACGUCAUCAUUCGGGGACGAAUGAUCCCAAGGGGGGGAUAAUGUAACACCUCGUAAAAAUCUUUCAUGGAAUUAGAUGGUAAUGGUAUGCUUGUUGAGUUAGAAGCUAGAAAAUAUUCCAAGUGUCAAAGAGACUUAGUCUUAUUUUUAGCUCUUAAGCUUUGGGGAAUUUAUUUUCAGUCCUCUCGACCUCUGAUUUUAGGUUUUCUUAUUGCAUUACGAUGGGGCAAGGUCGUAGUACAUCUCGGAGGAGUUUUGGAUUUUUCGGAGCGCGUUUAGACAUCGUUGGGUGUUCCAAAAUAGUGGACCGAUGCAAUAUUGGCGCGCCGUGUCGCCCAUCGCGUUGGUCAAAUUUUGUGCAAGAAAUGCUAGGAAAAGUACUGAGGCUCGACGCGAUGGUGGAGCGAUGCAACGAGUAUCAUGUUGGACAACCGACGCGCUGUAUUGCCUGCAGCGUCGAUGCCCAGUUAUUUUAGCUUUUAAAAAUCCACAUCUUAAGGGGCAUUUGGGUAAUUUUUCCUUAUUCUAAUACGCCCAAACAUGGGAUUUUUUAUCCUAAGAGACCACUUUACUCACUUUUUCAUCAAAAUCCAUCAAGAACAUCCUUAGGGUUUCAAACUAUAAACUCAAAUAACUCGAGAUUCAACCGUGGGUUUCGAAAACUGAUUGGAGAUUCGGAAUCCCCAGACCGUAGGAUUCAAGAAGCACCUAUUGAACUCCUAUAUAGAGGUACGUGGGGUUUUCCUAAAAAUCUCAUGGGCAUAGAAAUCAUGUUUUUAAGAAAGGGGUUUCAGAUUUAUGAAUAAAUUCAUGUUUUAGAAGCUUUAAUGACAUUGUUUUUGUUUUUGGCCUUUUCCCCGAAGUGAUUUGAAAACUUAUUGUAAGACCCCAAAAAUUUUCUCUGUCGUUAAAGUGUUCGAAAUAAGUCAAGUUGAGCUCAACACUUAGAAAUUUUAUUAAGUGUUUCAACACUUAGACAUUUUGUAGCCUAGAAUCUUUGUUGAAUUAUUUCGUGGCCUUUCUGGCCUUUGUUUCCUGAAAUUUUUGUUGCGUUGUGAUGGGGCAAGGUCAUAGUAUAUUCUGGGUGAGUUUUGGAAUUUUGGACAUCAUUUAGGGCGUGUUUGGUUUUCAAAUCAGUAGCAUCAUGCGAUAUGCAUGCGUCGCAUAGUCCAGUGCAGUGCUAUGGAGAAUGCGACGCAUGCUUCAUUGCGGUGGGAUGGAGCAUGCGAUGCAUGGUCUAUUGCAUGCCUGGAAAAUUUUCAUCAUUUUUCGCGUCUCAUUAAGGGCACAAUGGUAUUUUUCCACUCUCAUAUCUUCUCUAACAUGGGAUUAAAUCCCUCAAACCCCAAAAUAACAUCACUUUCACCCAAAUUGACCAAGAACAACACUUAGGGUUUCUAUAAAGAAACCAAGAGAGCUCUUGAUUCAACCGUGACUGUUUAAAGAUUUUUAGAUAUUUGAAAUCCUUGUUCCGAUGGCUUCAUGAAGCACAUAACAAUUCCGUGAGUAGCGUGUCUAAGUAGAGAGUUCAUUCUAAGGCUCCAAUCUUGAGGUAUGUGGGGUUAUGAACAAGAACAUCCUUUCGUUCUUGUGCCUAAAAAUGUUUUUCUUUUAAGAAGUUAUGAAUUUUAUAUGUUUUAUUAUGAAUUUGAAGCAUGAAUUUAUAUCCUAUAUUGAUUCUCAUGAUAUUAUGACAUUUUCGAUAUUUUAGAAGUGGAAUUAUAUGAGAACAAUGAUAUUUUGUGCUUGAAGCUGAAAAUUUCUAGAUUUUGAAGAAAUUUAUGUACGUUUAUGAUGUAAAGCUUGAAUCUUGGUAAGUUUUAAUGUGAUAUUGAGACAUGGGUUUUGAACUCUAUUUGAGAUUGUUGUUUUUGAGAAAUCAUGUGUUAUAAACACCUUGAAUUUGAAUGAUUUGAAAUGAUAAAGAAGCUUUGCCCUUCCGGUCGUAAAAAGGGGUUGAUUUUGAACCCGAGAUGAGAAAAGAAAUCUACUUUUAUUGAUUCAUUAAAAAAGGGGUAGCAUGAUGGCUCCCAUUGUGAAUUGUUGAACUGUUUAAUGGUGGAUUUUCUUUUAAAAAGAUCUGAGCUAAGUUUGGGAGUAGUCUUUAGCACCGAGCGGGAGGUAUAGCGGGUUUGGUACUUCCCUAGAACUACGUGCCCCCGUAGGAGCCAGAAUUGAGGCUGAUUUAUAUAGUGAUCACUAGUGUUUGGAUUGAUAAUUUAAGGUCCUACUCCGAUGGCAAGGAAUAGGGUGACUCUCCCCAACGUGGGUAGAACUUUGGACUCUAUAUAGCUCACAUGGUUUAUGUCGGUUGUGAGAGGCUCCCAAUGUGUGUGUGUGUGCUCUUCCAUCUAAGAUGAAAACAUAUUCACUUGAAAUACUGAUUUUGAGAAAGUUGUUGUUUUCAAAAGAUUGAAAGGAUAUAUUCUAAAGAGAAUUGUUAUGAGAUUUAAUUGCUUUGAUGAUUUGAAAUCGAGAUGAAAGUGAAUUGAGAACUUAUUUUGAUGACUCAGAUGUUUUACCUGACAUAUCUUACUCUCUUAUGAUUAUGAUGAUUUUUUUCGAGCUAUGUGAGUCACUUGUUAUAACAUGCAUGAUUUCUAUGAAUACUUGUGAUAUUUGAAUUUUGAAAACUUGCACACACCCUUAUAUACUCGGUCUAUAUUCCAUGGCACUGACCCACAUAUUCGUAUAUGGGCUACAUUUUCCCUAUAAUGUAGGUUCAGGUGCUCAAUUCCAGUUUUGACGGUGAUUCCCGAGCAUGUUGAUCUACCUCCUUUACUGUGGUGAGUCCUCAUGAUUUGAGGACGUGUUAUUUCAGACAUUCAGUUCACCUUGAUUUGUUAUUUUAAUCUUGAGUUCGAGUCAGUUAGGGCCUGUCCCAAUGGCUCUCUGGUUAUUGAUUAGUAGAGGCUUGUCAGGCCGGAUUUGUCAAACUAGUGGGUUGGAGUUGUUAGACUUUUCAUAUUUUGUUAUUUUUUUUAUUUAUUCAUAUUACUGUGAGACUUGGUUAAUAUUACGGGGUUGGUUGUCAUAAUUAUCUUGAAAUAAGUGUUGAAUGGUAGAAAAUGGCUCAAAGGGUUAGCUUGGGGCUACUUGUAGCCUUAAGCACUGUGUGAUACUUCGGGACCUAUUUUUGGGGUGUUACAAACUUGGUAUCAGAGCCUAAGGUUUAAGGAGUCCUAGGGAGUCUGACAAGCCGCGUUAAGUAGAGUCUUGAUCAUCGGUGUGUAGUGCGCCACAUCUAUGAGAAAAAGGCUAUAGACGUUUUAGGAAAAUGGUCAUUUCUUUUCUUCAGAAUUCUAUCAUGCUUACAGUUGUUCCCUUUCAGCUAUUAAUUCGUGCUCUUUUCUUUCAGAAUAUGCCUCCUCACUGAGCCAGAUGAAAUAACUCCGGUCAGCAAACUCAUCUUACUGACCCACUGAAUAAUAAUGUCUCCCACGCUAAGUUUCGGGCAUCUUUUCAGGUGCUGGCCCAAGCUGUUACUAUGAACGUUCAGACCAAUCUGGCCCCGGCUCCACAACAGCAGGGAGGUGAUUCAGCUGCUGUGAGGAUUUGUGACUUUAUGCAGAUGAAUUCGCCAGAAUUCUAUGGGUCCAAGCCAGAUGAGGACCCAGAGUUAUACUUGGAGGAAAUGAGAAAGAUCACACAGGUGAUGCAUGUCUAUGAGGAGCAUAGUGUGGAGUUGGCAUCGUACCAGUUGAAACACCUUGCUUAUGAUUGGGUCAUUGCUUGGAGGAAAGAUAGAGGUGAGAGUGUCGCCCCUAUUACUUGGCAGGUGUUCCAGGAUGCAUUUCUAGAUAAGUUCUUCUCUUUGGAGAUAAGAGAGGCAAAGGUGAAGGAUUUUAUGAACUUACGGUAGGGCUCUAUGACUGUUAAGGAGUACUUCUUGAAGUUUAAUUAGUUAGCCAAGUACGCUCCUGACUUAGUAGCUGAUAACCGAGCCAGUAUGAGUAAAUUUAUGACAAGGGUGUCGAGCUACAUCUUUAAGGAGUGCAGAUCUGCCAUGCUAAAUACUGAGAUGAAUCUUUCUAGGCUAAUGACAUAUGCCCAAUAUAUUAAAGCAAACAAGAUCAAGGAGAGGGAUAGAAUGAGAGCGAAUAAGAGAUCUAGGUCCGAGGAGCACAAACAUGGCCAGACUGGAUCGCAAAGAGGGGACCACCCUUAAUUUCAGAACCAUUCAUCUGCACCAGCAUCGUUGUUAGCUAGCGCUCCUGCUCCUAGGGGCAGGCAGGAGCAAAGUGGUAAGUCGUAUGUGUCUAGGACUCAGCACAGUGUUGGCGAUAAGCCAAAUUAUCCUUCAUGUACCCAGUGUGGUAGGAUCCAUUCGGGUGAGUGUUGGGGAGUGAAGAAAGGUUACUUUGGGUGUGGUGACAUGGGUCACAAGCUUAGGGAGUGCCCACAUGCUAGGAAAGGGCAACGUGAUAAUCGCUCUCAAACUCAGACUACUAGUGCUCCAGUUCAAGUAACUCACCCAUCCCCAGCUAGCACCACUGGCGGUCAGCGCCAGAACCAAUUUUAUGCUUUACCAUCUCUCCAGGAGCAGGAGGACUCUCCCGAUGUUGUUACUGGUAUGCUCCGUAUAUUUCAGUUUGAUAUUUAUGCAUUGUUGGACCCUGGGUCCAGUUUUUCAUAUGUUACACCUCUGGAUGCUGUGAAUUUUGAAGUGAGUCCUGAAAAUAUUCUUGAGCCUAUCUUAGUUUCUACCCCAGUGGGUGAGUCAAUUGUUGCCCAAAAAGUGUAUAAAAAGUGUCCUGUUACAGUCCUUCAUAGAGUCGUGUUGCUGAUCUGAUAGAGUUAGACAUGGUAGAUUUUGAUGUUAUUCUGGGUAUGUACUGGCUUCACUCUUGUUAUGCCUCUAUAGAUUUUCGUGCCCGAGUAGUCAAGUUUCAGUUUCCUGAUGAAUCGGUGUUUGAGUGGUCUGGGAGUUCUGUAUCUCCCAAGAGUCAUUUUAUCUCAUAUCUCAAAGUUAGAAAGCUUAUUUCCAAGAGGUGCAUUUAUCAUUUGGUUAGAGUUAAGGAUACUAAGUCUGAGACUCCAACUCUCCACUCAGUUAGCAUCGUUAAAAUCUUCCAGGGCUACCUCCCGAUAGAGAGAUAGAAUUUGGGAUUGAUCUUCUUCCCGAAACCUAGCCUAUUUCUAUUCCUCCUUACCAUAUGGCACCUGCAGAACUUAAGGAGUUGAAGGAGCAACUCAAAGAUCUGUUAGAUAAGGGUUUCAUAAGGCCCAGUGUUUCUCCUUGGGGUGCCCCUAUUUUAUUUGUGAGAAAGAAAGAUGGUUCUUUGCGUAUGUGCAUUGACUAUCGUCAGCUUAAUAAAGUCACUGUCAAAAACAACUAUCCCCUUUCGAGAAUUGAUGAUUUAUUUGACCAGUUGCAAGGUGCAAGUUAUUUUUCCAAGAUAGACCUUAAAUCCAGCUAUCACCAACUCAAAGUAAGGGAGUAUAACAUCCCAAAAAUAGCCUUCCAAACUCGCUAUGGUCAUUUUGAGCUUCUUGUUAUGUCCUUCGGGCUCACUAAUUCCCCAGCAUCUUUCAUGGACCUCAUGAAUCUAGUGUUUAGGCAAUAUCUUGAUAUGUUUGUCAUUGUAUUCAUAGACGAUAUUCUUGUAUACUCCCGCAGUGAAGCAGGCCAUCCAAACCAUCUCCAAAUUGUCUUGCAAAUUCUUAAAGAUCAUAAAUUAUUCGCUAAAUUCAGCAUGUGUGAAUUUUAGUUAAGUUCCAUUGCUUUUUUGGGUCAUAUUAUCUCUUCCGAAGGUAUUAGAGUUGAUCCCCAAAAGACAAAAGCUACUAGAAACUGGCCUAGACCUAUCUCUCCGUCUGAUAUCCGAAUUUCCUGGGUCUAGCUAGCUAUUACCACUUCUUUGUCGAGGGUUUUUCUUCUAUAGCAUCUCCUAUGACCCGGUUGACCCAAAAGAAAGUGAAGUUCUUAUGGUCUAAUUCUUGUGAGAAGAGUUUUCAAGAGUUGAAAACUCGACUCACCUCAGCUCCUAUUUUGACUUUGCUUGAUGGUGUUGAUAAUUUUGUGGUAUAUUCUGAUGCUUCUAGGGUGGGUUUGGGUUUUGUAUUGAUGCAGAGAGUAAAGUUAUAGCUUAUGCUUCUAGAUAGUUAAAACCAUAUGAGAAGAAUUACCCAACCUAUGACUUAGAGUUGGCUGCUGUUGUGUUUGCUCUGAAAAAAUCUGGAGACACUACUUGUAUUGUGUUCAUGUUGAUGUAUUUACUAAUCAUAAGAGUCUGCAGUAUGUAUUUACCCAGAGAGAGUUGAACCUUAGGUAGAGGCGGUAGUUAGAAUUGUUGAAAGACUAUGAUAUAAGUGUGUUGUACCAUCCCGGCAAGGCCAAUGUAGUGGCAGAUGCCCUUAGCAGGGUAUCCAUGGGUAGUGUUUCUCAUAUAGAGAAUGAUAAAAAAGAGUUAGCUCCUGAUGUGCAUCGUCUGGCUAGGCUGGGGGUUAGGUUGUUUGACUCUGCUGAAGGUAGUAUAGGGGUUCAGAGUAGUUCCGAAUCCUCCUUGGUUUCGAAAGUAAAGUAGAAGCAAGACUUAGAUGCUAGUUUGGUCAGACUGAAGAAGUUAGUCAAGGACCAAAAGGUGAAGGUUUUCUCCCAAGGGGGACAUGGUUUGUUAAGAUUGCAUAGUAGAUUAUAUGUUCCGAAUGUUGAUGAUCUGAGGUAGAGAAUUAUGGCUGAAGCGCACGGUGCGCGAUAUUUUAUUCAUCCCGGUGCCACCAAGAUGUACCGCGACUUGUGGGAAAUCUAUUGGUGGAGUGGCAUGAAGAAAGAUAUAGCAGGUUUUGUAGCUAAGUAUGCAACGUGCCAACAGGUUAAGAUAGAGCAUCAAAGACCUGGCGGUAAGAAUCAGGAGUUUGGUAUUCCCACUUGGAAGUGGGAAGAGGUUAAUAUAGAUUUUGUGACUGGUUUACCUCCUUCCUGACGCCUCAUGAUUCUAUUUGGGUUUUUGUUGAUAGGUUGACUAAGUCUGCGCACUUAUUGCCUGUGUAUACUUCUUAUACUACUGAGGACUACGCUAGAUUGUACAUCUGAGAGUUAGUCAGAUUGCAUGGAGUUCCCUUGUCUAUCAUUUUGGAUAGGGGUACUCAGUUCACUUCACAGUUUUGGAAGACUUUUCAGAACGGUCUUGGUACCUAAGUGCAUUUGAGUUCCUCUUUUCAUCUACAGACAGAUGGUCACGAUGAAAGGACCAUCCAGACUUUAGAGGAUAUGUUGAGAACCUGUGCUCUUGAUUUCAAGAGGAGUUGGGACGAGCAUUUACCAUUGAUAGAGUUUGCUUACAACAAUAGUUAUCACUCUAGCAUUGGCAUGGCCCCAUUUGAGGUGUUGUAUAGAAGAAAAUGUAGAUCACUCAUAGGUUAGUUUGAGGUGGGUGAAGCUAUUGUGAGUGGUCCUGAUUUGGUAUUUGAGGCUAUGAAAAAAGUCAAGUUGAUUAGAGAAAGGUUGAAAACAGCUCAGAGUCGUCAGAAGUUGUAUGCAGAUGUAAGGAGAAGAGACCUUGAGUUUGAAGUUGAUGACUUGGUGUAUUUGAAGAUUUCGCCCAUGAAAGGAGUGAAGAGAUUUGGGAAGAAGGGGAAGCUUAGUCCCCGUUAUGUUGGCCCUUACAAAGUUCUUAUCCGUGUUGGUAAAGUAGCUAAUGAGGUUAAGUUGCCUUCAGAGUUGUCAGUUGUUCAUCCUGUCUUCCAUGUUUCCUUACUUAGGAAGCAUGUUAGUGAUUGUGUUGUUGUAGAUCCUUCUGAGAGCUCUGAUGUACAAGAUAUUCUUUCAUUUAAGGAGGUUCCUGUUAAGAUUUUAUACCAUCAAGUCCAGAGACUAAGGAACAAAGAAGUUCCCUUGGUCAAAGUGUUAUGGUGAAACCAAUCCGUUGAGGGUGCAACUUGGGAAGCCGAGGCGGAUAUGCAAUCCAAGUACCUGCACCAAUUUUCCGCAAGCUCCGAUCAAGCCGAAGGUACCAUUCUUCUCUAAAUCAUCCCCUUUAUAUUCGAAGUUCCAGCAGUUCAGCUGUUAUUUCUUAUUGUUUAGCUGUUAUCUCGUGAGUUUAUGCAUUUUAUGUUGUAUCCGGAGUUUAGAAUGAAGUAAAGAUGAGCUUAGUAAGUUAACUCAGUUGUAUACCCUUCGUUUCCCUUGUAUUCUUGGCAUAUGAAGCGUCAUUCGAGGACGAAUGUUCCCAAAGGGGAGAUAAUGUAAGACCCCAAAAAUUUUCUGUGUCGUUAAAGCCUUCGAAAUGAGUCAAGUUGAUCUCAACACUUAGAAAUUUUAUUAAAUGUUCCAACACUUAGUCAUUCUCUAGCCUAGAAUCUUUGUUUAAUUAUUUCGUGACCUUCCCGACCUUUGUUUCUUGAAAUUUUGGUUGCGUUGCGAUGGGGCAUGGUCGUAGUAUCUUCCGGGUGAGUUUCAGAAUUUUUGGACAUCGUUUAGGGCAUGUUUGGUUUUCAAACCAGUAGCAUCAUGCGAUAUGCAUGCGUCGCAUGGUCCAGUGCGGUGCUAUGGAGCAUACGAUGCAUGCUUCAUUGCGGUGGGAUGGAGCAUGCGACGCAUGGUCCAUCGCACGCCUGGAAAAUUUUCAGCCUUUUUCCCGUCUCAUUAAGGGCACAAUGGUACUUUUCCACUCCCAUAUCUUCUCUAACACGGGAUUAAAUCUCUCAAACCACAAAAUAAUAUCACUUUCACCCAAAUUGACCAGGAACAACACUUAGGAUUUCUAUAAAGAAACCAAGAGAGCUCGUGAUUCAAUUGUGACUUUUUAAAGAUUUUUGGAUAUUCAAAAUCCUUGUUCGAGGGCUACAAGAAGCACAUAACAAUUCCGUGAGUAGUGUGUCGAAGUAGAGAGUUCAUUCUAAGGCUCCAAUCUUGAGGUAUGUGGGGUUAUGAAUAAGAACACCCUUUCGUUCUUGUGCCCAAAAAUAUUUUUCUUUUACGAAGUUAUGGAUUUUAUAUGUUUUAUUAUGAAUUUAAAGCAUGAAUUUAUAUCCUAUAUUGAUUCUCGUGAUAUUAUGACAUUUUUGAUAUUUUAGAAGUGGAAUUAUAUGAGAACAAUGAUAUUUUAUGCUUGAAGCUGAAAAUUUCCAGAUUUUGAAGAAAUUUAUAUACGUUUAUGAUGUAAGGCUUGAAACUUGAUAAGUUUUAAUGUGAUAUUGAGACAUGGGUUUUGAACUCUAUUUGAUAUUGUUGUUUUUGAGAAAUCAUUUGUUAUAAACACCUUGAAUUUGAAUAAUUUGAAAUGAUAAAGAAGCUUUGACCUUUCGAUCGUAAAAAGGGGUUGAUUUUGAACCCGAGAUGAGAAAAGAAAUCUACUUUUAUUGAUUCAUUAAAAAAUGGGUAGCAUGAUGGCUCCCGUUGUGAAUUGUUGAACUGUUUUAUGGUGGAUUUUCUUUUGAAAAGAUCUGAGCUAAAUCUGGAAGUAAUCUUUAGAACCGAGCGGGAGGUAUAGCGGGUUUGGUACUUCCCUAGAACUACGUGCCCCCUUAGGAGCCAGAAUUGAGGCUGAUUUAUAUAGUGAUCACUAGUGUUUGGAUUGAUAAUUUAAGGUCCUACUCCGAUGGCAAGGAAUAGGGCAACUCUCCCCAACAUGGGUAGAACAAUGGAGUCCAUGUAUCUCACAUGGUUUAUGUCGGUUGUGAGAGGCUCCCAAAGUGUGUGUGUACUCUUCCAUCUAAGAUGAAAACAUAUUCGCUUGAAAGACUGAUUUUGAGAAAGUUGUUGUUUUCAAAAGAUUGUAAGGAUAUAUUCUAAAGAGAAUUGUUAUGAGAUUUGAUUGCUUUGAUGAUUUGAAAUCAAGAUGAAAGUGAAUUGAGAACUUAUUAUGAUGACUCACAUGUUUUAACUGAUAUAUCUUACUCUCUUAUGAUUAUGAUGAUUUUAUUUGAGCUAUGUGAGUCACUUGUUAUAGCAUGCAUGAUUUCUAUGAAUACUUGUGAUAUUUGAAUUUUGAAAACUUGCACACACACCCAUAUACUCGGUCCAUAUUUCAUGGUACUGACCCACAUAUUCAUAUGUGGGCUACAUUUUCCCUAUAAUGUAGGUUCAGGUGCUCAGUUCCAGACUUUAAGGUGUUCUUUACUCUGGUGAGUCCUUAUGAUCUGAGGACAUGUUAUUUUAGACAUUCAGUUCACCUUGAUUUGUUAUUUUGCUCUUGAGUUCGAGUCAGUUAGGGCCUGUCCCAAUGGCUCUCUGGUUAUUGAUUAGUAGAGGCUUGUCAGGCCGGAUUUGUCAAACUAGUGGGUUGGAGUUGUUAGACUUUUUGUAUUUUGUUAUUUUCCUAUUUAUUCAUAUUACUUUGAGACUUGGUUAAUAUUAUGCGGUUGGUUGUCAUAAUGAUCUCGAAAUAUGUGUUGAAUGGUAGAAAAUGGCUCAAAGGGUUAGCUUGGAGCUACUUGUAGCCUUAAGCACCGUGUGACGCUUCGGGACUUGUUUUCGGGGCGUUACACUUAUAUAUAUAUAUAUAUGUAUGUGAUUUGAGUUGAUACUUGAAAUUCAGAGCAUGACUCACAUGAAAUCCCUUUCUUGAUGUGAUUGUUUCCAUGUUUCACAUGAUCUGAAUUGUUUUGAAUGCAUCUUGAAAAGCUUGUUACGAAAAGCCUUGAUUUAUGAAUGAUUUGGAUAUGGAUCUUGAAUUCAAAAGAGAGGGUUGUUUGUAUUGACAAAUGUUGAAUAUACAUAUAAUGAAAGAGUGCAUUGUUUUGCCAAAGCACAUGACCACCUUAUGUUUGAAGGAUUCUUGCAUAGUUUUGACUUAUGUUUCAGAACAUGAAAUCUUUUACACUAAUUGCAUGUUUUGGUGGUCUGGACUAUGUUUUAAUGAAAGAUCAUGGUUAUUGCAUUAUGGCUCAGAAAUAGGACUUGUAAGUCUUGGUGUGAUGACACCAAUUCAGAUUAUGCCAUGAUAUUUCAUAAUAGAAUAGAAUGCAUGUUUGAAAUCAGAUCUUUUUAGGUGUUGAAAUUAGAAAAAUGCAUGACUUAGAACAAUAUAAAAUUGGGCAUAAAGAGACUUAUGUUGUUCCCCGAAGAAGGCAUAAGUUCAAAUAACUCAUUGCCCGAAAUCGUGAUUUGUCGAUCCAGGUUAUCAUGUCUCCUAGAGGGAUUGUUACGCUGGCCUAGUGCAUGUGGCAUUAGAAACUCCAACCCUUGCAGCACACUUGGGUUGGGGGCUUCCUCGCCGAGUCAAUGGCGGAUUCCAUAUAGCCCGUGGAAUUUUAUAAUUGUAGGGGUGUUCCACCUAACUCAGAAGUAAUACAAAGAUAAGACAGUGCAUUGACAAAAAUGAUUCUUGAUUUUUAGAAAGUGCCCAUGUGUUUUAGAACUAUUUCAUGAAUGGUAGUUGGUAAAUAGCUCUCCAACUAUUUUAUUUAUAUAAAAGAUUUAUUUUGGAAUACNNNNNNNNNNUGUUUUUGCCCCCCCCCCCCCCCCUCCUUUCUCCCUCCAAGUUCUAAGGCUCUGUCUAGGAGUCCAGAAAGGCAGUAGAUUCAUCCGAUAGAGUUGCAGUGUUUAGUUGGUGAGCCUUCUCUAUUCCAGAAGGCCCGUCUUUCAUAUUAUGUCUCUUAUUAUUAUUUUGGUCUACUGGGGCCCUUGUCCCAGUUUUUAGAAAGUUGUCAAAUUUUCAUGUAGUAGAGAUUUCGCAGACUGAGUCAGAUGUUAUUAGACGUAGUUGAUUUUCAGUUUCCACACUUAUGUUGAAUUUAGAAUUGACCAUGUUCCCGUAGAUGAUUAUGUUUCUUCAUCUUCUUUUAUUAUAUGAAUGUUGUGCAUUGAUUACCAGAUAGAGAAAGGCGUUCAGGGCCCUCAUGGUUCGGGAUGUCCGUCACGGCCAUGCCCUAGUCGGGUCGUGACAUAGGAGGAGCUUGAUUGAAUAGGAAUUGAUUUAACAUGAUUCUUACUUGAAACUUGACUCCAAAAAAAUAUUCGGGAACUACUUUAAUCCAUCAUCUCCCCUUUAGUUCAAAUCCACCCUCCUAGACUUGAGAAUAUAACCUUUCAUCAAUCUAUAACCACAGUUCUCAAUACAAUAGGGGAUAUCAGUAUACACACGAACACAAACUUCCUUCAAGAAUUUUACAUAAAGUCGCUAAAUUCUUUCUAGGUCAUCCCUCUUCAGGGAUACAUUAUUAUGGGCAUGGACAUCCACGCUUCUAAACACUUAACACUCUAUCUUUAACUCCUUAGAAUACUCGCAAUACACCUCUAAUCACAUAACUUACAACUUGAUAAAAUUUGUAAAACCAUACCCAUGGCUCAUAUUGCCUGCCUAUAUUUCCUCAAUUCAAAUCUAACGAACACCGUACAACAACUCACCAGACUUCUCCAUACCACAAUAUCAAGAACACAAACUAGGUACGCAAAAUACUUAUACACAUAAAUGUUGAACUUUUCCUUUUUAAGUAUACUCUAAAGACAUUGCUUUCCAAGAAUGCGACUCGUAAUUUUCACUAUUCUCUAUCGUCAUCAACCUACAACUCGCAGUAUCAUGAGCAUACAUAUCCUCACCCCUUAUCACAUAAAAAUCCACUCUCCACUACUUAACAUUUUAAUAUUAGACUGUUAAUCACAUAACUUAUAUCAUAAAAUCUUACCUAACGCCAUACUACCCGGGGGGGACUUAUUCAUAGAUACUACGCUCUUAUCCACUUAAUAACUCACCCACAAGUCAUCAUUUUAACACUAGUCCUCAUAUAUACAUAUACCUUAUAAUUACCACUUAAACUUUUCAUAAAUUAUCAACCUAGACUCUUUCACAAAUCACAUCAAGCCUACUAAUUCAUUCCCACAAAACAUACAUCAUUAAUCUUAAGCUACUAUUCUUACCACUACAUGCUACAUCUAAAGUUCAAUCCUAUAGUCUAGAAACAAUUAUGUACCACCAAUGAAAUAUGCAACAUCAUUUACUAGUCCAUCAAACUGGGAAAUUCAACCCAAACACCUCUUUCACCUAGAUACUACCUACAAUCAAAUCCCCUACAUGGAUUUACUACUACACCUCAAAAUCUACUACAUACCUUCUCAUCAGCAAUACUAGUUUACAACUACUAGAGAAAAGACAAUCAAGGGAUAAAGUCACAUAAGAAGGAUAGUCGACCUACAUCUUAUAAUACAAACCAUUUCAAUCUUAUCAACAUAUUCUAAUUCCUCACAUCAUAUUUACUUACCCAUCCGUACAUCAAAAUGACCUUCAAAAUUCAAUAAAUAAUAAUGAGUCUUUACCUACAACUUAUUGACUAAUCUAUUCCUCCUCCAUUUAAAACCUAUAACUGAUUUCUAUACCCACCACAACUAUCCAUUCUGAGACCCUUCCCUAUUUUUGAAUAGAUAAUAAUCGCAGCCAAACUCUUCCUCUAUCGAAUACCUUACAAUCUACAAAUAUUACUACCACAUUAGUCUAUCACUAUAAAAUGACAAAUCAUCCCUCAAACAAUGGUUAUACAACUAAAAAUAUUUAUUUACACAAAAGUCACCCUCACUCUGACUUCUAACCUUAUUCAUAUCACCAACUUCUUGGCCCAAUCUCACUACCAAUAGGUCAUAACACUUUAAAAUAUACUACUACUUGGGUGAAAAUACAGUUCCAACAUUUUUCUACACAUCACUCCCCUUAUGCAUGACAUCUAUAACAAGAAUUUUGAAAGGGACUGGACACACUUAUUACCUCAGGUUAAAAAGCACAAUUUCAUCAGGAUCAAAGUUUACACUAGAAUCAAUACACCUUGAAGCACCAACUGACUCCUCUCAACUCCUAGCACAAUUUUAUAAUCUUUUAUAACUCAAUCAGAAAAGGACCACAUCAUUUGCAUUCUAAGCUUUUGUACUUGAAUCACCUCAAAAAUAAGAUAUGUAUAAGAACAUCAGAGUAAGAAAAGAAUUAGGAUAGCUUUACUUUCAUAUAGAUGAUGCCAUAGCAAGAACUAGAGUAUGAAAGAGGAAUAUUCUGACUCCAUAGAAUGAACAAGAACAUAAAGAAAGAGAAACAUUCUUAAAUGCCUUAUAGCCUCCUACUUAUAAGUGUGGCGCGCUGUAACGCCCUGAAAAUGGGUUCCGAGAUGUCAUACGGUGCUUAGGGUUACAAGUGACCCCAAGAUAACCCUUCUACUAGCAUAACUCAUAAGCAACUGAAUAAAAAGUAUAAAUCUAUACAAAUUAGCGAAAAAUAACUCUUUUCUGAAUCUGAUCAAUACAAAACUGAAUUUAUAAGAUUACAACUCUGCUUUUACAAAUAAAAUUGAAAGUGAAUACAUCAACUUCUACUAAAUGUCUAUGAAGACUCUACUAGUACUGACUAUAGGUAGCCAGAUCAUGACUCCCAACAAUCUCAACUCAAUACGACUGAAUAAAGAAAAUACAAUACUUCUCAAACUGUAUAACUAACUCAAGCCCUUGAAUCAAAAGGACUCAUCACCAGCUGACUGGAAGCUACAAACUGACUGAACAUAGUACGUGUGCUACAACUUGUACCUACAUUAUGAGACAAUGUAGCACAUAGUCAUAUAUGGAUCAGUACUUUGAGGAUGUACUGAGUAUAUGGGGGUGUAUGCAAUUAAAUAAUCAAUAUUAUAAAUCCUUAUAGAAAACAUGUAUACUAGUACAGAUGACUCACAUAGUCUGAAUUAAAACCAUCAUAAUCACGAAUAAGAAAAUAGGUAAUGUAAAUCACGUGAGUCAUUGCACUUCAUUCUAAAUCUGCAUUCUUUGUUUGUUCUCAAACUUAUAGGAUAGAUAAAGUCUUAAAAACAACAUCUUUCAGAACAUACACUUUAAUCUCAUGAAAUCUAGGAACUUCUUUGGAAACUUAAAGAUUUGGACACUUAAGAACCUUAGAAAUCUUGGACUCAUAGCUUUCAAAAUACAUAUACCUUUAUCUUAGAUAGAGUGGGGGACUAAUUUGGGAGUUUAUUCUAAACGACAUAAACCAUUUGAGCUACAUGGAGUCCAACAUCUUGCCCACGUUGGGGAAAGCUGUUCUAUUCUUUCCAUCGGAGUAGAACCUUUAACUUUUAGUGAUCACUAGCUUAACCCACUUAGGGUAAAUCAAAUCCUACGGUGGCUCGUAGUUCUGGGGCAUGAGAUCUUGGAAUCAAGCCCAACUCGGUGCUAAAUACUACUCCCUUACUUAAGCUCAGACUUUUAGGAAAAUCCACCUUAAAAAACACAAAAGUAUGUAAUGGAAGCCAACUGUGCUUUCCUUUAACUUAAAUCAAAAUGGUGUGGAUUCCUUUCUUAGCUUAGGAUCAAAAUCAACUCUUUUCUUGAAAUCUUGGUAGACUUAGCAUGAAUAAGCUUUAAAGUCUCAAUAACAUAGAAAUGUAAGUACUUUUCUUGAAACACUUUAAAGAGUAUCAAUAAUUCAUUCUCAAAGACUCACAAUUUCACAAUAAGGCUCAAUUCAUGACAACAAAUCUUGAAAAUUCUUAAAAAUAUGAUAUCAAUAUAUGAAUGUGCAAUUUAUAUCAUGAACUCUCAAUUUAGAUCAUAAUUUAACAAGAUAAUCAUGCAAUUCAAGACUUGAACAAUUUCAUAAUCUCAAAACUUGAAAUAUAGCAAAAUAAUAUGAAUUCAUCUCAGAAAUAUGGAUUUCUUUAAGAAAAACUAAAACUUUUGGGCACAAGAACAAAAGGGUGUUCUUGUUCAAACCCCACAUACCUUGGAUUAGGAACUUGAAUGAACUCUUGCUUUUGGGUUGCUAUUUGUACCUUUGAACGGAUGUUCUUGAUGCUCUUGGGGAUUCCGAUUUUUGAAUCAAUUCCAAAAUUUGACAGUUAAAUCUUGAGUUCUCUUAAACUUUGGGUUGAAACCCUAAGGUGUGUUCUUGAGAGAAUUUUAGAGAAUGAGGGAAUAAUUUGUUUAUUAGAGGUUGAAUCUCAUGUUAUUGGGGCUAUUUAAGGGUGGGAAAUGACCCAACUACCCCUCUUGGAUGCGGAGCUUGACUGCAGGAAAUUACACUAGCCGGAAUAGGCAGGGCGUCGCCUCACUUAUCGCCUCAUCUUACAACCUCUCAAGAAAAUGGCUAUAACUUUUCUCUUAGGUAUCGGAUUUUGGAAAAAUUGGUAUCAUUGGAAAUCUAAUUCGACUAUAUACAAUUUGGUAGGUCUUUGAGAUGAAAAAUUUCAUAUAUAUAAUAAGUUAUACACGUUUAAAGUAGACCCUUGUAGAACGAAUAUCAACUUUGGAUGAAUCAAAUGAUCUUAGCUCAACUUUGUUCUAAGUCAUUGCUAUGAACCUUUUUCACCUCCAAACCACUUCAUAGACUAGGAUAAUGAUCAUGAAACUUGUAUUCACAUAAGAAUCACUUGGAUUGGAGCUUAUACACAUAGGAACGAUGGUUCAAAAACUAGUCUGAAAAUGCAGGGUAUUACAUUAUCUUCCCCUUGGGAACAUUCGUCCUCGAAUGUGGAUAAUUAAGCGAAAACACAGAGGAAUAUUAGUCUUUAUGUAUCAUGUACAACUAAUAUAAACAAAAUCACCAAAUCUCAAACAUAAUGAGCUACUCAACUGAUCCGCAAGUGCAUGAAUUCUCAUGAAAAUAGCUAUAUGGCUAAGAUAGGAACGAGAGUAUCAACUUAUGAGUAACCAUUACUUUGCGCUGGAUAUGAUCUCAUGAGAAAAAAAUGAGAGUUUUAUGACAUGAAAACUCGGGGUAUUACAACAUCCCCCUCUUGGGAUUGUUCGUCCCCGAAUGAUAAUGAUUUGAUUUAAAAACCAGGAAAAAACUGAGAUGAUACACAUGAUACUUACAGACUGCAUCAUACUGGAUUCUUACACCCAAAUAGAGUAUUUAUUCAACACCUUUCUAAGAAAUUUCUAAUGCAAUUGGGGAGUAAAGAACUUUGGGCAUGAUCUGAAUAAAACAUCUGAAUAAGGAAUUACAACAUUGCUACCCCUCUGUGGCCUGGAACAUAGACCCAUAAAUCAUAAGCUAGGAUAGAAUUUAUAGGCCUUAGAAAUUCUUCUUCUUACUUUCAAGCUUAGCAACACUUCUCAAAUGCUUCCUCGACUAUGCUAUUCCCCUUAAACAUCACACUCACUUGAUUUAAAUUAAAGUUUUCAUAUGGCAUUGAUGAAUCCAUCUGCUAAAGUCUAAACUGAACUAGAUCCCUUUAUCAUGGUAAGGCCUAACUCAAAACCACAAGGUGCUACAUGUAACUCCACUCCAUAAUACAAACCUUAUCCAUGAAUUCAAUACUCCGAGCACUAUCAUAACUACUUACUCUAGGAUGAUUUUCCUCAUCACUUUAACAGCUAAAUUGAACCUCUUACAUACCGACAUGACAUUCAAGCCUAUUUGCAUAUCCACAUCUACACCAUUCAAUUCUUCGGAAGACACACAUAAACUAUUCUCAACUAAACAAAUCAUACACAGGACUUUACCUCAAUAUUCUCCACUCAAGGACUCACAUAAAACAAGCAUACAACAAUAUUUCCCAACAUGACACAAUUACUUUUUUCCAUCUACACAAUCAUUCAUCAUCACUAUUUUGAUCUAAGGGAAGGUCACUGAAAGGUUGGAAUAUCGGGAUCCGGAACAUGAAAGGAUACUAAGAAUAACUUAACACCUUACUGAGGCCUGAGGAAUAGAGCAUUCACGGCAUGGAUUCAUUAAAGAGAUCUAAUUGAGGACGUACCUAGUAUAAAUCUGAAUUUCACUGAUCGUUAAGAGUGUUGCAUGGGUACAUGAGUCAGGAGCUGUAUGACCUAAAUUUUGGAAUUCAUAACUUCUCAAAGGUGAUUCCGACUGCUGAAUGAACUGGAACUCCUCAUACUAGUAACUGGGAGAGUACAUGAUUCUCUAUUAUGCGCAUGAACAUGAACUAUGAUUAUUGAGCUAAUACGCAAGUCAUGAGUAGAUAUUAGAAUAACUAAAAUACCCACACUGAAAUAAAAAUGGGUUAAGCCUCAUCCUCAUUCUCUUGAUGUUUCUAUACUACACUGGCAUCUCUACUAAAAGCGGGAAGUGACUUUGUCACUCAUUCUAUCAUCUCCCCCUUAGCUUUAAGCCACCAUUCUAAAUCUGUGGAACCCCUUAAUCAAAAGCUUCCUUAGAGUAACAAUGGGGAAUCUAGACUUCUUGGAGAAGGAGGAGCUUUGGAGCUCUUAGGGUAUUACUUGAGAGAAAAGUAAUGAAAACAUGCCUAAUGUUCUUAGAAUAGGCUUUAAUCUUGUGUUUGGAUGGAUUGGGUAUAGGAAAAGACUCUUUUGCCCUUAAUGAGAUAGAGUGGAAUGCUGAAAAUUUUCCCUAGCCGAACUAGCCAGGGCGCCGCGGAGGCUAGUCCACCGAACUAGGAAGGGCGCCGCCUUGCCCAUCGCGGUGACCCCCAGAUACCAAACUAAGCAAGGCGUCGUGGGCUAAUCACCCUAGCUUACUGUUUUGCUACCCCAAACAUUCCCUUACUCUCGUCCAAAAAUUCCAAAACUCACCCGAGAUGUACUCUUGACUUGCCACAUCAUGAAUCAACAAAACAAAUUAACAAAUAGAGGUCGGGAAAAUCGAAAAUAAAUUCCUCAAAAUUUAAAGGUCCUAAAAAUGAGUAAGUCCCAACAAUUGGCCAAAUUUUCUAAGUGUGAUACCUCUCUUGACAUGCUCUAAUGGUCUUAGACAAUGAGGGAACUUUUUGGGGUCUUACAAUACACAUAAAUAGUAGAACUUAACCCAAAGGACUACACCUGAAAGUGUAAAACUCUCUGCUAAUGCUCCCUUCAUAGUCUACUAAUACCACAUCUCUAAACUUACACAAGCAUACCCAACAUCAUCAACCUAUAACCCAUAUGCUAACUGACAAGAACCUUGUAUACCAUAUCACCUUAUUCAUACUUAUCAAUUCAAGGGUACAACUAACCACACAACACUUAACAAAUUUCGAAAAUAAGGAAGCCCCAUAUCUCCUUGGGCACACCUCUACAUCAUACCUGUAACAUCGUACUAAAUUUUGAAUAAAUAAACUUAAACUUUUGCAUGUACUGUUCAAGCCCACUAGAUUACUUUCAUACAACUAGCUGCACUAACCAAGAAAUCUGUACAUCCACCUUGAUGACCAUCCAUUGUUCAAACUUAAGGUCUAGUUCUAAGCAUGAUUUAACAACCCACCUUGCACACAAUUCUCACUUAGAAACUAUAGAACAUAGCAUUAAGCAACACAAGUAUGCUAGAACCCCAUAAAAUGACAAUCGAUUAUAAUCAUAUGGCCUAUCUUAUUCACAAUCUGUUAACACAUCCUCCUUCUAGACAUCAUUACUAUUUACCUAUCUAUACACCUAAACUUCUUUCAUAACUCUAUAAGUUUCAACUAAACUCCCUCUUGUAACCUCAACGAAUCCUAAAUUAACAACACUCAUCCACCAAGUACUUUCACCGAUAACCUGUACUUUUCUAGAACAACAAACACCAUCAACAACUCUUUUCAUACUUCAAGCAAAUAACAAUUCUCCUUAACUAAUAACUCCUUCUCUAUCUUUCACUAAACUAACAAACAAGGAUAUAUCACUUCAUUACUAACUCAAUCAUAAGCGAAAAUUUAGCUAUACAUAUAUAUUCAAUAAAAUGCCCUUAACACUCUUCUAUCAUUACACCUCUAGACCCCCAUUUCCAACCAACACAAGAAUAAUAAGAUGAACAAAAGGUUGUUAGUGAAUCAAAAUAGGCCUCACACGGCUUCACUAGACUUAGGUUUUGUAUUUUGAACAAGAAAAUGAGAUGAACAACAAAGAAACUAUGCUAGUGAAUCGAAAGAGUCCCAUACCGCUUCACUAGACUUUGAUUUUUCAAAACCACAAUGAUAACAAGAUUACAUAAUACAAGAGCUAGAAACUUGACAUACAAUAUUCAAUGAUGUAAGAAUACACAUCUUAAUCUUUCUUAAUUGAAUGACUUAUAAUAAUUAGGACAUAACUUUCAACUUAUGGAACUUAACACACUAGAGAGCUCCUCUCAAUCCCUUUGUGUAACUUCUGAAACUUUUGUGAGCAAAUAUAAGAGCAUUAUCUAGGAAGGAACUAGAACUUGUUGAUCAUGUUAUCUCAAGAAUAAUACAUAGAUGAGGAAGAUUUUGGGUAACACACGAAUAGAAAGGAGAUUCUGAGAGAACAACUUUACUACAUGAUCUAGAGUAGGAAAGAAAGAAAGGAAAAUUUUAUUAAAUGCCCUGCAGCCUCUCAAAGAAAAGUACAGACGUCUUUGUACCUUUCUGCAAGACUCUAUAGACACAGGUUCAUAGACACCCUAGGAAACUUGAACUCUGUGCUUUGAUACCAAGUUUGUAACACCCCAAAAAUGGGUUCCGAGAUAUCACACGGUGCUUAGGGUCACAAGUGACCCCAACCUAACCCUUCUACUGGCAAAACUCAUAAGCAACUGAAUAAAAAGUAUAAAUCUGUACAAAUUAGCGAAAAAUAACUCUUUUCUGAAUCUGAUCAAUACAAAACUGAAUUUACAAUAUUACAACUCUGCUUUUACAAACAAAACUAAAACUGAAUACAUCAACUUCUACUGAAUAUCUAUGAAGCCUCUACUAGUACUAACUAUAGGUAGCCGGGUCAUGACUCCCAACUAUCCCAACUCAAUACGACUGAAUAAAGAAAAUACAAUACUUCUCAAGAUGUAUAACUAACUCAAGCCCUUGAAUCAAAAGGACUUAUCACCUGCUGACUGGAAGUUGCAAACUGACUGAAUAUGGUAUGUGUGCAACAACUUGUACCUACAUUAUGAGACAAUUUAGCACAUACACAUAUAUGUGGAUUAGUACUUUGAGGAUGUACUGAAUAUAUGGGGGUGUAUGCAAUUAAAUAAUCAAUAUCAUAAAUCCUUAUAGAAAACAUACAUGCUAGUACAGAUGACUCACAUAGCUUAAAUUAAAAUCAUCAUAAUUAUGAAUAAGAAAAUAGGUAAUGUAAAUCACGUGAGUCAUUGCACUUCAUUUUAAAUCUGCAUUCCUUCUUUGUUCUCAAACUUAUAGGAUAGAUAAAGUCUUAAAAACAACAUCUUUCAGAACAUUCACUUUAAUCUCAUGAAAACUAGGAACUUCUUUGGAAACUUAAAGAUUUUGACACUUGAGAACCUUAGAAAUCUUGGAAUCAUAGCUUUUGAAAUACAUAUACCUUUAUCUUAGAUAGAGUGGGGGACUACUUUGGGAGUUUCUUCUAAACGACAUAAACUAUGUGAGCUACAUGGAGUCCAACAUCUUGCCCACAUUGGGGAGAGAUGUUCUAUCCUUGCCAUCAGAGUAGAACCUUUAAAUUUUAGUGAUCACUAGCUUAACCCACUUGGGUAAAUUAAAUCCUAGGGUGGCUCGUAGUUCUGGGACAUGAGACCUUGGAAUCAAGCCCAACUCGGUGCUAAAUACUACUCCCUUCUUAAGCUCAUACUUUUAGGAAAAUCCACCUUAAACAACUCAAAAGUAUGUAAUGGAGGCCAAUUAUGCUUUCCUUUAACUUAAAUCAAAAUGGUGUGGAUUCCUUUCUUAGCUUAGGAUCAAAAUCAACUCUUUUCUUGAAAUCUGGGUAGACUUAGCAUGAAUAAGCUUUAAAGUAUCAAUAACAUGGAAAUUUAAGUACUUUUAUUGAAACACUUUAAAGAGUAUCAAUAAUUCAUUCUGAUGACGAAUGUAAUUUUAGUCCGCCCAGGUUGCUUCCUCAGGGCUAAAAUUAGUCCAAUAGACCAAAACCUUUACUGCAGCAAUGUUGUGCUCCUUUACCAUGCGAAACUGAAGAAUGGACAAUGGUUGCACAAUGACUAUACCUUCAUCAUCACAGAUUAAGUCCUGACAGUGUGGUACAACAGAAAGACCAAUGCAAUGUUUCAGCUACGAAACAUGCUAAACAGGGUGGAUUCUGGAUCCAGCAGGAAAUUCCAAAUGGUACGCUACUGCACCAAUUCUCUGCAAGAUCUUGUAGGGUCCGUAGUAGCGAGCACUCAAUUUCAAAUUUUGUCAAAUAGCUAAUGUAAGUCUGGCGGUAAGGCUGGAGUUUGAGAUAGACUAAGUCACCCUCCUGGAGCACACGUUCUGAUCUAUUUUGAUAGGCAUAAAACUUCAUACGUGAUUGAGCCUGAACAAGAUUGUCCUUCUGAUACAAGGAGACCAAGGAAUACAAGAAAAGGCUCAAAAUAGUCCAUAAAUUAAGAGGAAUUCGAGGACCCCUUUGAGAGCUAGUUUCGGCCAAACAACAACACAAGAAUACAAGGAAACAAGGUAUAUUUAUACACCAAAACAUCCACUAAAAUGUGAUAAACACAAGAAGAUAGACAAUAAUAUGAUAAGGAUAAUACCAACUACAAAUGGUUACAAGAUACAUGAACAACAAGAACCAAUGGUUUCCCUAAACAACACUAACUAAGACAUGAAAUGUAGAGAUAGAUAGUGAGAUAUACACUACAAUAAAACCCAAGAACCCAAAGAUAUAUUAAAUCUAAGGAGCCCUAUAACUUAUGAUAGCAACACCAUAUUCUUAUGAAGACACGAGAGGGAUUCCAACGCUCAAGCACCAUCAUUUUCAAGCAAUACACAUUUACAAGUGAUUUCACACUUGCCAUGUCCUAGUUUCGGCCUAGGGAGGCUCUCUGUCUCAAGAGAAGUAUUCUUGUUCUUUCAAUAUCAUCAGACAACUAACUAAAAGAAAACCCUAACAUCUUCCUUAUAUAGUUAUUACAAAAUGAAAUACAAAAUAUCCAUAAUACACCUCAAGGGUGAGGCACCCCUCAUGUGUAAGAGUGGACUGAUUUUUGGUGUGUUUUGGACCUCUUCUAUACUUCAAUUUCACACACCAAGUCUCGGGACCAACGCGCACCCUUAUAAGUCCAUAUACGUGAUUAUUCUUGUAUCACCUUUAUAGAGUGAAAGUGUUAUUGUCAGUGAGUCAAGUACAUCCCAGCUUGGGAUUAGGUAGGAUAUGGAAGGGGCCCCAGUGAAAUGUGAGGUGGGGGGAACCCGUAUAAUGCCUGAAAAAAGUGGUAUUGAGAGCAGUAUGGUGGUUAGUGUUGUACCACCACUCAUCUAGUAGUAUACAGGUGGUCCACUAUUUAAGAUUGUUAGAGGUCAUAGCCCGUAAGUAGAAGUCAAGACAUCAGUUUAAAUGCUCCGUUUGACUAUCGAUCUAGGGUAGUAGGAGGUUGAUAGUUUGAGUUGAGUGCCCAUAGAUUUAAAGAGAGUUUGACAGAAUUAGCUAUUAAAAAUGGGUCACGAUCAGACACGAUACUCUGUGGAAGUCCAUGUAACUUGUAAACUGAUGUUGGGUGUAUUUAUACACUUUAGUGUUGUUAUCCUAACUUAUUUAGUCUUAUUUUUAGGACAAUUCGUGUUCUUUAUAUGUUGAUAUAAAUAAGAAUCUAAGUGUUAAAGUAUGUAAUUACAAUGUUCAAAGGUGUUUUCAAACAAGUUUGGAUUUAAAUUGAUCAUUUAGAGUCUAGACGAGAAAACUAGUUUACUAGCUUGAGCUAGGUGUUGUUUUGGUUGUUUUUUUAUAGAUUCUAGUGGGUGUAUUGAGUUCCUAAGGUUAUUAUUGUGUAAUUAUAUCUGGAAAAACUUGUUUGUAAUGUGAAAAUUUCAAUUGGAUCGAGUCAAGAGUCAAAAUAAUAAGUUAAAGAUCAAUGUGGACAAGCCUAGUCAUAGAUCAUGUUUUAGUUAAUCGUUGUGAAUGUUGUGUUGUUUUGAGCUCUAAUAUUUGGUGUUUGAUUAUGUAUUAUGCUUUAUGAUUUGAUUAUGGUGAUAUAUUGAUGAAAUACAAGCCGUAAACUAAAGGAAAACAAUACCAAAAGGCAAGGGAUGAAAGGAGAAACACUUAGAAGAAUAUAGGCAUCAAGAGGCAAUUUCCAGUGAGCCUACGCAUUUGGGCUGCGACGCACCACUCCCUCCAUGAGAUAUCCAAAGCCCCAUGCUAAUAUAUCCAUAAGAUAUAUAAGGCUUCACAUGGCUUAUCCCACAAGCAGCCACCAAUGCAACGCAGACCAUUUCCCACGCACAGCCAAAUUGGUCUCUUAUAAAUAGGACUUAUUGCACUUAUUCUAAUGAUUUUUGGACGUCUUUAGGAGCUUGAGAAAGCUUUUGCACAUGUUUUUUGAGGGUUUAUAUUAUUUAACUCAUAUUUUUAAUAGAUUUAAUCAUGUAUUCAAAUUUUUGGAUUACGAUUAUGUCGAUUCAUGUCUAAAUGCCCCCUUUCCGGGGUUAAGGCCAAGAACAUGUUUGCUAUCAUUAUGAAUUGAGUUUAUUUGGAUUGAUUAUUAUAUUUGGUUGUUUUUUCAUCCUUGUUUUAACUAUUUUUAGGAUUCAUAACCAUUAGAAUAUAUCUAUUGUCGACCUUGUGAUCUUGGGAGGGGGAAUUGGAAGAUAGAACGUGGGGAUGAAUAGAGUAAGGUUCUUAUUCUUUUAUAAAAUAAGGAAUUUGAAUUAGCAUAUAGGACAGGGAUGGACCUAGAAGCCUUGCUUAGUUCACAUGUAGGAUGGUAGCUUUAAUCACUUAAUUAGAUUAUUACAUCCCCGCUCAAUGAUGUAGUUGUAAUGUCCAAGUUAGGUAGACGAUUAGCGGUUGAGAGACCAUGAUUAUGUGAUAACCCUACAAAUCAAUAACCAAGAUAAGAAAUCUAACAAAUGAAGUUCAAUAGCAUAGUAAGAUUUUUCGAAGUGCCUUAACCCUGGUCUUUCCUCCAUUGAUUGUCUCAAGCCUUUACUUUAUGCAUUGUUUACUUUAAUUUUAGUUUAUCAAUUUCAAAAUUCUUUUGGUUACGCCUGCAGUAAGUUAAUUUUAAUAGUGAAUUAGAAUUUGAUAGUUGCAUAACACUAGCCCCUGUGGGAUCGAUACUUGGCUUAUGAAAAGGCCACUAUAUUACUUGGUGAGCCACGUAGACUUGUAUGUGUGCUUGGGCGCAACAUUAACCUCUCUCAUGAAUAAAUCAGUCACAUCUUGAGCAGUGUAAGGAUGUUUAAGGGAAAGAAGUGAAUACUUGGUUAGUCGAUCAAAUACAACUAAGACAACAUUUUUAUGACCUGAAACUGGAAGACCCUCUAUAAAGUCCAUGGCUAUGUCAUGCCAAGAAAGCUCAGGGAUGGAUAAGGGUUGAAGAAGACUGGGGGUGAGGACACUUUCUAUUUUGGCCUUCUAACAGGUAUCGCAUUCCGAGACCCACUGAAUAAUAUCAUCCUUCAUAUUAGGCUAAUAGAACACCCGCUUGACCCUUCGAUAAGCCCUUUGUUGGCCAGAAUGUCCUCUUAGGGGGAGAGAUAUAAGGCCUGGAAAAUGUUGAGCCUCAAAUUAGUGCCUUUACCUACAUAAAUUCUAUGAUCAUACCAGAUAACUCCUUGACAUAAUGAAUAGUGAGGCUUGGAUCCAGGUAGAGUAAUAAGUUCUAUCAAUAAUUGAGCUGCAACAGGAUCAAGGUCAUAGCUCAAACUUACUUCCUGCAUCCAUGUAGGCUCAACGGAAGAAAUAGCAUGACAUUCAGCAACUUUAUCUCCUCUUCUAGAUAGGGCAACUGCAACUCUGUUCUCAGUGCCCUUUUUAUACUACACCUCAUAGUCUAAUCCAAGGAGCUUGGUCAAUCCCUUUUGUUGUAGUAUAGUAUGCAGCCUUUUAUCUAGAAAAUAUUUCAGGCUAUGGAGGUCGAUUUUUAUGAUAAAGUGAGCCCCUUGGAGGUAAUUUCUUCGUCUGCCAAUAGCCGAUAAAACAUCCAGGAAUUCCUUCUCAUAAGUAGAUAGUCCUAAGUGUUUAAGAGAUAUGGCCUUGCUAAAAAAAGCUAAAGGCUUGUUUUCUUGCAUAAGAACAGCUCCUAUACCUGUAGAACAUGCAUUAUCUCUACCACAAAGACCUUAGAGAAAUUGGUUAAAGAUAUAACUGGAGCAGAUAGCAUAGCUUGCUUCAGAAGUAGAAAAGCAGUGUCAGCUGAUGUAUCCCAAUGGAAGGCAUUCUUUAUCAUCAAAUUGGUGAGUAGUCUACUGAUUGUUUCAUAAGAUCUAAUAAACCUCCUGUAGUAACCUCUUAGGCCUAAUAAACCCAUCAAUGCCUUGAUUUUUUUGGGAAGGGGCCAACUUGCCAUAGCUUCUACCUUAGCAGGGUCAGUACCCACCCCUUCCUAUGUGAUGAUUUGACCCAAAUACUCAAUCUUCGCUUGAUCAAAGAACACUUGGAUAGCUUAGCAAAUAAUUGUUCUCUCUUCAGGAUUGCAAGUACCUUAUUGAGAUGAAGGACGUGGUCCUGAAGUGAUGCACUAUAGAUUAGUAUAUCGUUAAAGAACACAAGAACAAAUUUUCUUUAGUAGGGGUUGGACACCUGAUUCAUAAAGGAUUGAAAGGUAGCAGGAGCAUUAGUUAAGCCAAAGGGCAUGACCUUGAAUUCGUUGUGCCCUUGAUGUGUUCUAAAUGCAGUUUUAGGAAUGUCCUCAAUACAUAUCCUAAUUUGAUUAUAACCAGCCUUUAAAUCAAUUUUGGAGUAAAUGCAAGAACCAUUCAGUUCAUCCAUCAAAUCAUCCACUAAAGGAAUGGGAAACUUAUCUUUGAUGGUCAUGUUAUUCAAGUCUCUAUAGUCUAUGCAAAAUCUCCAACUCCCAUUAUUUUUCUUCAUAAGUAACACCGGGGAAGAGAUAAUGGAAUGGCUGGGCUGAAUUAAACCAUUAUUAAGCAUUUUAUUAACUUGUUUUUCAAUUUUAUUUUUAUGAAAGAAGUUGUAUCUGUAAGGUCUGAUACUAAUAGGAAAUGCAUUUGGUUAUAGGGGAAUGUGGUGAUCAUGGCUUCUAGAAGGUGGCAGUGUCAUGGGCUCAGCAAAUACAUUAGGAAAUUCUUGCAACACAAGGCUAACCUCUACAGGUAUCGAUUGCAUUUUCUUCUCCAACCUCUAUAGCUGAUAAGGUAAAACGGUGGGACCAAACAGUCUGUCCUUUCUUCAGUAACUGUUUGACCCCUUUAACAAACAUACUCUUCAACUUUCCUUGAUGGUAGAUCCCCCUCAAUUCUACCCUCUUACCCAAAUGAGUAACCUAGAUUUUUUAGUCCACAAAAUCCAACAGAAUUGGAUUGUGCACCUUUAUCCAAUCACCUCCAAAUACCAUAUUAUUACCACCCAACCUCAGGAUUCUUAUGGACUCUUCAAACUCCACUUCAUGAAUUUUCCACUUAAACUUGUAGAAAGUGUGCCAACUCUUAUGACUCUCAUAGGAACAACUCGAGUAAUAGGGUAAUCGAUCUUCUUUGCUGUUUCCUGAUCCAAAAAAAUAUGUAUACUACCCGAGUCAACCAAAAUGGUUAGAUUGUUCUUCUUAGCUUCCCCUCUUAAUUUAAUGGUGUUAAGCAUCUCUACACAAGACAAGGCAUUCAAACUUAUGGCUUCAUCCAUAAUUUCCCAUUCUUGUAAUUGAUUUCCCUCUAAUGUCACAUCUUCAAUCUCUUCUUCUUUAGGUAAGUUAGUAGUAGCAGUCAUGGUAUUAAGUUGCUUGGACUGGCAUUGAUGGCCAACAAAAUAUUUCUCUCCACAUCUAUAGCAUAAGCCUUGUGUUUUUUGAAGCUCAAAUAGUUGUUGGUCUGAGUGGUCCCAUUAGCCCUUGCCCCUUUAUUAGUCUGAACUAGGUUGGAAUUUGGAAUUUGGGGGGAAUUAGUUGUCCAUGUUCCCCUUCCCCAACCAUUCCUAUUCUUCUUGAUCAAGGACUCCAUCACCUUCUCUUGAUGUCUAGCUUCUGCUGCUGCUUGACUCAAGGUAUAUGGGUUCAGCAUCCUGACAGUUUGCCUUAUCUCUUCCUUGAACCCUUCUAUAAAGAACUUUAAAAAAAAUCCUCAGGGAUAGUAGGGUUUGGAUAAAAACCCAGGCGUUCAAGUCCUCAAAGCAUUCCAAAUACUCGUUGACAGUCCCAGUUUGUGAAAUUUUCUUGAAUUCCCCAGUUAAAUUGAACUUACUACUAUAAACAUCUUGAAACCCUUUGCACAAUUCCUUGGAGAACUCUUGCAAAGUGACUCCACCUCUACUCAACUACAAGAAGUACCACGACUCUGCCCUCCCCGUCAAAUGUAGGACUACUUUAUCUAAUUUUUGCAUUGGAUUUGUGAUAUGAUUAUAAUCAUAAUACCUCUUACACCUACAUAGCCAUGAACAAGGAUUAGCUACAGGGGUGCCAUCAAAAUAGGGAAACUCAAUCUUGGAACUGUAAUGAUUAUAUUGGGGUCUCUCCAUCGUUAUAUUUGGGCAUACAUGAUCACUCCGUUGUAUGCAACUAGGCGCAUUUACAACUGAUGGGUGCACUACUGGUGUACUACCCAACACUCCAGGUUGGGUUGGAAGCAUCUUCUCUAGCAACAUAUCAAAUUUCAUAGCUAGAUCAUCCAGUUUUGCAUCUGUAACCAUUGAUUUUUUAGUUGAUUCCGCCAUGAAUCCUUGUAAUUGAGACUCUAAUUUUCUGCAUUUUUCUCCAUGGGUUUGGCCUUAGUUUUUGUAACCGUCAUUAUUGUGUUUGUGUUGUACCCUCAGGUGCCAAGAGUGGAUCUGAUACCAAUUGUUAUGUCCCUUAAAUUGUAAUUGAAUCGCUAGAGAAAAAUUGAAGAUUCAAUCAAACAGAAUUGGGAUUUUAUUGAUAAUAGUUCAGUACAAUUGUUACAAUAGUAUCCACUACUACAAGAUUACUGCGAAUCAAACUCCAUUGAUAAGAUUCUAGCUUUGUAACCUGUAAUAGUGCAUUAAUAGUGAGAAGGAAUUAGUCGAGGGAGAAGGAAAAGGGAAAAAAAAGAGCAACAAAGUAACAACUAGUCCAAAUCUGCAUAGGCUCAGCUCCACUUGUGUUGAUAUAACCGCUUGGACCUGAUCUAGCUGUCACCCAUCAUCUGGACGUUCAUCAUUUUAUGAAAGAUCCAUUGCAUCUGUUUAUUUUGUCUCAUCCCAUGGCUUCCACAUGGACACAUGACCUAAGCUGUGCCACCUAAUCACUUAACAUAUAAUCCUACGCUACUUUCCAAAUUCACACUUACUUUCCCAAUUCACACUUUAGGAUCUAAUAUAGAUAUAUCAAAAUCAACCUAUAAAUUACAAUAGAUAAUAUCUCAAUCCAGUCAAUAUGGAAAAUUCUUUUAUGCCAAAACAAACCAGCAUAUGCAAUAGUAUAUCCAAAUCUGAUCCAUCUUCUUACUCCCAUCCUUCAAAGUUUCAUCAUUAUCACCUUUUUCAUUAUCCUGCACUUGAAAAGACUAUACACAAUGGUCAUUUAAAAGCAUAUAUUAUAAUCCUCAGGUAAAUCAAGAAAUGUCCAAAACAGUUGGACUUAAAGUAAUUCUUCAAUUUUUCAUCUCUCAAUGUCUUUCUAAAACCAUCAAAAUAUUUAUUCAUGAUUGAUUUAACAACAAAAUUAUCAAUCAAAUCUGUAGGGUUAUCUAUAGACUUCUUCAAUUGAAACUUGUCAAUACUAAAGGUUUUGAUAAGAUUUUAUUCGUUUUUUGAGCUACGUUCAUAAUUGAUCAACGAUGCCUCAACAUCAUCAUCAAUAUUAUCAUAAGUUCAUUCCUCUUCAUCCCCUCUUUCAUUUUCCUCUUCAGCAUUUUUCCCACUUUCAGCAUCAUCUCCUUUCUCACUUUUCUUUUCAUCUUCUUCCUUCUCACCCUCGUUUAUCCCUUUUUUCAUCAUCUCCAUCCUUACCAUCUCGAUCUUCUUCCUCAUUUUUAUUUUCAUCUUCCUCCUCUAGAUCGGUAGAUCUUUCAACUGAUGCUCUUUCAAUAUCUUCUUCAUUAUCUCUUGCCACAUCUUCAUUCUUUUUCUAUGGUAACACUUCAUUUGUUUGUGAAAGAACUUGUUCUGCAAGUUCUUCUAAUGGUGUUUCUAAUUUAGCUAUAUUACUUGAUAUAUCAGAAGUUGAUCCACUUUUCUUUUUUUUAGGAGUCAUUUUAUCUACAAAUAAGAGAAAAACAAUAAAAUUACAAUUAAUUUGUGCACCAUUAAAAAAAAAGGUAACAAAUUUAAUAAAUAAAACACAUGGAACAACAAAUGAUAUAGUUAGUUCCAACAGAUGCUUAAUGUGCUCCAACAGAUUCUUAUUCUUUGCAACAUAUACACAUCUGUUGGAUAACAUUUUUAUCAUCCAUAUAUAUCAACAAAAACACCAACAACAACAAGCUAUAUCGCACCACCAACAACAACAACAAGCUAUAUCACCUCUUGAACAAUACCAAUGUUUUUACCAACACAUUAACAACACCGACAAUACCAACACCAACAAAAUCAAGAACACUAACAACAACACCAACAAAACUAAGAACACCAAGAAUAUACCUAAAACACCAACAAAACAAACAAAAUAUUCACCUACAACACCAACAAAUACUAAGUGAAGUGAUCAAUACAACAACACAAAUAACGACAUAAAAUUGUCACAAUAGGUAUCUCCAAAAAAGUCAAAGUUCAAGUUUCACUAAUUUUACAACAAUAUUCAAGAACAAGAACAACAACGCCAUUACCAACAAAACGAAGAACACCAAGAGCACAAACAAUACCAACAAAACAAACAACACCAAGAACACCAACAAAUAUCAAGUAACGUGAUUCAAUACAAUAACACAAACAAUAAGACAAAAUUGUCACAACAAAUAUCUCCAAGAAAAGUCAAAAUUAAAGUUCACUAUUUUUACAACAAUGUUCAAUAAUAACAAGAACACCAACAAAAGAAAAUUACAUUUCACUCAGAAAAGAUAUCACAUUUACGUCAACCAUCAUAUUAAGAGCACGAAUACCACAAAUUGAGAUUUUCUCGGGUUCAUUCUUUUUUUAGCAUCAAAUCUCAAAAUUGUUAAACUCAUACAUGAAGAGAAUACAACUAAAGUUCUCUUUUUCUUCCUUAACUACAAAGCACUAAUUUUUUGGAAACCAACAAAAAAAAAAAGUCUUCGCCUACGAAGAUAGAGAAAUUGGCGGCUACAAGGAAAGAAGGAAUGAUGUAGAGGCCGAACUUAAGGUCGUCGGAGGUCAAAGUUCAUCGAUCUAUUGUCAAUGGAGGGCAGCUUUGAUGGGAUCGGUUUUGAGAGAGAGAGGAGAGACGUUUGAGGAGAGUGAGAAGUUGAUUGAUUUUGAAAAAAAAUUGAAAGGAAGUUUUUUUAUUAAAAAUUAAAUAGUUGUGGAUUUUUUGUACUUUUAAAAAGAUUAGAAGUUUUAAAAAUCAUAAUUGAAUUCCCAAUUAACUUUAUCAAAAAUAUUAAAGUGCCUUUGACCCUUCCUUGAUCAAAAUAGUCACCAAUACUUCAAUGAAGACUUAAGUGAUACCUUUUAUUCAAUUUUCUCGAGUAACUGUAACAUGUCAAGGUUGUCUGAUAGAGCGUAUACAAGAAGCAGUAUUUUACGCAUGCUUAUUCAUGUAUUAAUAGUCCUUGUAUUGCUAAUAUCACAGCGUACUAUGUAUUAGUUAUAUACCGUUUAACUAAUACAUGCAUCGACUAAAUUCCUAACAAAUAAAGGACUAAAUUAUCCCAUAACUAAUACAUCCCACCAAACUACACAUUGAUGAAAAUAUUACAGUUUGAAUUACAUGAACAUAUAUAGCCAAGCUGACUCUUCAUAGCUUUAUCAGUUCAUCAAGAAAUAACAACAGAUAAAAAUAUGCCUUAUUUUCCAUAUUCUACAAUACUAUGAAGAUAAUAAGAUCCUAAGUUGCGUGGAUUGUUCAGUUUCGAUGCUGCACCCGUGUUGGGUUCUCCAAAAAUGCAGUACUUUUGGAGAAUUGGACACGCACUCUGUUGGGUACGAUAUAGGUUUGAUGAUUGACAAACUGACAAAGUGAUAUGAAACAUGUAGCUAAAACUUGUAGCAAAUCAUAGAUGAUUAAAAACAAGGGUGGAAGAAAUCAAGAAUCAGAUGAGUGGUUAAUUCUGAUAUACUUAAGGAAAUAAACAUGUGCUAAUUUGUAGAAGUUGUUGUUGAGUAAAAUACUUAAAGAUAAGUUGAUUUAAAGAGUUGAAGUUUGACUACAAUACUAAGGAGAUAAGAGUUGGAAUUGAAGAAGGAGUCUCACUUAAAGUAGAACUCUAUGUAAUGAGAGUUUUGAUUAAAGGAGGAGUUUGAAAUAAAGAAUGACUCUUUGAUGAGUUGUGCUUAAAUAGAAGAUACAUUAGUCAGAAUAACUUACGCACUUAUAAAGAAGAAAAGUGCAAUCGGCAGAUUGACUUCACGAAGUGCUACUCAAUCACUGAAUAAACACAUUAAAGAACAUUGUCCUAAGUAUAGACUCCAGCUAAGAGUUUUAGCAUUGAUUUUUAGAGUUGUUCAUUGUGUUUGAACUAUUGAUGUAGUAUUAGUUUCAAUGUGCUAUAAACUGAACUAGGAGCUAGUCUUCGAGAUGAGAAAAACUCAGAGACUUUGGGAACGUAUACCUUGGGAGGUAUGUGUGUAGUUAGGAAUUAGAGUUUAUAAUUCCUAGUCAUUGAGUUAAAGGAAUUAGAGUUUAUAAUUCCUAUUUGUUGGUUACAAGAGUUUUGUAAUCAGUCGUUGUUGAGGCUCAAAGUUAUUUCGCGAAGUUGGGGUUAAAUCCUGUAGAGAUGCAAGUCGUAGUUUUUUUACACCUUUUGAGCCGGGUGUUUUCCACGUAAAAAUCAUUGUGUUCUUUAUUUUUUGUUUUACUGGUUCCUUGGAACACGUCAGGCAACCCGUUUCAUCGAUAGGAAACUCUUACGUUAAAGUCACUGAUCAGUAGGGCACAUACUCUAACAAGUGGUAUUACAGCGAGAUUGUCUUAAAAAGGGCUAGCACCUACGACAAAGAUCAAUAUGAUGAAUUCCGCACCACCUACUGAUCACAGUAAAGGUCAAUCCACUAUUAGACCUCCACUCUUUGAUGGUUCUCACUUCAUUUGGUGGAAAGCUAGGAUGGAAACGUUCAUUCAAGGGGAAGACUACGAGUUAUGGGACAGGAUCACUGAUGGUCCUACUAUUCCAAUGAAGUUAGUAGAUGGUGAACAGGUCAAGAAGGUAAGAAGUGAGUUUACCGUUGAUGACUUAGUCGCAUUAAAGAAAAAUGCUAAGGCUAAGAAUAUCUUAGUCUAUGGACUAGGACCGGCUGAAUACAACAGAGUGUCAAACUGUACCACUGCUAAGCAAAUCUGGGAUGCAGUGGUCAAAGCACAUGAGGGUACCUCUCAUGUAAGAAAAUUCAGGAUUGCUCUUCUCUUUACUGAAUACGAAGCUUUUAAGAUGAAGGAGAAUUAAACCUUGCAUGAAAUAAUGACAAGGCUUACUGCCUUGACAAAUGAGUUGACUUCUUUGGGAAAAGUCAUCACUGUUGAAGAACAAGUUGAAAAAGUGUUGAGGGUGCUACCAAAAUCAAAAUGGAAUGUUAAAAUGACUGCUAUUAGGGAGGCAAAUAAGGAUCUCACAAGUAUGACACUAGAUGAACUAGUAAGGAAUCUGAGAAUUUAUGAAAUGGAAAUUGAUGGAACUAAAAAGCUACCAGCUCCUGAGGAUACCUUAGCUCUGAAGGCAUCUGACAGUGAUGAAGAAAUUGAACCUGAUGAAAAACAAGUUGCCUUUAUAGCUAAGAACUUCAACAAAUUCUUUAAAAAGAAAAAGGGAAUAGAUAGCAAGAAAUGGUCCAAUGACAAUCCAAAUGAAUACUACAAGUGUGGUAAGACUGAUCAUCAAAUCAGGAAUUGUCCUGUUUGGGAAAUAGAACGGAGAAAGGAAAGAACUGAAAAGGAACUGAAAGAAAAAAACAAAAAGAGGAAAGAAUAUGCAAUGGUAGCAGCUUGGGGAUCUGACUCAAAUGAUGAUGAAGUUGAUGAAACAGCACUCAUGGCUCUUGGAGAUUCAGACUUGGAGGAAGAAGAUGAUGCUUCUGAGGUAAGUAUACUUGAACUUAAAGAAAAGUUGCAUUUCUUUUCUAAAAUAAAACUUAUUUCCUUAAUGAGUGCUCUAAUUAAUGAUUUCCAAGAAUUAACUUCUGAUAGGAAUGAGUUAUUCAACAAUUUUGCAAGUCUUAAGUUUGAUUUUAUUGAUCUAGAAACUUGUAAGAACACUGUUGAAAAGAAAAACUGCACUCUUAAGGAGCAAGUUAGCAAACUUGAUUCAUCAAACUUGACCCUCAAAUCUGAAACCUUGAAAUUGACUCUUUCUGAAAACAGGAAAAAGGUCAAAAGUAAGGAACAAGAAAAAAUUCAGUUAGAAUUGACUAAGAUUAAACAUGAAUACUUUUGUGAAAAACAAAAGGUUAGUCAAUUGAGUCAAGAAGUUUCUAAAUUGAAACUUGAUCUUGAAAGAGCAAAUAGAUGGACACAUUCUUCAAGAAUUGUUCAUAAGUUAGGUCAAAGAACUCACAAUGAAAAGGCUGGGUUGGGCUUUUAUAAAAGUUCUAAUGCUAUUAAAGAUUUAUGUUAUAUUUGUGGUAACCAGGGGCAUCCAACCACUGAAUAUCCAGUUGUAGCAAAGAGAAAAUCAAGAUGCAUAAGCCUAGCAAAAAAAUCUGAUUCCAUGUUAGCACAAGCUAACAAGAAGGUCAAAUAUGGUCAGAGAAACAGGUCACAUAACCUGUUGCCUCGAUGGACUAGAAGGAACCUCAUACAUCCUUUUUCUCAUAAGAAAGAACCCAAGCUUAUCUUGGUGCCUAAAGUUAACCCCUAAUUUGUUUUGUAGGUGAGAGUGAAAGGAGGCAAGAAAAAUUUGUACAUGGAUAAAUCUUGCUCAAGGUAUAAGACUGGAAGCAAAUAAAGUUUCUUUCACUCCCCACAUUUAAAGGGAGAAUGGAUCUUUUGAAGAUGGCCAAAAAAAAAAGAGGAUGAUAGUGAAACUGAUGAGCAUGCACAGGAACAUGUUGUACCACCUGGUUCAACUGUUGUACAGACUGAGGGCAUAUUGACAGGGGAACAACAAAUCAAGAAAUUGAUGCACCAAUAACACCAACACAAGCUGGUGAUAAUUUUAUUGGUAAUUAAUAAAAAUUGGUGUUGUCACAAGAAUCUUGAUAUAUGUAUCCAAGGGAAAGUAAUUUCACUCUUGAGGGCUAUAAAAAUGUUGACUAUGUGGGUUACUUAAUUUACUGGAGAAGCACCAAGCACCAAAGGCACUAAGUAAAGAGCAUUUUGAAGGGAAUAUGUUAGACUUGGGGAUGAUAAAAAUUGCAUGAACUUCCCUCAAUGAUUGACUAGAAUAAUCAUUUUUCUUCUUAAUCUUAUUAGCUAAAAUGUUAUUCGAUUUAGUCUUGCACAUUUAGUUGGGUCCUAAUUCCAGAUUUUUGACUCUUCUAACCUAAUUUUGUAUUAGAUUGUGCAGAAAAAUAAGUACAAGCAAGCAAUUGUGACCACAAAGUUCUCCUUAUCAGGUAUAUUCUACACUGACAUAAGUAUAGGUUGUCUAAGUUGAAACAGUUGAGCACACCUGUUCAAUUCCUCACACUUUAUCCUCUCCUUGUCCUAUAAUGUUGACAAAUUAAUUGAUCAAACUUUCUUUGAUUCUCUCCAAAUGGUUGUGCACGAUUGUAUUAAUUCUACACCAAAAAUUCUUUGUUCUCUAUCAACCAAAAUAUCAAUUUUUGUACCAUGAAUUUGCCAAACUUGAUCAUCAAUCACAUGCAGCAUAUGUUUCUGAAGAAUGAAAAGGGACAUGCUUUCCCUUUUAAUUAGUUCCUAAUUGGUUAUUUUUUAGGACUUCUCAGUCCUAGUUCAGGUUUGACUUAUAAAGUGACAAUAGAUGUUCUUGAACAGAUGAAUCAUGUUGCUCUACCUGUUUUACAAAGAAGGGCUAACACUCAUUAAAAAAAAUUGAAAAAAAAAUCUGAACUAGAAGCUGCACAAGACAGUCAUGAAGUGAAAUAAGAGAUCCUUAAGGCUAGGAUCAUCACUUUGAAGCCUGACCUUGAUUGAUAGAGGUAUGAAAAUGUUGAAAUCAUUCGUCAAUUGACACAGUUGAUAUCACCUGUUCCAUCUUCCUCAUCAGCUCCUCACUAUUUGUAUCCUUAGCCUGUCCCACUUUUAUACCGUAUUUUUUUAAUUAAUGCUCAAUUGUUUUGCUUUGUUCAGUGCUAGCUUAGGUUUAAUGUGGAACAUGCUCUGGAAUGGUUAUCUUUGCUAAAUUGACUCAUAUUUUUGCUCUCUUUAAUACAUUACUAUAUUGGCUAAAGUCUUUAUCUGAUUGUUUUGGUGAUAGCCCCAGUGGCCAUGAAUAGCAUAACAAAUCACUUUGGCUAGUAUAUUAUUGCAUUGAAAUAGUUUUGAUGAUGUCAAAAGAGGGAAGAUAAAAGGGUUGUGCAAUGUUUAUAACCCAUUGACUAACUUGCUUCAUUCUAGUGUUUUAUAUUUUAGUGCCUACAGGUGAAGAUGUUUGAAUGCACAAAGACAAGAGGUUUGUUAUCAUCAAAAAGGGAGAAUUUGUUGGGUACGAUAUAGUUUUGAUGAUUGACAAACUGACAAAGUGAUUUGAAACAUGUAGCUAAAACUUGUAGCAAAUCAUCGAUGAUUAAAGACAAGGGUGGAAGAAAUCAAGAACCAGAUGAAAGGUUAAUUCUGAUAUACUUAAGGAAAUAAACAUGUGCUAAUUUGUAGAAGUUGUGGUUGAGUAAAAUACUUGAAGAUAAGCUGAUUUAAAGAGUUAAAUUUUGACUACAACACUAAGGAGAUAAGAGUUGAAAUUGAAGGAGUCUCACUUGAAGUAGAAUUCUAUGUAAUGAAAGUUCUGAGAUUAAAGGAGGAGUUUGAAAUAAAGAAUGACUCUUUGAAGAGUUGUGCUUAAAUAGAAGAUGCAUCAGUCAGAAUAACUUACGCACUUAUAAAGCAGAAAAGCGCAAUCGACAGAUUGACUUCACGAAGUGCUACUCAAUCACUGAAUAAACACAUUAAAGAACCUGGUCCUAAGUAUAGAAUCCAGUUAAGAGUUUUAGCAUUGACUUUUAGAGUUGUUCAUUGUGUUUGAAUUAUUGAUGUAGUAUUAGUUUCAGUGUGCUAUAAACUGAAUUAGGAGCUAGUCUUCGAAAUGAGGAAAACUCAGAGACUUUGGGAACGCAUACCUUGGAAGGUAUGUGUGUAGUUAGGAAUUAGAAUUUAUAAUUCCUAGUCGUUGAGUUAAAGGAAUUAGAGUUUAUAAUUCAUAUUUGUUGGUUACAAGAGUUUUGUAAUCAGUCAUUGUUGAGGCUCAGAGUUAUUUAGUGAAGUUGGGGUUAAAUCCUAUAAAGGUGCAGGUCGUAGUUUUUUACACCUUUUGAGCCAGUGUUUUCCACGUAAACCGGAUGGAAAAUAUGCAUUAACUGAAACCGCACCAGAUGUCAGUACUGGUGAUAUCAUUAACCCCUUACCGAUGAGAAACUGAGAGUCGAUGGUGUAAGUGUUUGUGUCCUCGGGGAAUGAGAAGAAAAGAGGCCGUGCUAUAGGGAUGCCUUUGGUAUGUGCCUCGAACAUUAACGUGUAGAAGUAUGGUAAGAGCCGGUAGCGUAGUCCAAGCACUUUCUUUGCUGUUGCAGCUACUGAAUCCCAGAUGAAUAGUUCUUGAUGGAUAGUGAACUUCUCACUGUGGUCCCUUGCAAAGGGAUAAAAUGCACCUAGCUACAUUCGACGAGAACUUGAUUAUCAGAUAUCCGAAAAGUAUCAUACUUCAAAUUUGAAACGGACAUGCUGUUUCCAUAGAGUACAACCUUUGUUUCACGGAAUAGAACAUAGAAAGACGAUAGAACAAUAAAAGAGCAGAAAAAACACUGUUAAUCUCCACGGGUUUAAGCCAUACAAAUUAACCUUCUUUUCUAAUAUACGUCACAAUAGUAUUUUACCCAAAAAUCCGGAAACAAAACUCUAAUUACCAUAUGAACUUCAGCUUCUGUCUUAUGAAAACCAACAUAUUGCAGAUCAUUGUUCAUUAACUUGAUAACACUGUUAGCAGGAAAAGUGAAAACCAACAUACUGUAGAUCAUUGUUCAUUAACUUGAUAACACUGUUAGCAGGAAAAGUAGACUCCCUGGACCAGUUGGGUGAUCAUAAUUCUAAGUUCAUGGGGUGCUAGAGGCGAAUCUAGUAUUUAUAUUUAACGAGGUAAGGAUUCUGGGUUUUGGACAGUGACCACAAGUUCAUAUGCAAUAAUAACUGACCAUAUAAUGAGUACCAGUAUUCAAUAUAUCAUCAAGUUUAGCAUAGACAUAAUAGACGGGGUAUUUCUAACUAGUUGUGCCUUCUUUGAUUCAAUCUCCUUUUGUUCCUUAAUUUCUAGCUACUCGUGCCUUCUCCGAUUCAAUCUCCUUUUGUUCCUUAAUCUUGACUAAUUCAAUUUGAUCCAAGGCAUAGCUAAGAAUUACGGGAUAGGACAUUAGUAUAUCUAAUAUCCUAUCCCAAUUUGAAGUUUUUUCCUGGAAGUUUCACAUUUAAAUAAGAAAAAGAAGAACGAUCAUAUAGGCCAUUUGGAACUUCUGGACUGAGAUCAUAAACUUUCAAUAUAUGCAGCAAAGUAUUUCUUUAAAGACAAAAGAACUUGUACCUGAAUCCAACGGCGACAUAAUUCUUCAGUAGUAUUUCUAGCAAAGCCACACAUAUCAGCUCCAACCAUGGGAAUCCCAAACAAUCCAGAACUCAAAAUGCCGGCAAUACUAUAAGCCAAGUCAUCCCAUGUGGCUGCAUUAUCUCCUGUCCAAUGUGCUGUGUACUUGCCAGCACCCACAAAGGUAGAUCUGCUAAGUAUAAAUGGCCUUUUACCAGUAAUAUCGAUGAAAGCAGCAUUGGUCGUUUUAGCUUCCAGGAAUGCAUAGAGGUUAUGAAACUGUACUCUAAGGCAUUCCCAAAAUAUACUGAUGUUGCUGGGACAGUCUUCUCGUUAAUUGGACGUAAGCUUCCAUUGUUAUUGAUCUUAUAAGGAGGGUUGUCAAGGGUAGAAAAUGGGGUUGGAGGAGAAGAGAUGAAGUUAGAUAACUUGUUCAUGUCAAGCCAGAGGAAGAAGGUCAUGGAAAAUCUUGAUUGCAUUACUCCAGAAGACUCUGGCUUGGGGAUAUAUGAAAUCAGGAUAGUAGACUUUUCCUGCCCAAACUUCGCCACGAUAAGGGACACCAUCGCAUUUGAUAAAAACGUCAGCUUGCAUACCUCUCUUGUAUGUCUCAUUUGAGCUAUUUAUGCUGAUCCCUGUGAACAAGUCAUUGAGAUCAUCAACGAAACAAGAGUAGUGCUUUAUUAAGUCAUUUAAACCAAUACCUUCGCAAUUUCUAAACUUCUACAUCAACUUUAAAUAUCAACAAAAAAGGGGCAGCUCGGUGCACAAAGCAUCCAGCGUUCACACAAGUUCCUUGAAAAGGCUACACUCCCAAGGAGUGUGAUGUAGGUAGCCUACCUGACGCUAAUGAAGCAAGAAGUUGAAUAUGUCGGAACUCACUUGGAUCCAAUAUGAGAACAAAUUUCUGGCCAUUGUGGUGAAGUGCAUCGACAAGUUUCUUCAUCUGGUCAAGUGGAUAGUUAACAGGAUCAAGUGUGAAAUCCUUAUAACCAUCCAUAUAAUCAAUAUCUGUCCACAUGACCUCAAGAGGGAUCUGAGCUUUUGCAUAGCCAGCAACUACAUUCCGAACUUCAGUAAUAUCUUUAUAACCCCAUCGGCACUGAUGAAAUCCUGUGGCCAACAAUUCGCAAUAGAUGCAUCUAUUGUUGAAAGAAAACACAAUCCUCAUAUUCACAACUACUAAAAGCCCUAUCCAUCCCAUUAUGAGUAGCAAAAGAGGUAGGAUCACAUAACGUUAUAUAACCGGGCUCUAAACUAACGAGUACUUAAGACAGCAAGAAACUGUGCACAUUUUUAAGUAUUGAACAAAAUUCAAAAGUUAAGGUCAUAUAAAGUUAAUAAACAGAAUAAACACUACGAAACAAUAGGUAAUUCGCUAGUACAAUUACGCACCAAAAGACCAGUAUGGCAUGGGUGCUGGGCGGCCAAUGAGCUCUGUGUACUGCUCCAUGACCAACUCUGGCACAGGACCAGCAAAGAAGUACAAGUCAAUGACCCCUCCAACCACCUUGUAGGUAAUUCUGUCACCAGUAUAUACAAUGUCCAUACCAUUGCUAUUAAACAGCAAGACUCUGUGACUGAUCCCCAACCCAGGAUGAGACCUGACAUCCAUGUAAAAAGGGUGGGAACCCUACAAGUUGACGUCAACAUUGCUACUACGAAUAUCAGCAUUCCAAAGAGUUAAUGUCUGGUUAUGCUUGAGCUUUAAUGUUCUCUUGGUAUGCUCCCCGGGGCCAUAGAUAGAUGACCGAUUAGCUGGUAAUGAAGAGGACAGUUGAAGGUACUGAUCCUUGCAGAUGAGGAACGUGUCUGGAGAGUCAUUUUUAGGUGAGGUGUCAAAAAGAACAUCACCUGAGGAACGGCGCAUGAUAGUGAAAAGCCAAAAGGGGUGGUGUUGGGGAGAGUGACACUAAGGUCAGAAAUGGUGUUUGUUUGGAAGUAAUGAGUGUCUUCGGAUGAUGGAAGUGAGGUAGAAGAACGCUUUCCUAGGAGGGAGCUUCGGGGGGAUGAAUGUGUUUCACAGGGGAUAAAUUCUUGAGGAACUUCCCAUCUUUUAUGAUCUGCAUCCGUAAUUCCAGGCCAAACUUCUCCAAGAUAAGGAACACCAUCGCGUUUGAUGAAAACAUCAGCUUGCAUCCCUCUCUUGUAUGUCUCAUAUGAGCUAUUUAUGCUGAUCCCUGUGAACAAGUCAUUGAGAUCAUAAACGAAACAGGAGUAGUGCUUUGAUUAAGUCAUUCAACCCAAUACCUUUGCAAUUUCCAAACUUCUACAUCACCUUAAAGUAUAAAUAUCAACAAAAAAGGGGCAGCUCGGUGCACAAAGCAUCCAGCGUUCACACAAGUUCCUUGAAAAGGCUACACUCCCAAGGAGUGUGAUGUAGGUAGCCUACCUGACGCUAAUGAAGCAAGAAGUUGAAUAUGUCGGAACUCACUUGGAUCCAAUAUGAGAACAAAUUUCUGGCCAUUGUGGUGAAGUGCAUCGACAAGUUUCUUCAUCUGGUCAAGUGGAUAGUUAACAGGAUCAAGUGUGAAAUCCUUAUAACCAUCCAUAUAAUCAAUAUCUGUCCACAUGACCUCAAGAGGGAUCUGAGCUUUUGCAUAGCCAGCAACUACAUUCCGAACUUCAGUAAUAUCUUUAUAACCCCAUCGGCACUGAUGAAAUCCUGUGGCCAACAAUUCGCAAUAGAUGCAUCUAUUGUUGAAAGAAAACACAAUCCUCAUAUUCACAACUACUAAAAGCCCUAUCCAUCCCAUUAUGAGUAGCAAAAGAGGUAGGAUCACAUAACGUUAUAUAACCGGGCUCUAAACUAACGAGUACUUAAGACAGCAAGAAACUGUGCACAUUUUUAAGUAUUGAACAAAAUUCAAAAGUUAAGGUCAUAUAAAGUUAAUAAACAGAAUAAACACUACGAAACAAUAGGUAAUUCGCUAGUACAAUUACGCACCAAAAGACCAGUAUGGCAUGGGUGCUGGGCGGCCAAUGAGCUCUGUGUACUGCUCCAUGACCAACUCUGGCACAGGACCAGCAAAGAAGUACAAGUCAAUGACCCCUCCAACCACCUUGUAGGUAAUUCUGUCACCAGUAUAUACAAUGUCCAUACCAUUGCUAUUAAACAGCAAGACUCUGUGACUGAUCCCCAACCCAGGAUGAGACCUGACAUCCAUGUAAAAAGGGUGGGAACCCUACAAGUUGACGUCAACAUUGCUACUACGAAUAUCAGCAUUCCAAAGAGUUAAUGUCUGGUUAUGCUUGAGCUUUAAUGUUCUCUUGGUAUGCUCCCCGGGGCCAUAGAUAGAUGACCGAUUAGCUGGUAAUGAAGAGGACAGUUGAAGGUACUGAUCCUUGCAGAUGAGGAACGUGUCUGGAGAGUCAUUUUUAGGUGAGGUGUCAAAAAGAACAUCACCUGAGGAACGACGCGUGAUAGUGAAGCCGAAAGGGGUGGUGUUGUGGAGAGUGAAACUAAGGUCAGAAAUGGUAUUUGUGUGGAAGUAAUGCGUGUCUUCGGAUGAUGGAAGUGAGGUAGAAGAACGCUUUCCUAGGAGGGAGCUUCGGGGGGGUGAAUGUGUUUCACGGGGGAUAAAUUCUUGAGGAACUUCCCAUCUUUUAUGAUCUGCAUCCGUAACUCUGACUCUUAAACGAUCUUUUGUCUCAAAGCUGCAGAAGCCAUCAGCAUGUAAACAUGAAAAGGCUAAUCAGUUUGUUUAUAAACAACACUCUAAUCAAAUUUAAAAGAUCAUUUGACACAAAAUAGACGAGUCUGUCUGCGGAGGAUGGUGUGUAAGCAACCUUACCCCUCCUACCUUGUGAAGGUAGAAAGGUUGUUCCCUAUCAAUAAAGCACAUCAAAAUCAAGUAUUGAAAGGUAAUAAUGUAGUAAAGAAUCCAUGAUAUUAAUAAAGGAGACGAGAACAACAGCAACAACAAAUAAAACAGUAAAUGAAUCAAAGAAAACAGCAGGUAAUAAAAUAAAAAAUAAGAUAGUAGGCAAGUAACAAUAACAAUACUGAUAUGGGACACUAGACAACGUACGCUGGAAUACCUACUAACCUUCUAUCUAGAAAUUUCGUCUUUUUUAUAACGAGUAUAUCUCUUCAUGUGUUUUGGUGUUGUUGGUGAUUUCGGAUAGAUAGUUUAUAGUAUUAAUCUAUGAGUGUCUUGUUUCUUGUAUCAUUCUGUUGUGUGUUUUUAUGUUUUUUGUUUGUUAUACUGGUGUUUUUCCUGAGCCGGGGUCUAUCGGAAACAGCCGCUCUACUUCAUCUGUGGUAGUGGUAUGGACUGCGUACACUUUACCCUACCCAGAUCCCACUUUGUGAGAAUACACUGGGUAUAUUGUUGUUGUUGUGAAGUAUAUUUCUUCACUAAACUACAAUAAAUUUGCAGUCCAAACACAACUUCAACUUCCUACAACUCUUUUUCAAAUAAGCUUCAAAUACUACUCUCUUUUUUACAAAUAUCACUUCAUUCAUAUCGAAGCAAUUACUUAGAAUUAAUGAAAUUUCAAUAAAAAGUUAUCAGUAUCAAGAUCAUUACCUAGCAGUAAGGCUGAGAUUUUGAAUAUCAGG
rnacentral:lncRNA from 1 species